AAGUGUACUCCGUCGACAAUAAUUUGUGUGCCCACCAAGAGAGACGACUGGACAGAAGUGGAACAUCCAGCACCCAAGACGUGUCGUGUAUUGUUGUGAGGUGAUAUUGUAACUGUAAGCUAGAUACUACACAAGAGUCGGUCCGGUCCCUCUGUCGCUAGGGCAAUAGCGUCGCUUUGUCUUGUUUUACCCAACAAAGGAUGUUUCUAUAUGAUGUACAAGAUACACACACAUUGCUGGUGCUGUUGCUGUUGUGGAGGUGAAGGACCUGCUGUUCGUCGCCGUGCCAAGUUGGGUUAAAAAGGGUCAAGGUUGUUGGGUGUGUCACGCAACCUGAUUGUUUGUUCUCACUUGAGACUCCGUGAAAUGAUGUUUUACUCCUUGUUCCUUCUUGUUCACCCUUCAUGCUUCUUUCCGUACUUGGGUCUUGCACCUUUUCUUUCAGUAUUUGUUGGGUUGGGCGAGUCACAACUUGGUCACCCACUUCAGCUUGAGCAAAAAUCAUCUGAAGUUCAUGUGCACCAAAAUUGCUGGGAUUUCAAGUUGAAGAAAAAUGCUGUCGCAGAACACAACUCCAGCAACCGACGAUGGGUCUGAAUCAUAGCAACGGUGGGGUUACAGGAAGGCUCUCGCACGCUCGUGCUAUCCACUGGGGCCUUGCUUCGCCGUGACAGGAAGUACUCCCUCCGUUUCUAAAUAUAGGUCUUUCUAGAGAUUUCAACAAAUAACUACAUACGAAGCAAAAUGAGUGAAUCUACACUUUAAAAUAUGUCUAUAUACAUCCGUAUGUGAUAGUCUAUUUGAAAUCUCUACAAAGACUUAUAGUAUUUUGAAACGGAGGGAGUACUACAGAUUGCACGAGAGGGGUUGGGACAUGCCCACGGUGGGGGUCGUUCAUCUGCGGCGAUGGAUAUGGACGCCAAGGCUAUAUCUCGCCCAUACAAGAGAUCCUUCGGUCUCUGUUAGAAAUAAAUGGGCUAGNNNNNNNNNNNNNNNNNNNNNNNNNNNNNNNNNNNNNNNNNNNNNNNNNNNNNNNNNNNNNNNNNNNNNNNNNNNNNNNNNNNNNNNNNNNNNNNNNNNNNNNNNNNNNNNNNNNNNNNNNNNNNNNNNNNNNNNNNNNNNNNNNNNNNNNNNNNNNNNNNNNNNNNNNNNNNNNNNNCUCUGCGGCGAAUUGUCGAGGGAUCGCACAGAGGGAGCGCCACGAGCGACCGACAUGGGCCGGCCCACAUACAUAGUGCGUCCAACCGGUUUUGGGAACCUUCUAGAAGGUUCACUGAACCGGGUUUUUUCCUGUAUCGUUUUUUUCUGGGCUUUUUCGGCUUUCUAUUGUUUUUUUAUUUCGUUUUUUUCAUUUUCUGUUUCUUUUCUUUUUUUAGUUUUUGUUUCUUUUCUUUAUGUUUUCUUUUCAAAAUUGCACAACUUUGCAAAAUUUGUUCUCAAAUUUAAGAAAAAUGUUCGUUUUCAAUUUUUGUUCGUGAGUUUCAAUAAAUGUUCCUAUUUUUCAAAAUUGUCCAUGUUUUAAAAUUUUGUUUGCAUUCGAAAAAUGUUUAGGAAUUUCAAAAAGUGUUCCAGCUUUCCAAAUUUGUUCACAAAUUUAUAAAAUGUUCAUGUUUUCAAAUUUUUCUCACAAAUUGAAAAAUGUUCGUAAAUUCCAUAAAUUUGUUUGGGAGUUUGAAAAAAUGUUCCUUUUCCAAAAUUUGUUCGCAAAUUUCAAUUUUUUUUCUUCUUAUUUACAAGUUUUGUUCGGAGUUUCGAAAAUUGUUCCAUUUCCAAAAUUGUUUGCAAAUUUUUAAAAAUGUUCGUUUUUUCAAACUUUGUUCUGGAGUUUCAGAAAAUGUUCGUCUGCAAAAGUUGUUCGUGUUUCCAAAUUUUGUUUGAAAUUUGAAAAAUUGUUCCUGUUCAGUUUUUUGGGUAGUUUAAAAAAUGUUCGUGUCUCCAAAAUUCGUUUGUGUGUUGAAAAAUGUUUGAGUUUUCUCAAAAUUUGUGAAAAAAAUAUAAUGUUCGCGUUUGAUAAAACAUUCACGUUUUGUUUUUGAAAAUAAAAUAUUUUCUGUUCGAAAUUUUGAAAAAUGUUCGGAUCGGCGUUUGAGUUUUCUUAAGGUUUUGCAAUGUUCUGUGAUCAAGAAAGCUAGCUAGCUCAACUGGUUCGAAUCGUUGCUUGGAAGCAGCAGGUCUAGUGUUCGAUUCCUGGCAAUGCAUCUUUUUUUAUUCUAGCGUGAGCUACUGUUCGCGAGAGAGAUGGGCCGGCCCAGUCUCCCGAUCCCCUAUGCGACUGCUUGACGCAGAGAGCAUCACAUUGGAGCUCUCGUCCACCUGAUCCCCUGCGUCCCCCGCCAAGCAUCGCCCACCUAAUCCCCCGCGUCGCCCCCACUCGUGUGGGGAUGAAACCCUAGCCACCGGGGCUCUCCUUUCCUUCCCUCCCUCCGCUGCCGCCGAAGGACGCUGCUGGCCUAUAGCCCAGGGGCCAACGGCGGUGGCGCCACCCCCCUCUUGAUCGGUGGCGACCCGUGCACACGAUGCUUGAUGGAGGCUUGUCGAGUGGAUCCGGGUGUUACCUUCUUGAAGGCAUCGUCGUGGAGAAGUUUCAUACCUCUAUGCGCUACCUCCAGGGGAAACCCUAGAUCAAUUGAUCCGAUAUGGCGGCGUUCUGGUGUCAUUUCCCCAUUGGGGGCGUCAUUCUUGGAGGCGUACAUGGGAUCGAGGGACCAGUGGACGGCUUCUUUGGUGGAGCGGCGCUUCAUCUUACACAUUGAUGGCGGCGGAUCUUGGCGGCGUGGCGCAGUGGAGACUCGUCGUCCGAUGCGUGAAGAUGGACUCGCGCAGGAGGAGGACCUUGUCUGGCGUCAUGGUGACAUCGAUGACAGAGAGGCCUGGCAAGGUAGGUGGGUUAGUUUCUGCUCUGAAGAUGGAUUGGUAGUAGACGAUGACGACACAUGAGAGUGCAUCGGACCGGUUUGUACCCCAAACCCAGUAUGUGGCUUGGUUGGGGCCUCCAGCUUUAGAUGUUAGAUUUUGGUGCGAUGUCUGUUUCGUAUUAGGUUUGGACUAUCAGCACCCCUUCAUCAAGUGGAUAGGAGUAGCGACAAUUGUUGCUAAGAUGGUGACUUCAAACUAUCUGAUGUACUACUUUGUAAGGUCUUUGUGAAUAAUUAAUAAAAUGGCUACAUGCAUCGUCCAGAUGCUGAGGCCAUGGGUAAUCCUCCUUUUCUAAAAAAAAUGUGGCCCAUGAAUAAAAUGGCAAGUGGCGGUGCUAAAGUUAAGUCCCAUACCGCUAGUUGAGGAAGAGUUAUAUAAUGGGUUCUCUCCAUCGCUCUAAGUGGUGUGUUGAGAAGAGAAAGGAAAGACCACACAUGCGCGCUUGCUCGCCUGGUUGGGUCGGGCGGCGCAUACGUGCUUCAUCCCGAACGCCGAUGUACAUCAACAUGCCAGAGAGCAGGUCUCCGGAACCAUUCGUCCUUGCGAUCCCGCGCUGGGAGAGGGCGAAUUAGCUUUUUGGAGUCAUGCGUCGUCUUCCAUCCAAGUCGGGUGGUGCUAUUCAAUUGUAGGCAAUUUCCUGAGUUAACUAUGGCUCGAUUCAUUGAUGCACUGAGGUCAUAUGUUUACCGGUGUGCAUGUUAAGAGGUGGCAGGCGAAGUCCAUGCUCUGGCUUACUGCUCUGAAAAUUUUCCAUGUUAGUGUUGGUGCUCUAGAGGGAAUGUCUGAGGAAGAUCAGAGAAAGUUCCAGGAAGCCAAUACUAUGUUUGUGGGAUGCAUUCUGAGUGUUCUUGCUGAUCGUCUGUGUGAUGUGUACAUGCACAUACAAGAUGGAAAGACACUAUGAGAUGCACUAAAUGCUAAAUUCCGUGCAACCGAUGCAGGCAAUGAAUUGUACAUCAUGGAGAAUUUCCAUGACUACAAGAUGGUGAAUAACCGUUCUAUGGUUGAACAAGCUCAUGAGAUACAAUGUAUUGUGCAGGAAUUGGAACUCCUUAAGUGCGAUUUACCCGAUAAAUUCAUGGUUGGGUGCAUGAUUACAAAGCUACCUCCUUCAUGGAGAAACUUCGCCACUACUCUGAAACAUAAGUUACAAGAGAUAUCAGUUGAAAAUCUGAUUGCAUCUCUUGAUGUUGGAGACAAAGCUCGGGCUAAAGACACUACUGAGAAAAGAGGUGAGGUUCAGCCUAUCGCCAAUAUGGUGUAGAGAUACCCAGAGAAUAAGAACAAAGGGAAGAACAAGCCUAAACAAGCCUGUCGAGACUACUACCGUCAAGAAGGAGAAGUUCAACAGGGUUGAGCUAGAGUGCUACGCCUGUGGGAAGCCCAGACCGUGCAGACCACAGAGGGAAAAUGAGCUCCAAGAUUGUCAACAUGGUGAUCGCUAGCAAUACUGAUGGGUAUGGUAAUUUACCUAUUGUUCUUUCAGUAUUUCAAUCAUAUUCUUGGUGGAUUGAUUCGGGAGCUAACGUCCACGUGUGUGUUGGCGUCUCGUUGUUCACUUCUUAUCAGCUCGCAAGGGAUUCUUCCAUCCUAGUGGGGAAUGGGUCGCAUGCUUCUGUUUGUGGCAUUGACACGGUGGAUUGGAAGUUUACUUUGGGGAAGAUCGCGCAGCUAAGGAACGUUCAGCAUGUCCCUACUAUGAACAAGAAUCUAGUUAGCGGCUCUCAUCUAUGUCGAGAUGGGUUUAAGGUAGUUUUAGAGUCAAAUAAAGUAAUUGUGUCAAGAUUUGAAUAGUUUAUAGACAAAGGCUAUGAGUGUGGAGUCGUGUUUCGGUUUUCCCUUUCAGAUUCUUGCAAUAAGUCAGUAAACCAAAUUUGUGCUAGUUUUAAUGAUGAUGCAAGUGUUUGGCACUCUCGUUUAUGUCAUAUUAAUUUUGGUUUAAUUCCCGGGCUAUCUAGUAUGAAUUUAAUUCCGAAUUUCACUGUUGCCAAAGGUUCUAAGUGUUAUAGUUGUGUGCAAUCGAAGCAACCUUGAAAGCCUCACAUGACUGCCGAGGAGAGAAACUUGGCACCUCUACAACUCAUACAUUCUGAUCUAUGUGAGAUGAAUGGUGUGUUGACAAAAGGUGGACAGAGAUAUUUCAUGACAUUGAUUAAUGAUGCGACUAGAUUUUGCUAUGUUUAUUUGUUGCAAACUAGAGAUGAAGCUUUAGACUACUUUAAAAUCUCUAAAGCUGAAGUUGAAAAUAAACUAGAGAGAAAGAUCUAGCGUCUUAGGUCGGAUCGUGGUGGAGAAUAUUUUCCCAAAGUAUUUGAUGAAUUUUGUGAGGAACACGGUAUUAUUCAUGAGAGGACGCCUCCCUAUUCACCUCGCAGUCUUGCAUAGGUUUUGGGCUAAGCAUCACAACGGAUCUAAGCUUCGAGAACCUAUACCCCUCUUAAUAGUACGAAGGUUCUAAGAUUCAAGAAAGAGAUGGAGAAUAACGGACUGAAUUCUAUGUCUUCGCUUAGCCUUGCUGCCCUCCGAUGAUGCGUGAGUAGUUCACCACAGACCUACGGCUCCAUAGCUAGUAGCUAGAUGGCUUCUUCUCUCUCUGUGAUCUUCAAUACAAUGUUCUCCUCGAUGUUGUUGGAGUUCUAUUCGAUGUAGUCUUCUUUUGCGGUGUGUUUGUUGGGAUCCGAUGAAUUGUGGGUUUAUGAUUUGAAUAUUUAUGAAUAUUAGUUGAGUCUUCUCUGAACUCUUUUAUGCAUGAUUAUUAUAGCUUUAUAUUUCUCUCCGAUCUAUCCGUUUGGUCUGACCAACUAGAUUGAUUUAUCUUGCAAUGGGAAAUGUGCUUUGUAAUGGGUUCAAUCUUGCGCUGCUCUAUAUUCAAGUGACAGAAAGGGACAAGACACGUGUUUGUAUUGUUUCCAUUAAGGAUAAAACGACGAGGUUUAUUCAUAUUGAUUGGGUUUACUUUAUCUUCGUCAUGUCAUCUUACUCAAGGCGUUACUUUGUUUUAUACUUAAUACCCUAGAUGCAUGUUGGAUAGCGACUGAUAACCCACAAGUAUAGGGGAUUGCAACAGUUUUCGAGGGUAGAGUAUUCAACCCAAAUUUAUUGAUUUGACACAAGGGGAGCCAAAGAAUAUUCUCAAGUAUUAGCAGCUGAGUUGUCAAUUCAACCACACCUAAAAGACUUAAUAUCUGUAGCAAAGUAUUUAGUAGCAAAGUAGUAUGGAAGUAACAGUAACAGUUGCAAAAGUAACAGCAGCAGUUUCUUAGCAAUUGUAACAGUGGCAACAGAAAAGUGACAGAGCAGAGAUCAAUAUGAAACGAGCUCAUAGGAAAUGGAUCAAUGAUGGAUAAUUAUGUCGGAUGGCAUUCAUCAUGUAACGGUUUUAACAUAGGGUAAUGUAGGCAUGUAUUCCGAAUAUAGUCAUACAUGCUUAUGGAAAAGAACUUGCAUGACAUCUUUUGUCCUACCCUCCCGUGGCAGCGGGGUCCUAUUGGAAACUAAGAGAUAUUAAGGCCUCCUUUUAAUAGAGUAUCGGACCAAAGCAUUAGCACUUAGUGAAUACAUGAACUCCUCAAACUACGAUCAUCACCGGGAGUGGUCCCGACUAUUGUCACUCCGGGGUUGCCGGAUCAUAACACAUAGUAGGUGACUGUAACUUGCAAGAUAGGAUCAAGAACACAAAUUUAUUCAUGAAAAUAUAAUAGGUUUAGAUCUCAAAUCAUGGCACUCGGGCCCUAGUGAGAAGCAUUAAGCAUAGAAAAGUCAUAGCAACAUCAAUCUUAGAACAUAGUGGAUACUAGGGAUCAAACCCUAACAAAACUAACUCGAUUACAUGGUAAAUCUCAUCCAACCCAUCACGGUCCAGCAAGCCUACGAUGAGAUUACUCACGCACGGUGGUGAGCAUCAUGAAAUUGGUGAUGGAGGAUGGUUGAUGAUGACGAUGACGACGGAUUCCCCUCUCCGGAGCCCCGAACCGACUCCAAAUCUGCCCUCCCGAGGAAGAACAGGGCUUGGCGGCAGCUCCGUAUCAUAAAACACGAUGAAUCCUUCUCUCUGUUUUUUUCUCCCCGAACGUGAAUAUAUGGAGUUGGAGUUGAGGUCAAUGGAGGUCCAGGGGGCCCACAAGGACGGGUGGCGCGCCCCAGGGGGGUGGGCGCCCCCCACCCUUGUGGCUAGGGUGUGGGCCCCUUCACUUGAUUCUUUCACCAAUAUUUUUUAUUAAUUCCAAAACUUAUCUCCGUGAAGUUUCAGGUCAUUCUGAGAACUUUUUAUUCUGCACAAAAAUAACACCAUGGCAAUUCUGCUGAAAACGGCGUCAGUCCGGGUUAGUUCCAUUCAAAUCAUGUAGUUGGAGUCCAAAACAAGGGCAAAAAGUUUGGAAAACUAGAUACGAUGGAGACGUACCAAUUCCUUCAAGCUUAACCCAUUGCUUGUCCUCAAGCAAUUCAACUGACAAACUGAAAGUGAUAAAGAAAAACUUUUACAAACUCUGUUUGAUCUUGUUGGUGCAAAUAUGUAAAGCCAGCAUUCAAGUUUUCAGCAAAGGUUAUGAACUAACCAUAUUCACAAUAACUUUUAGGUCUCACAUUUACUCAUAUCAGUGGCAUAAUCAACUAGCGAGCAAUAAUAAUAAACCUCAGAUGACAACACUUCCUCAAAACAAUCAUCAUAUGAUAUAACAAGAUGGUAUCUCGCUAGCCCUUUCUGAGACCGCAAAACAUAAAUGCAGAGCACCCCUGGAGAUCAAUGAUUGACUAGACAUUGUAAUUCAUGGUAAAAGAGAUCCGGUCAUAGUCAUACUCAAUAUAAAUUAAUAACAAUGCAUACAAAUGACAGUGGUGCUCUCUAACUGGUGCUUUUUAUAAGAGGAUGAUGACUCAGCAACAGAAAUAAAUAGAUAGGCCCUUCGCAGAGGGAAGCAUGGAUUUGUAGAGGUGCCAGAGCUCGAGUUUUGAAAACAGAGAUAAAUAAUAUUUUGAGCGGCAUGCUUUCAUUGUCAACAUAGCAACCAAGAGAUCUCGGUAUCUUCCAUGCUACAUACAUUAUAGGCGGUUCCCAAACAGAAUGGUAAAGUUUAUACUCCCCCACCACCAAUAAGCACACUCCACGACUAGUCCAAAACAACGAGUACCGUCCAGCUAACAACAGUCCCGGGGGAGUUUUGUUUGAAUUUUGAUUUGAUUUGAGCAUGGACUGGGCAUCCCGGUUACCAGCCAUUUUCUCGUGAAUGAUGAGCGGAGUCCACUCAUCAUGAGAAUAACCCACCUAGCAUGGAAGAUAUGACUACCCUAGUUGGUACAUGAGUUACUCGAGCAUACAAAACAGAUUAACACUUGAAGGUUUAGAGUUUGGCACUUGCAAAUUUACUUGGAACGGCAGGUAAAUACCGCAUAUAGGAAGGUAUGGUGGACUCAUAUGGAACAACUUUGGGGUUUAUGGAAGUGGAUGCACAAGCAGUAUUCCCGCUUAGUACAAGUGAAGGCUAGAAAGAGACUGGGAAGAGACCAACUAGAGAGCGACAACAGUCAUAAACAUGCAUUGAGAUUAACCAACAUUGAGUGCAAGCAUGAGUAGGAUAUAAUUCACCAUGAACAUAAAUAUUGUGGAGGCUAUGUUGAUUUUGUUUCAACUACAUGCGUGAACAUGUGCCAAGUCAAGCCACUCGAAUCAUUCAAAGGAGGACACCAUCCUAUCAUACUACAUCACAACUAUUUUAAUUUCCAUGUUGGCAUGCAAGGUAAACCAUUAUAAACUCCUAGCUAAUUAAGCAUGGCAUGAGUAACUAUAAUCUCUAAUUGUCAUUGCAAACAUGUUUCAUUCAUGAUAGGCUGAAUCAAGAACGAUUAACUAAUCAUAUUUACAAAAACAAGAUAGGUCGAGUUCAUACCAGCUUUUCCUCAUCUCAAUCAUUUCAUCAUAUAUCAUCAUUAUUGCCUUUCACUUGCACGACCGAACGGUGUGGAUAAUAAUAAUAGUGCACGUGCAUUGGACUAAGCUGGAAUCUACAAACAUGUAUUUAGAGGAGAAGACAAGGUAAUAUGGGAUCUUUGUUAGAUCAACAAUAAUGCAUAUGAGAGCCACUCAACAUUUUCAUCAUGGUCUUGUCCUCUCGACCCCAAAGGAAAGAAUUUCAAAGAAACACACUGGAAUAAUUUGGAGUUUUUGUUUUUCUGUAGAAAGUAAAACAAGAACGGGAAAAACUAUUUACACGGGAAAGCUCCCAACAAGCAAAAGAAAAACGAGAAAUCUUUUUGGGUUUUCUUUUAAUACUACAACUAAGCAUGCAUAGAAAGUAACUAACUACAACUAAUUUUUUUUGUUUUCUUAAGGUUUUUCCAAACACACAAGAAGAAGGCGGAAAAAACAAAUAAACUAACAUGGAUAAUACAAUGAAAAAGUACAAACACCGACAACUAAAAUGAGUGUGUGAACAUGAAUGUAAUGUCGGUGAGAAAUACGUACUCCCCCAAGCUUAGGCUUUUGGCCUAAGUUGGUCUACGCCCAUGGCUGGCCUGGUGGAUAUCCAAAGUUGUACUCAGGGUUGUACUAAGACGCGUCUGCCACUGCCUGAAGUGCUGCAGCAUGAAGGCGAGCAGCCUCCGCUGUUGUCUCAUACUCGUCUGCUUCCUCUCUAGUUAUAAAAUAUCGCCUAUUUGCCUGAAAGUUAAAGAAAGCAGGAAGAGUAACAAGGACGACGCGCCGUCUAUCAAAGAUUAGUCGGUACUAGAGGAUCUGUUCGUUCCUAUUAAGAAACUGGUAGCGUACCAUAGCCUCAAACUGUAAGUUCUAUCUCUAUGUAAAGUGUGGCGCAAAAUAGCAAGGUCAGGUGCACUAAGGCCUCCACUCUCUCCACGACCAAUUAAACAUCUCCCAGCGAAUAAUGAGUAAUAGCGUAAAACAGGGAAAUGUAUACUAGCCACCCUUCCUCCCGACACUCCUCUGUUUUCCCCUACGGCAAUUUCAUGAAUAAAACCUUCCACAUCACUAGGGUGUGGUUCCUCGACGCUACUGCUACCUCUUGAGCAUGCGUUGGUUUUCCCUUGAAGAGGAAAGGGUGAUGCAGCAAAGUAGCGUAAGUAUUUCCCUCAGUUUUGAGAACCAAGGUAUCAAUCCAGUAGGAGGUUACGCACAAGUCGCCUCGUACCUACACAAACAAAUAGGAACCUUGCAACCAAUGCGAUAAAGGGGUUGUCAAUCCCUUCACGGCCAGUUGCAAAAGUGAGAUCUGAUAGAGAUAAUAGGAUAAAUAUUUUCGGUAUUUUUAUGAUAUAGAUUGGAAAGUAAAGAUUAUAAAAUAAAAGACCGAAGGAAUAGUAAAUUGAUAGGAAAAUAAUAUGAUGGAAAAUAGACCUGGGGCCAUAGGUUUCACUAGUGUCUUCUCUCAAGAUAGCAUAAGUAUUACGGUGGGUGAACAAUUUACUGUCGAGCAAUUGAUAGAAAAGCGCAUAGUUAUGAGAAUAUCUAGGCAUGAUCAUGUAUAUAGGCAUCACGUCCGUGACAAGUAGACCGAAACGAUUCUGCAUCUACUACUAUUACUCCACACAUCGACCACUAUCCAGCAUGCACCUAGAAUAUUAAGUUCAUAAGAACAGAGUAACACAUUAGGCAAGAUGACAUGAUGUAGAGGGAUAAACUCAAGCAAUAUGAUAUAAACCCCAUCUUUUUAUCCUCGAUGGCAACAAUACAAUACGUGCCUUGCUACCCUUGCUGUCACUGGGAAAGGGCACCGCAAGAUUGAACCCAAAGCUAAGCACUUCUCCCAUUGCAAGAAAGAUCAAUCUAGUAGGCCAAACCAAACUGAUAAUUCAAAGAGACUUGCAAAGAUAAUUAAAUCAUGCAUAAAAGAAUUCAGAGAAGAUUCAUAUAUUGUUCAUAGAUAAUCUUGAUCAUAAACCCACAAUUCAUCGGAUCUCGACAAACACACCGCAAAAAGAAUUACAUCAAAUAGAUCUCCAAGAAGAUCGAGGAGAACUUUGUAUUGAGAUCCAAAGAGAGAGAAGAAGCCAUCUAGCUAAUAACUCUGGACCUGAAGGUCUGUGGUAAACUACUCACACAUCAUCGGAGAGGCUAUGGUGUUGAUGUAGAAGCCCUCCGUGAUCGAUUCCCCCUCCCGCGGAGCGCCGAAAAAGGCUCCAAGAUGGGAUCUCAUGAGUACAGAAGGUUGCGGCGGUGGAAAUAGGGUUUCAUGGUGCUCUCAGAUGUUUUCAGGGUAUAUGAGUAUAUAUAGGUGAACGAAGUAGGUCGGUGGAGCCACGAGGGGCCCACGAGGGUGGGGGGCGCGCCCUCCUGCCUCGUGGCCUCCUCGUUUCUUUCUUGACGUCCACUCCAAGUCUCGUAGAUUGCGUUUGUUCCAAAAAUAACUCUCCCGAAGGUUUCAUUCCGUUUGGACUCCGUUUGAUAUUCCUUUUAUGCGAAACACUGAAAUAGGCAAAAAAACAGCAAUUUGCACUGGGCCUUCGGUUAAUAGGUUAGUCCCAAAAAUAAUAUAAAAGUGCAUAGUAAAGCCCAUUAAACAUCCAAAACAGAUAAUAUAAUAGCAUGGAACAAUCAAAAAUUAUAGAUACGUUGGAGACGUAUCAAGGAUCCCCAAGCUUAAUUCCUGCUCGUCCUCGAGUAGGUAAAUGAUAAAAACAGAAUUUUUGAUGUGAAAUGCUACCUAGCAUAUUUCUCAAUGUAUUUUUUUCUUUAUUGUGUCAUGAUUGUUCAGAUCCGAAAGAAUCAAGACAAAAGUUUAAUAUUGAAAUAAAAAUAAUAAUACUUCAAGCAUACUAACAAAGCAAUCAUGUCUUCUCAAAAUAACAUGGCCAAAGAAAGUUAUCCCUACAAAAUCAUAUAGUCUGGCUAUGCUCUAUCUUCAUCACACAAAGUAUUUAAUCAUGCACAACCCCAAUGACAAGCCAAGCAGUUGUUUCAUACUUUUGAUGUUCUCAAACUUUUUCAAUCUUCACGCAAUACAUGAGCGUGAGCCAUGGACAUAGCACUAUAUGUAGAAUGGUGGUUGUGGAGAAGACAAAAAGGAGAAGAUAGUCUCACAUCAACUAGGCGUAUCAACGGGCUAUGGAGACGCCCAUCAAUAGAUAUCAAUGUGAGUGAGUAGGGAUUGCCAUGCAAUGGAUGCACUAGAGCUAUAAGUGUAUGGAAGCUCAACGAAAGAAACUAAGUGGGUGUGCAUCCAACUCGCUUGCUCAUGAAGACCUAGGGCAUUUUGAGGAAGCCCAUCAUUGGAAUAUACAAGCCAAGUUCUAUAAUGUAAAAUUCCCACUAGUAUAUGAAAGUGACAACAUAGGAGACUCUCUAUUAUGAAGAUCAUGGCGCUACUUUGAAGCACAAGUGUGGUAAAAGGAUAGUAACAUUGUCCCUUCUCUCUUUUUCGCUCAUCAUUUUUUUAUUUGGGCCUUUUUCUCUUUUUUUAUGGCCUCUUUUUUUCUUUUUUUUUUCUUUUCGUCCGGAGUCUCACCCUGACUUGUGGGGGAAUCAUAGUCUCCAUCAUCCUUUCCUCACUUGGGACAAUGCUCUAAUAAUGAAGAUAAUCACACUUUUAUUUACUUACAACUCAAAAAUUACAACUCAAUACUUAGAACAAAAUAUGACUCUAUGUGAAUGCCUCCGGCGGUGUAUCGGUAUAUGCAAUGAAUCAAGAGUGACAUGUAUGAAAGAAUUAUAAAGGUGGCCUUGCCACAAAUACGAUGUCAACUACAUGAUCAUGCAAAGCAAUAUGACAAUGAUGAAACGUGUCAUAAUAAAUGGAACGGUGGUCAGUUGCAUGGAAAUAUAUCUCGGAAUGGCUAUGGAAAUGCCAUAAUAGGUAGGUAUGGUGGCUGUUUUGAGGAAGGUAUAUGGUGGGUGUAUGAUACUGGCGAAAGGUGCGCGGUAUUAGAGAGGCUAGCAAUGGUGGAAGGGUGAGAGUGCGUAUAAUCCAUGGACUCAACAUUAGUCAUAAAGAACUCACAUACUUAUUGCAAAAAUCUAUUAGUUAUCUAAAUGAAGUACUACGCGCAUGCUCCUAGGGGGAUAGAUUGGUAGGAAAAGACCAUCGCUCGUCCCCGACCGCCACUCAUAAGGAAGACAAUCAAUAAAUAAAUCAUGCUCCGACUUCAUCACAUAACGGUUCACCAUACGUGCAUGCUACGAGAAUCACAAACUUUAGAACAAGUAUUUCUCAAAUUCACAACUACUCAACUAGCAUGACUCUAAUAUCACCAUCUUCAUAUCUCAAAACAAUUAUCAAGUAUCAAACUUCUCAUAGUAUUCGAUGCACUUUAUACGAUAGUUUUAUUAUACCUAUCUUGGAUGUUCAUCAUAUUAGGACUAAUUUUAUAGCCAAAACAAACUACCAUGCUGUUCUAAAAGACUGUCAAAAUAAUAUAAGUGAAGCAUGAGAUAUCAAUUAUUUCUAUAAAAUAAAACCACCACCGUUCUCUAAAAAGAUAUAAGUAAAGCACUAGAGCAAAAUUAUCCAGCUCAAAAGAUAUAAGUGAAGCGCAUAGAGUAUUAUAAUAAAUUGUAACAUCCCAAAUUUUCAAUUUGGUAUGUUAUACAUAGAUCAUCAUUGCAUAUCAUGUUUUACUGCAUUUUGACAAAUCCUCGAUAAAUCCUAAGCAACUCAAGGACCCUCGGAGAGAGUUGGGGAUUUUCUCGAAUUUUCAUAUUUGAUUUUCAUCAAAUAAUAAGACGAGGAUUUUGGUUUUAAUUAUUUUCUCUCCGGAAAAAUAUUUCAUUUAAAAAAAUAAACGAGAGGAGAAAAUAUGACUUCUCCAAAACAAUUGAAAUACUGGAGGAAAAAUGUUAAAAUCAUUUAUUGGAUUUAUUUGGAUUUUAUUUGCAAUUUUUAUUGCAUUAAAAAUAUUGCAUGUUUUCAAAAUAUUUAUUUUGAUUUAAAAAAAUGUUCACCCUAUUCUAGAUUUUCUAACUAGACGGGGAAAAUUUAUUUCAUAUUUUUCCGACUUUUAUUUAUUUUUCUACGAAUUGUUUUCCGCGGAACUUAUUUAAAAAAAAAUAUGUGCGACGCCCGCUGGGCCGAAGCCCAGCCGAGCGCCGGCCCGCACGCGCCUCUCUCCUUUUCCCGCACGGCUCCCGCCGGCCACCCCCUCCCCCAAGUCACCUCCACCACCCAUNNNNNNNNNNNNNNNNNNNNNNNNNNNNNNNNNNNNNNNNNNNNNNNNNNNNNNNNNNNNNNNNNNNNNNNNNNNNNNNNNNNNNNNNNNNNNNNNNNNNNNNNNNNNNNNNNNNNNNNNNNNNNNNNNNNNNNNNNNNNNNNNNNNNNNNNNNNNNNNNNNNNNNNNNNNNNNNNNNNNNNNNNNNNNNNNNNNNNNNNNNNNNNNNNNNNNNNNNNNNNNNNNNNNNNNNNNNNNNNNNNNNNNNNNNNNNNNNNNNNNNNNNNNNNNNNNNNNNNNNNNNNNNNNNNNNNNNNNNNNNNNNNNNNNNNNNNNNNNNNNNNNNNNNNNNNNNNNNNNNNNNNNNNNNNNNNNNNNNNNNNNNNNNNNNNNNNNNNNNNNNNNNNCACCCCGCCGCCGAGCCCGGAGCCCGCCGGAGCCCUCGCCGGAGUAGCCCCGACGAGGUACUGCCGCUGCCUCGUUUCGUCGUUGCCGGUUUUCGUUUUAAAAAAAACCCUAGAUCGGUUUUUUUUUCGGUUUUAUUAUUUUGCGAGCGUUCACUGAACCGUUCGUUUUAACAAACGCGUUCGUCGGUUUUUCUCUGUUGACGAACGUCCGUUCUUUAACCGUUCGUCCGUUUUUCUUUUUCGUCGGAUUUUUCUGCGAUUAUCUCAGAUUCGAUUUCUGAUCGAAUCUUUGAUUCUGUUUAACUUCUCGCUCGUUUAUCAGAAUCAGGCGAUUCAAGCGCCUAGAGUUUCGUCUCGAAAUUCUCUUUCCGUUUAACCUACUCAAACAAGUUUUUGCUACAGUAAAAUUUGACCUAGAUCCAGAUUAGUAAACGAAGCUAUUUUCUUUCGCCGUUUGAUUUUCAUUGCUUCUUUCGAGUUGAUUCUUUUUGCAAACCGGAGUUCUUAAGUUGAAGUUUCUGGUUGGAUCUUUCAUUCGAGUUUUACCUGUGCAUUAGAUGAGUACUGAUUGUAUGCUUGUUUAUUUGCGAUAGAGUACCCGGAGUGUGCCGCUUGUUUCUUCGAAUCGCUAGGUUUUGCGGAUCAUCAGCAAGGCAAGUAACACUUUGAUCAUAUACCUUCCAUACCCAGUUUUUAUUGCAUUAGAUCUGUUUUCCUCAAACACUUGCAUGAUUAGGAUCUAAUUAAAUUGUGGGUAUUGGGAAGUAGUUGUGGUAGUACCUAUUACCUGUUUAUUAUCAAACCCUUGGGAGUUACUUCUACGUUGCUAUUAUUAUUGCCAUGCUAUGCUCGUAGACGUGGAUUGGGUUUGAGUGAAAUUCAUGACAGAUGUGAGAUUUGUUAAUUAAUGGUUUACUUAAGGUGGCAACUAAAACUCACAUCUGGGUGGAUUGAGGUACCUGGGUAUUCCAGGAUUGCCUGUUUUUCUUUUGGACCGCCACCCAGGUUCAAAGGGAUCAUGAGAUUAUUCGUGCUAGAAACUUCUGUGUGCAGCCGCAAGCUAUUAUGGGCUCUAGCAUAGUUGACUAAGUUGUGUGAACUCUUACAGUGGUAGACUAGCAGAUGUAGGGGAAAGUAGGUGUAACUGUCUACCCAUACGUAAGGUGCAAACACUUCUGAAAGACUGUGUCUCGGUCAUCCGUUACUCAAACACCAUGUAGUGCGAGUAAUCCAACGGAGGAGAUCGAGUCUUGUGCGGAAAAGUGCACAAACCUCUGCAGAGUGUACAAACUAAUCAUGGUUAGCCGUGUCCCCGGUUAUGGACAACUUGAGUAUCUAGUACUUGGAUUAUCAUGUGAAUCUCAUCACUAUGUUACUACUAAUUAAUUUGUUGGGUUAUUGAUGACAUUUAAUUGGGAUUGAGAUGCUGUCAACCAUCUCAAUGUUUCACAACCACCAUGAUAGUUAAAUAAAAUUUAUUCCUUUGAGGUAGGAUAAAAUUGGCUUUUCGCAAAAUUGUAACCAUAGAGAUUUCCACCAGCCAUAUAUGCAUGUAGUAUAGCAUUGUUGUUGUUCAUUAUUCUCUAUGUGUUACAUUGCCAGCAUAUUCUAUGUGCUGACCCGUUUUCGGGCUGCAACGUUUCAUGUUGCAGACUUUUCAGACGACGAGUAAGGUGCCUUAGGUCGUGGUCUUAUACUCAGUGAUGCCGCUGGAGUUGAUGGACUCACUUAUCUUCCAAGUCUUCCGCUGUUAUCGUUGUUAGAUGGCCUUAAGCCAUGUUUAUCAUACUUAUUCUCUUUGGAGAUAUUCGAUGUAAUAAGUGUGUGAUUGCUACUCUGUUAUAAAUCCUCCAUUUGUACUGUGCGUGUCAGCAUUACUGAUCCAGGGAUGACACUGGUGCACAGCAGCACAGACCAUUUGAGGUCUGGUCGCUACAAAGUUGGUAUCAGAGCACACGCUGACUGUAGGACACGACCACUAAGCUUAAGCCCUAGAAAGCUUCUCUCUUCUCAUUUCUGACCCCUCUCCUUUUUCUACUCUUUUAGGAAUGGCGAAUGCAAGGAGCAAGUUCAUGCAACCAGAUGAAGACACGCCGUUUGGUCGACACUUGAAGGAAGUCACCAAGUACUUGAACAUAGGAAUACCAAGCAUCACCGGAACCUACAACGCCACAUUACCUGAAGAGGAGAGCUGGAAGAUUCAAGUUAUCAUUCCAGGAAGGAUGUUUAGUGCCAUGAGAUUGGUUUUCGAAGCACCAACUUGGAGUUUAGGGAAGAGCAUGGCCGCACAUAUCGCCCUGGGACGCAUUGGAGAAGUCUACCACCAGGAGCUUAAGGAUACAAUUUAUCAGAUUUGUGGAUGUCGAGACGCACAAUGGGAGAUGAUUAAGACCAAGAAGGAUGGAUCAAUUGCAGCUUUCAUCCAGGAGCAGAACCAACAUAUUCGUCGCCAGGAGAAUCAGAUGUGCACGGACAAGGAAGAACUGAAGAAGGCAUUAACGAAGAUCAAGGAGCUCCAAGAAGAACUCAAGGCUACACGCGAAGAUUAUUUGGAGGAAAUCAACGCACUAGUAGGGAAGAAUGACGACCUGGAGAAGAAGAUUGGAGUAUUCGUGGGAAAUCCAGUGCCAAAAGCAGAAGUCGACGAAUGCACUUGUCCGGAUAACUACAUCAUCAUCGACGACACCGACUCAGAACCAAGUGAAGACGACUGGGUUGAUAAAGCUGGAGCAGACAUCAUGGAGUCUACAAUGGAUCAGAAUUUCUAGUAGACCACCAUAUCAGUAGUAGUUUUCCCCCAUUUAAUAGUAUAGUUCAAGCACUUUGUAACGCUAGUUAGAUCGAUUGUUUUGCCUUGUUUGAAUUGAUUGAGUGAUAUUGAUUGAAUUUGUCUCAUGAGCAUAUGGGUAGUGUUUUCUCUCUAGACCUCAUUCUAUUCUUAACUCUCAUCUUUUCUAAACCUAUCAGAUGCCUCCGAGACGCGACACCGGAUUUGUUUUCCCGCCAGAGAUCACCCAGUUGAUUCAGCAACAGAAUGCCCUGAUGCAAGUGUUAGUGCAGAACCAAGGCAACAACAACAACAACCCACCGCCACCACCACCUGUUGAUCACCUAGCCCGUUUCCUGAGGCUAAACCCGCCAGUGUUUUUCAGUAGCACCGAGCCGAUUGUUGCAGAUGAUUGGCUCCGCAAAGUUGGAAGGGAGUUGACCACUGCAGGAUGCACAGAUGCGGAAAGAGUGUGUUUUGCCGCACAUCAGCUUGAUGGACCCGCAGCAUCAUGGUGGGAGAAUUAUACAGCCACGCACCCUAUUGACACUGUCACAUGGGACCAGUUUCAGCAAGCCUUGCGUACAGCUCAUGUUUCAGCAGGAGCUAUGGCUAUGAAGAAGCGUGAGUUUCGCAACCUACGCCAAGGAGGACGCACCAUAGGCCAGUAUGUGGAGGAAUUCAGUAAGUUAGCACGUUAUGCACCAGAUGACGUUGCUACAGAUGCAGCCAAGCAGGAGUAGUUUUUGGAAGGACUGAAUGAUGAGCUGAGUAUGCAGUUGAUGGUAGCAACUUUCAACAACUACCAGGAGCUGGUAGACAGAGCUCUCAUGAUUGAAGGGAAGCAACAGCAGAUUGAAAACCGUAAGAGGAAGUAUGGACAAGGGAAGUAUAACUCAGGAGCUCAGCAGAAGCCUCAAUUUACCCCAAAGCCGGGAGGACAGUUUCAGCAUACCCAUGGAAGAGGUAGUUCGCACAACCAUAAUGUCUCCAAGAGUGGUAAUGGGAAUGGAGGAAGCAACGGACAGAACCGCACCAACCCAUCUACCCCAGCCAAGAGGGACCUGAGCCAAGUCACUUGCUUUAAGUGUCAGAAGAAUGGACAUUAUGCCAAUGAAUGUCCUGAAGCCCAAAAUGGAAAUGGCAAUGGAAGCUCUGGGAAGAAGCCGAACCCGUUCAACAAAGGACACGUGAACCACGUGAGCGUGGAAGAGGUUGAAGCUCAGCCUGAUGCAGUAAUAGGUAAGUUUUUGGUUAAGUCAUUCACUGCAACCGUUCUUUUCGAUACUGGUGCAUCGCAUUCAUACAUAUCAAGGGGAUUCGUGAAUAAGUUUAAGAUGUCCACCAAAGUUCUCAGAAAUCCUAUGUUAGUAACCUCGCCAGGAGCAGAGUAUAUGGCCACCCAAGGAUGUUUUCAGAUACCAUUGGCCAUUGGUAGGCAUGUUUUCCCCUCAGACCUCAUUGUUUUGGAAUCGCAAGGUUUGGAUGUGAUUUUGGGAAUGGAUUGGCUAUCGUUGUAUGGAGGAAACAUCGAUUGUGCCAGCAAGACGAUUUUGCUUACCACCCCAGAAGGAAAAAGGAUCAAGUAUGUAUCCCGGCAUAUGCCGAAGAGGACUCAAGUAAAUUCCUUAUCAGGAGUUGUACAGGAGGAAGUACCAGUGGUGAAAGAUUAUCCGGAUGUAUUUCCAGAAGAGUUGCCUGGCAUGCCACCGGAUAGAGACAUUGAGUUCUUGAUUGAACUUUUGCCAGGCACAGGGCCAAUAUCUAAGAGACCGUACAGGAUGCCCGCAAAAGAUUUGGAAGAAAUUAAGAAGCAGAUCAAGGAGUUACUGGAUAAAGGCUAUAUUCGCCCAAGUUCGUCACCUUGGGGAUCACUAGUACUUCUAGUGGAGAAGAAAGAUGGAUCAUUGAGGAUGGUUGUUGAUUACCGUGGAUUGAAUGAAGUGACCAUCAAAAACAAGUACCCGCUGCCGAUGAUAAAUGAUUUGUUUGACCGCCUACAAGGAGCUAAAGUAUUUUCCAAGAUCGAUCUACGAUCAGGAUACCAUCAGUUAAAGAUUCGAGAGCAGGAUAUACCCAAGACGGCAUUUACCACCAGAUAUGGAUUAUAUGAGUAUACCGUUAUGUCAUUUGGUCUGACUAACGCACCUGCCUAUUUCAUGAACCUGAUGAACAAAGUGUUUAUGGAAUUUUUGGAUAAGUUCGUCGUGGUGUUCAUUGAUGAUAUUUUAAUCUUUUCCAAGGAUGAAGAAGAGCAUGAGGAACAUUUACGAUUGGUACUUGAGAAGCUCAGAGAACACCAAUUAUAUGCCAAGUUCGGCAAAUGUGAGUUUUGGUUGAAGGAAGUUGGAUUCCUUGGACAUGUUAUUUCUGGAGAAGGAAUAGCAGUAGACCCUGCCAAGGUUGACACAGUGACAAGUUGGGGAUCACCCACGACAGUUGGAGAAAUCCGGAGUUUCCUUGGACUUGCAGGAUACUACCGGAGAUUCAUCGAGAAUUUCUCGAAGAUUGCUAAGCCCAUGACUGAGCUAUUGAAGAAGGACACCAAAUUCAAUUGGACUGAGGAAUGUGAAGCUAGUUUCUAAGAGUUGAAGGAACGAUUGGUUACAUCACCAGUGUUGAUUCUGCCAGAUCAACGCAAGGAUUAUGAAGUUUAUUGCGACGCUUCUCGUCGAGGACUUGGAGCAGUGCUUAUGCAGGAAGGAAGAGUUGUGUCAUAUGCUUCACGACAACUUAAACCCCAUGAGAAGAAUUAUGCUACGCAUGAUUUGGAAUUAGCAGCCGUGGUGCAUGCAUUGAAGACAUGGAGACAUUUUCUCAUCGGAAACCAUUGUGAGGUGUACAUGGAUCACAAGAGUUUGAAGUACAUUUUCACGCAGAAGGAGUUAAAUCUCAGACAGCGGAGAUGGCGGGAGCUCAUUAAAGAUUAUGAUAUGAGAUUGCAUUAUCACCCUGGAAAGGCUAACGUAGUAGCAGACGCGUUGAGCCGCAAGAGUCAUAUCAACACCCUCAUGACAGGAGAGUUACCUCAGGAGUUAGCUGAGGACCUUCGCGAGCUAUGUUUGGAGAUAGUCCCAAGAGGCUAUUUAGCGGCAUUGGAGAUUCAGUCUACCUUGAUGGAAAGGAUCAGAGAAGCUCAGAAGACAGACAAGGAGAUUGAAGAGAUAAAGGAGAAAAUGAGCAAAGGAAAAGCCAAGGGAUUUCAUGAGGAUGAGCACGAUACCUUAUGGUUUGAGGACCGCGUAUAUGUGCCAAAUGAUCCGGAGAUCAGGAAGUUGAUUUUGCAAGAAGCCCAUGAUUCACCGUACUCGAUUCACCCAGGGAAUACCAAGAUGUAUUUGGAUUUGAAGAAUACUUUCUGGUGGACCGGAAUGAAGAAGGAUAUUGCAGAGUAUGUAGCAGUUUGUGAUGUAUGUCAGAGAGUGAAGGCAGAGCAUCAGAAGCCAGCAGGAUUGCUACAACCAUUGCCGAUACCCGAAUGGAAGUGGGAAAAAAUAGGCAUGGAUUUUAUCACAGGAUUACCCAGGACUCGUUCUGGCUAUGACUCAAUAUGGGUUGUAGUCGACUGUUUGACGAAAGUGGCUCAUUUCAUUCCAGUAAAGACCACUUACACCAGUGCUAAGUUGGCAAAGAUAUACAUGACCAGAAUCGUAUGUUUGCAUGGAGUUCCGAGGACCAUUGUAUCAGACAGAGGAACCCAGUUUACCUCGAAGUUUUGGAAGCAGUUACAUGAAACAUUGGGAACCAGGCUGGAAUUUAGUACAACAUUUCACCCACAGACAGAUGGACAGACCGAAAGAGUCAACCAGAUUUUGGAGGACAUGUUGAGAGCAUGUGCACUAGAUUAUGGAUCCAGCUGGGACGACAAUUUGCCAUAUGCGGAGUUUUCGUAUAACAAUAGUUAUCAAACUAGUUUGAAGACGGCCCCUUUUGAAGCCUUGUACGGAAGGAGGUGUAGAACACCGUUGUUAUGGGACGAAGUUGGAGACCGUCAGUUGUUUGGACCAGAUUUGAUUAAGGAGUCUGAACAGAAAGUGAGGUUGAUUCGCGAUAGGCUCAAGGUAGCCCAGUCCAGGCAGAAGAGUUAUACUGAUUCUAAACGAAAGGAGACAGUUCACGAAGUCGGAGACCGAGUAUAUCUUCGAGUAUCACCCCUUCGAGGAGUGAAGCGCUUUGGAGUUAAGGGAAAGUUAGCGCCCCGUUUUAUCGGACCAUACAGAGUGUUGGAACGUAUGGGAGAAGUUGCCUACAAGUUGGAAUUGCCCGAAGGAUUGUCUGGAGUACAUGAUGUAUUUCACGUUUCACAGAUGAAGAAGUGCCACACAGAGAUGGCUGAGAUACCACUGAGAGAUACUGUGCCACUGGAAGCGAUUCAGUUGGAAAGUGAUUUGACUUAUGAAGAGAAGCCAGUUAAGAUUCUCAAGUAUGCCAGCCGAGUUACCCGCAGCAAGGUUAUCAAGUUUUGCAAAGUUCAGUGGAGUCACCACACGGAGGAUGAAGCCACCUGGGAGCGAGAGGAAUAUCUACGGAAAGACCACACCCACCUGUUUUCUAGCCAACCCGAAUCUCGAGGGCGAGAUUCAUCUUAAGGGGGGUAGGUUUGUAACAUCCCAAAUUUUCAAUUUGGUAUGUUAUACAUAGAUCAUCAUUGCAUAUCAUGUUUUAUUGCAUUUUGACAAAUCCUCGAUAAAUCCUAAGCAACUCAAGGACCCUCGGAGAGAGUUGGGGAUUUUCUCGAAUUUUCAUAUUUGAUUUUCAUCAAAUAAUAAGACGAUGAUUUUGGUUUUAAUUAUUUUCUCUCCGGAAAAAUAUUUCAUUUAAAAAAAUAAACGAGAGGAGAAAAUAUGACUUCUCCAAAACAAUUGAAAUACUGGAGGAAAAAUGUUAAAAUCAUUUAUUGGAUUUAUUUGGAUUUUAUUUGCAAUUUUUAUUGCAUUAAAAAUAUUGCAUGUUUUCAAAAUAUUUAUUUUGAUUUACAAAAAUGUUCACCCUAUUCUAGAUUUUCUAACUAGACGGGGACAAUUUAUUUCAUAUUUUUCUGAUUUUUAUUUAUUUUUCUACGAAUUGUUUUCCGCGGAACUUAUUUAAAAAAAAUAUGCGCGACGCCCGCUGGGCCGAAGCCCAGCCGAGCGCCGGCCCGCCCGCGCCUCUCUCCUUCUCCCGCACGGCUCCCGCCAGCCACCCCCUCCCCCAAGUCACCUCCACCCCCCUAUUUAUACCGCCGCCCCCCNNNNNNNNNNNNNNNNNNNNNNNNNNNNNNNNNNNNNNNNNNNNNNNNNNNNNNNNNNNNNNNNNNNNNNNNNNNNNNNNNNNNNNNNNNNNNNNNNNNNNNNNNNNNNNNNNNNNNNNNNNNNNNNNNNNNNNNNNNNNNNNNNNNNNNNNNNNNNNNNNNNNNNNNNNNNNNNNNNNNNNNNNNNNNNNNNNNNNNNNNNNNNNNNNNNNNNNNNNNNNNNNNNNNNNNNNNNNNNNNNNNNNNNNNNNNNNNNNNNNNNNNNNNNNNNNNNNNNNNNNNNNNNNNNNNNNNNNNNNNNNNNNNNNNNNNNNNNNNNNNNNNNNNNNNNNNNNNNNNNNNNNNNNNNNNNNNNNNNNNNNNNNNNNNNNNNNNNNNNNNNNNNNNNNNNNNNNNNNNNNNNNNNNNNNNNNNNNNNNNNNNNNNNNNNNNNNNNNNNNNNNNNNNNNNNNNNNNNNNNNNNNNNNNNNNNNNNNNNNNNNNNNNNNNNNNNNAGUAGCCCCGACGAGGUACUGCCGCUGCCUCGUUUCGUCGUUGCCGGUUUUCGUUUAAAAAAAACCCUAGAUCGGUUUUUUUUUCGGUUUUAUUAUUUUGCGAGCGUUCACCGAACCGUUCGUUUUAACGAACGCGUUCGUCGGUUUUUCUCUGUUAACGAACGUCCGUUCUUUAACAGUUCGUCCGUUUUUCUUUUUCGUCGGAUUUUUCUGCGAUUAUCUCAGAUUCGAUUUCUGAUCGAAUCUUCGAUUCUGUUUAACUUCUCGCUCGUUUAUCGGAAUCAGGCGAUUCAAGCGCCUAGAGUUUCGUCUCGAAAUUCUCUUUCCGUUUAACCUACUCAAACAAGUUUUUGCUACAGUAAAAUUUGACCUAGAUCCAGAUUAGUAAACGAAGCUAUUUUCUUUCGCCGUUUGAUUUUCGUUGCUUCUUUCGAGUUGAUUCUUUUUGCAAACCGGAGUUCUUAAGUUGAAGUUUCUGGUUGGAUCUUUCAUUCGAGUUUUACCUGUGCAUUAGAUGAGUACUGAUUGUAUGCUUGUUUGUUUGCGAUAGAGUACCCGGAGUGUGCCGCUUGUUUCUUCGAAUCGCUAGGUUUUGCGGAUCAUCAGCAAGGCAAGUGACACUUUGAUCAUAUACCUUCCAUACCCAGUUUUUAUUGCAUUAGAUCUGUUUUCCUCAAACACUUGCAUGAUUAGGAUCUAAUUAAAUUGUGGGUAUUGGGAAGUAGUUGUGGUAGUACCUAUUACCUGUUUAUUAUCAAACCCUUGGGAGUUACUUCUAUGUUGCUAUUAUUAUUGCCAUGCUAUGCUCGUAGACGUGGAUUGGGUUUGAGUGAAAUUCAUGACAGAUGUGAGAUUUGUUAAUUAAUGGUUUACUUAAGGUGGCAACUAAAACUCACAUCUGGGUGGAUUGAGGUACCUGGGUAUUCCAGGAUUGCCUGUUUUUCUUUUGGACCGCUACCCAGGUUCAAAGGGAUCAUGAGAUUAUUCAUGCUAGAAACUUCCGUGUGCAGCCGCAAGCUAUUAUGGGCUCUAGCAUAGUUGACUAAGUUGUGUGAACUCUUACAGUGGUAGACUAGCAGAUGUAGGGGAAAGUAGGUGUAACUGUCUACCCAUACGUAAGGUGCAAACACUUCUGAAAGACUGUGUCUCGGUCAUCCGUUACUCAAACACCAUGUAGUGCGAGUAAUCCAACGGAGGAGAUCGAGUCUUGUGGGGAAAAGUGCACAAACCUUUGCAGAGUGUACAAACUAAUCAUGGUUAGCCGUGUCCCCGGUUAUGGACAACUUGAGUAUCUAGUACUUGGAUUAUCAUGUGAAUCUCAUCACUAUGUUACUACUAAUUAAUUUGUUGGGUUAUUGAUGACAUUUAAUUGGGAUUGAGAUGCUGUCAACCAUCUCAAUGUUUCACAACCACCAUGAUAGUUAAAUAAAAUUUAUUCCUUUGAGGUAGGAUAAAAUUGGCUUUUCGCAAAAUUGUAACCAUAGAGAUUUCCACCAGCCAUAUAUGCAUGUAGUAUAGCAUUGUUGUUGUUCAUUAUUCUCUAUGUGUUACAUUGCCAGCAUAUUCUAUGUGCUGACCCGUUUUCGGGCUGCAACGUUUCAUGUUGCAGACUUUUCAGACGACGAGUAAGGUGCCUUAGGUCGUGGUCUUAUACUAAGUGAUGCCGCUGGAGUUGAUGGCCUCACUUAUCUUCCAAGUCUUCCGCUGUUAUCGUUGUUAGAUGGCCUUAAGCCAUGUUUAUCAUACUUAUUCUCUUUGGAGAUAUUCGAUGUAAUAAGUGUGUGAUUGCUACUCUGUUAUAAAUCCUCCAUUUGUACUGUGCGUGUCAGCAUUACUGAUCCAGGGAUGACACUGGUGCACAGCAUCACAGACCAUUUGAGGUCUGGUCGCUACAUAAAUUCCGAUUCAUGUGUGUCUCUCCCAAAAGGUGUGUACAGCAAGGAUGAUUGUGGUAAACUAAAAAUCAAAGACUCAAAUCAUACAAGACGCUCCAAGCAAAACACAUAUCAUGUGGUGAAUAAAAAUAUAGCCUCAAGUAAAGUUACCGAUAGACGAAGACGAAAGAGGGGAUGCCUUCUGGGGCAUCCCAUGCUUAGGAUUUUGGUUGUCCUUGAAUUUUACCUUGGGCGUCCCCAAGCUUAGGCUCUUUCCACUCCUUAUUCCAUAAUCCAUCAAAUCUUUACCCAAAACUUGAAAACUUCACAACACAAAACUCAACAGAAAAUCUCAUGAGCUCCGUUAGUAUAAGAAAACAAAUCACCACCAUAAGGUACUGUAAUUAACUCAUUAUUUAUUUAUAUUGGUGUUAAACCUACUGUAUUCCAACUUCUCUAUGGUUCAUACCCCCCGAUACUAGCCAUAGAUUCAUCAAAAUAAGCAAACAACACACGAAAAACAGAAUCUGUCAAAAACAGAACAGUCUGUAGUAAUCUGGAUCAAACGUAUACUUAUGUAACUCCAAAAAUUCUGAAAUAAAUUGGUGGACGUGAGGAAUUUGUCUAUUAAUCAUCUGCAAAAAUAAUCAACCUAAAAUCUCUCUCCAGUAAAACAUGGCAGCUAAUCUCGUGAGCGCUAAAGUUUUUGUUUUUUACAGCAAGAUCAUAAAGACUUCACCCAAGUCUUCCCAAAGGUUCUACUUGGCACAAACACUAAUUUAAAACAUGAAAACAUAUCUUAACAGAAGCUAGAUUAUUUAUUUAUUACUAAACAGAACCAAAAAGCAAGAAACAAAAAUAAAAUUGGGUUGCCUCCCAACAAGCGCUAUCGUUUAACGCCCCUAGCUACGCAUAAAGGCAAGAAUAGAUCUAGGUAUUAUCAUCUUUGGUAUACAAUCCAUAAGUGGCUCUCAUAAUAGAUUCAUAAGGUAAUUUGGUUUUCUUCCUAGGAAAGUGUUCCAUGCCUUUUCUUAACGGAAAUUGGAAUAUAAUAUUUCCUUCUUUCAUAUCAAUAAUUGCACCAAUCGUUCUAAGGAAAGGUCUACCAAGAAUAAUAGGACAUGUAGGAUUGCAAUCUAUAUCAAGAACAAUGAAAUCUACGGGCACAUAAUUCCUAUUUGCAACAAUAAGUACAUCAUUAAUUCUUCCCAUAGGUUUCUUAAUGGUGGAAUCCGCAAGAUGCAUAUUUAAAGAACAAUCAUCAAAUUCACGGAAACCUAACACAUCACAUAAGGUUUUUGGAAUCGUGGAAACACUAGCACCCAAAUCACAUAAAUCAUAGCAUUCAUGGUCUUUAAUCUUAAUUUUAAUAGUAGGUUCCCACUCAUCAUAAAGUUUUCUAGGGAUAGAAACUUCUAAUUCAAGCUUUUCUUCAUAGGAUUGCAUUAAGGCAUCAGCGAUAUGUUUGGUAAAAGCUUUAUUUUGACUAUAAGCAUGAGGGGAAUUUAACACGGAUUGCAACAAGGAAAUACAAUAUAUUAAAGAACAAUUAUCAUAAUUAAAUUCCUUGAAAUCCAAAAUAGUGGGUUCAUUGCUAUGUAAAGUUUUGACCUCUUCAAUCCCGCUUUUACCAAUUUUUGCAUCAAGAUCUAAAAACUCCGAAUCAUUGGGACGCCUUUUAACUAAAGUUGACUCAUCUCCAGUCCCAUCUUUAUCAAGAUUCAUAUUGCAAAACAAAGAUUUAAUAGGGGACACAUCAAUCACUUUUAGAUCUUCAUCCUUAUUAUCAUGAAAACUAGAAGAACACGCUUUUACAAAGCAAUCUUUCUUAGCAUGCAUCCUAGCGGUCCUUUCCUUGCACUCAUCAAUGGAAAUUCUCAUAGAUUUGAGAGACUCAUUGAUAUCAUGCUUAGGUGGAAUAGAUUUAAGUUUCAAAGAAUCAACAUCAAGAGAAAUUCUAUCUACAUUCCUAGCCAAUUCAUCAAUCUUAGGCAAUUUUUCUUCAAGCAAAGCAUUGAAAUUCUUUUGCGAACUAAUAAAUUCUUUAACACUAGUCUCAAAAUCAGAGGGGAUCUUAUUAUAAUUUCCAUAAGAGUUGUUGUAGGAAUUACCAUAAUUAUUAGAGGAAUUACUAGGGAACGACCUAGGAUUGAAGUUUCCUCUAUACGCGUUGUUACCAAAAUUGUUCCUACCAACAAAAUUAACAUCCAUAGAUUCAUUAUUAUUCUCAAUCAAAGUGGACAAAGGCAUAUCAUUAGGAUCAAUAGGAGCACUCUUAUUAGCAAACAAUUUCAUAAGUUCAUCCAUCUUUCCACUCAAAACAUUAUUCUCUUCUAUCGCACGAUCCUUUUUACUAAUAGAUCUUUCGGUGUGCCAUUGAGAAUAAUUAACCAUAAUAUUAUCUAGGAGUUUAGUUUCUUCUCCUAAAGUGAUUUCCAUAAAAGUGCCUCCUGCGGCCGAAUCUAAAAGAUUUCUAGAAGCAAAAUUCAAUCCGGCAUAAAAAAUUUGUAUGAUCAUCCAUAAAUUUAAUCCAUGUGUAGGGCAAUUGCGAAUCAUUAAUUUCAUCCUCUUCCAAGAUUGUGCAACUUGCUCAUGAUCAAGUUGCUUAAAAUUCAUAAUAUAGUUUCUAAGAGAGAUGAUCUUAGCGGGAGGAAAAUACUUAGAGAUAAAAGCAUCUUUGCACUUAUUCCAUGAAUCAAUACUAUUUUUAGGCAAAGACGAAAACCAAGUUUUAGCACGAUCUCUAAGAGAAAACGGAAAUAGCUUCAAUUUAACAAUAUCAUUAUCCACGUCUUUCUUCUUUUGAUAUCACACAAAUCAAGAAAGUUGUUUAGAUGAAUAGCGGUAUCUUCACUAGGAAGGCCAGAUAAUUGAUCUUUCAUGACAAUAUUCAACAAAGCAGCAUUAAUUUCACAAGAUUCAACAUCGGUAAGAAGAGCAAUCGGAGUGCUAAGAAAAUCAUUAUUGUUGGUAUCGGAGUGCUAAUUACUACUUUAUCACACAAUUUAGUAUUGUCUUGAGCCAUCGUGACAAACAAUCCAACACACAAGCACACAAGAAGCAAGCGAAAAAAAGCGAACCGAAAAGAGGGCAAAUAAAACGGCAAAGGUUAAGUGGGGGAGAGGAAAACGAGAGGCAAAUGGUAAAUAAUUUAAUGCGAGGGAUAAGAGUUUGUGAUGGGUACUUGGUAUGUCUUGACUUGGCGUUAGCCUCCCCAGCAAUGGCGCCAGAAAUCCUUCUUGCUACCUCUUGAGCAUGCGUUGGUUUUCCCUUAAAGAGGAAAGUGUGAUGCAGCAAAGUAGCGUAAGUAUUUCCCUCAGUUUUGAGAACCAAGGUAUCAAUCCAGUAGGAGGUUACGCACAAGUCACCUUGUACCUACACAAACAAAUAAGAACCUUGGAACCAACGCGGUAAAGGGGUCGUCAAUCCCUUCACGGCCACUUGCAAAAGUGAGAUCUGAUAAAGAUAAUAAGAUAAAUAUUUUUGGUAUUUUUAUGAUAUAGAUUGGAAAGUAAAGAUUGCAAAAUAAAAGACGGAAGGAAUAGUAAAUUGAUAGGAAUAUAAUGUAGCGACCAGACCUCAAACAAUCUGAUCUACCGUGCACCAGUGUCAUCCCUGGAUCAGUAAUGCUGACACGCACAGUACUUGGAGGAUUUAUAACAGAGUAGCAAUCACACACUUAUUACAUCGAAUAUCUCAAGAGAGAAAUAAGUAUGAAAAAUAUGGCUUAAGGUAACAGCGGAAGACUUGGAAGAUAAGUGAGUCCAUCAACUCCAACGACAUCACUGAGUAUAAGACCACGACCUAAGGCACCUUACUCGUCGUCUGAAAAGUCUGCAACAUGAAACGUUGCAGCCCGAAAAUGGGUCAGCACAUGGAAUAUGCUGGCAAUGUAACACAUAGAGAGUAAUGAACAGAAUAAUGCUAUACUACAUGCAUAUAUGGCUGGUAGAAGGCUCUAUGGUUACAGUUUUGUGAAAAGCCAAUUUUUCCCUACUGCAAAGGAAUAAAUUUUAUUUAACUAUCAUGGUGGUUGUUAAACAUUGAGAAUGGUUGACAACAUUCUCAAUCCCAAUUAAGUAUCAUCCUUAACCCAACAAAAUUAAUUAAAGUAACAUGAUGAGAUUCACAUGAAAAUCCAGAUACUAGAUACUCAAGAUGUCCAUAACCGGGGACACGGCUAACCAUGAUUAGUUUAUACACUCUGCAAAGGUUUGUGCACUUUUCCCCACAAGACUCAAUCUCCUCCGUUAGAUUUCUCGCACUACAUGGUGUUUGAGAAACGGAUGACCGAGACACAGUCUUUCAGAAAUGUUUGCACCUUACGAAUGGGUAGACAGUACCACCUACAUCCCCUACAUCUGCUAGUCUACCACUGUAAGAGUUCACACGACCUACUCAACUAUGCUAGAGCCCAUAAUAGCUUGUGGCUGCACACGGAAGUUUCUAGCAUGAAUAAUCUCAUGAUCCCUUUGAGCCUGGGUGGCGGUCCAAAGAAAAACAGGCAAUCCUGGAAUACCCAGGUACCUCAAUCCACCCGGAUGUGUGUUUUAGUUGCCACCUUAAGUUUAGCCAUUAAUUAACAAUCUCACAUCUGUCAUGGUAACACUCAAACCCAAUCCACGUCUACUAGCAUAGCAUAACGAUAUAAGCAAACGUAGAAGUAACUCCCAAGGGUUUGAUAAUAAACAGGGCAAUAGGUACUACCUCAUCUACUUCCCAGAACCCACAAUUUAAUUACAUCCUAAUCAUGCAAUGUUUGAGGGUUGAUCUAAUGCAAUAAAAAUGGGUAGUAAAAGAAGUAUGAUCAAAGUGUUACUUGCCUUGCUGAUGAUCCGUGAAACCUAGAGAUUCACAGUAGCAAGCGGCGCACUCCGGGUACUCUAUCGCAAACAAACAAGCAUACAGUAAGCACUCAACUAAUGCACAAGUAAAACUCAAAUAAAAGAUCUAACCAGAAAGUUCAACUUAAGAACUCCGGUUUGCAAAAAGAAUCAAAUCAAACGAAGCAACGAAAGUCAAACAGGGAAAGAAACAAGCUUCGUUUACUAAUCUGGAUCUAGGUCAAAUUUUACAGUAGCAAAAACUUGUUUGAGUUGGUUAAACGGAAAGAGAAUUUCGAGACGAAACUCUAGGAGCUUGAAUCGCCUAAUUUCGAUAAAUGAGCGAAAAGUUAAACUAAAACGAAAAACAGAUCGGAAAUCGCGAUCGGGAAAAAUCGCGGAAAAUCCGACGAAAAAGAAAACUGACGAACAGUUAAUCGAACGGACGUUCGUUAACAGCAACUAAACGGUGAACACGUUCGUUAAAACGAACGGACCGGUGAACGUUCACUAACUAACUAAAUCGAAAAAAAUAAACCAAUCUAUAAAAAAUAAACCUAGGGUUUCUAAAAGAAAACCGCACGGUUUUCCGGCGAAAAACCGGCGCGGUGGCUACCUCGGUCCGGCGGGAUUCCGGCAGGGUUGGACGGGGCUCCGGCGGGCUUCGGGAGAGGGCGGCGAGGGCGGCGGGGCUGCUGGUGGGACGGCGGGGUCGACGGGAGGCGACGGCGGCGGCGUUCGGCGUCGGGGCGGNNNNNNNNNNNNNNNNNNNNNNNNNNNNNNNNNNNNNNNNNNNNNNNNNNNNNNNNNNNNNNNNNNNNNNNNNNNNNNNNNNNNNNNNNNNNNNNNNNNNNNNNNNNNNNNNNNNNNNNNNNNNNNNNNNNNNNNNNNNNNNNNNNNNNNNNNNNNNNNNNNNNNNNNNNNNNNNNNNNNNNNNNNNNNNNNNNNNNNNNNNNNNNNNNNNNNNNNNNNNNNNNNNNNNNNNNNNNNNNNNNNNNNNNNNNNNNNNNNNNNNNNNNNNNNNNNNNNNNNNNNNNNNNNNNNNNNNNNNNNNNNNNNNNNNNNNNNNNNNNNNNNNNNNNNNNNNNNNNNNNNNNNNNNNNNNNNNNNNNNNNNNNNNNNNNNNNNNNNNNNNNNNNNNNNNNNNNNNNNNNNNNNNNNNNNNNNNNNNNNNNNNNNNNNNNNNNNNNNNNNNNNNNNNNNNNNNNNNNNNNNNNNNNNNNNNNNNNNNNNNNNNNNNNNNNNNNNNNNNNNNNNNNNNNNNNNNNNNNNNNNNNGUUCGGCGACUCCGGCGGGACGGGUUUUGGCGGCGGCGGCUUCGGUCGGGGGUGGGGAGAGGUGGCGGGGCGGCGGGAGUAUAUAUAUCAGGGGGGGCUUCGGCUUGGGGAAGGGGUAAGGCGGUGGGGCGGCGUGGUCCUCCCGGACUCGGGCGGCGGCGCGGCUUCGGUCUACAGGUGGGAGACGGCGACGCGGGCAUGGGCCGGCUUGGCUCGGCUGGGCCUCGGCCCAGUCGGGCGCGGGACUCUUUUUUUUUAAAUAAUUCCACCGAAACUAAAAAAAAGUCCUAGAAAAAUAAAUAAAAAUCUAAAAAUGCCAAAACAAAAUUUCACCGUCUAAUUAAAAUAAUUAGAACGAGAUGAACAUUUUCUUGGCCCUAAAAAUGCAGUUUUGAAAACGUGCAAUUUUUCUAAUGCAAAUAAAAUUGCAAUAAAAUCCGAAUAAAAUCAAAAUUUGAUUUUAAUAUUUUCCUCCAAUAUUUCAAUUAUUUUGGGGAAGUCAUAUUUUCUCCUCUCAUAUAUUUUAAUAUGAAAUAUUUUUCGGAGUGAAAAAUAAUUAAAACCAAAAAUCCUCGUUUCAUUAUUUGAUAAAAAUCAAAUAUGAAAACCGGGAAAAUCCCCAACUCUCUCCGAGGGUCCUUGAGUUGCUUAGGAUUUCGAGGAUUUGCCAAAAUGCAAUAAAAUAUGCUAUGCAAUGAUGAUCUAAUGUAUAACAUUCCAAAUUGAAAAUUUGGGAUGUUACAAACCUACCCCCUUAAGAGGAAUCUCGCCCGCGAGAUUCGGGUUGGCUAGAAAAUAGGUGAGAGUGGUCCUUCCGUAGAUCUUCCUCUCGCUCCCAGGUGGCUUCGUCCUCGGUAUGGUGAUUCCACUGAACUUUGCAAAACUUGAUAACCUUGCUGCGGGUGACUCGGCUGGCAUACUCAAGAAUCUUAACUGGUUUCUCCUCAUAGGUCAAGUCACUAUCCAGCUGAAUCGCUUCCAAUGGCACCGUAUCUCUCAGUGGUAUCUCAGCCAUCUCUGCGUGGCACUUCUUCAACUGGGAAACGUGAAAUACAUCAUGAACUCCUGACAAUCCUUCAGGCAAUUCCAGCUUGUAAGCAACUUCUCCCAUACGCUCCAAAACUUUGUAUGGUCCUACAAAACGUGGCGCUAACUUUCCCUUAACUCCAAAGCGCUUAACCCCUCGAAGUGGUGAUACUCGUAGGUAAACUCUGUCUCCGACUUCGUAAACUGUCUCCUUGCGUUUAGAAUCCGCAUAGCUCUUCUGCCUGGAUUGGGGUACCUUGAGUCUAUCGCGAAUCAACUUCACCUUCCGUUCAGACUCUUUAAUCAAAUAUGGUCCAAACAACUGGCGGUCUCCAACUUCGUCCCAUAACAAUGGUGUUCUACACCUCCUUCCGUACAAAGCUUCGAAAGGAGCCAUCUUCAAACUGGAUUGAUAACUGUUGUUGUAAGAAAACUCUGCAUACGGCAAAUUGUCGUCCCAACUAGAUCCAUAAUCUAGAGCACAAGCUCUCAGCAUAUCUUCCAAAAUCUGAUUGACUCUCUCGGUCUGUCCGUUUGUCUGUGGGUGAAAGGCUGUACUGAACUCUAGCCUGGUACCCAAAGUUUCAUGUAACUGAUUCCAAAACUUUGAAGUAAACUGGGUUCCUCUAUCUGAUACAAUGGUCCUCGGAACUCCAUGCAGACAUACGAUCCUGGUCAUGUAUAUCUUUGCCAACUUAGCACUGCUGUAAGUGGUCUUCACUGGGAUGAAAUGAGCUACUUUCGUUAAACGAUCGACUACAACCCAUAUUGAGUCAUAGCCUGAACGAGUCCUGGGCAAUCCCGUGAUAAAAUCCAUGCCUAGUUUAUCCCACUUCCAUUCGGGUAUCGGCAAUGGCUGUAGCAAUCCUGCCGGCUUCUGAUGCUCUGCCUUCACUCUCUGACAUACAUCACAAACUGCUACAUACUCCACAAUAUCCUUCUUCAUUCCGAUCCACCAGAAAGUAUCCUUCAAAUCCAAAUACAUCUUGGUAUUUCCUGGGUGAAUCGAAUACGGCGAAUCAUGGGCCUCUUGCAAGAUCAACUUCCUGAUCUCCGGAUCAUUGGGCACAUAAACGCGGUCCUCAAACCAUAAGGUAUCGUGCUCAUCCUCACGAAAUCCCUUGCCUUUUCCUUUACUCAUCCUUUUCUUUAUCUCGUCAAUCUCCUUGUCUAUCUUCUGAGCUUCCCUGAUCUUAUCCAUCAGAGUAGACCGAAUUUCUAAUGCUGCUACAUAGCCUCUCGGAACUAUCUCCAAACAUAGCUCGCGAAGAUCCUCGGCUAAUUCUUUCGGUAACUUUCCGGUCAUGAGUGUGUUGACAUGGCUCUUGCGGCUCAACGCGUCUGCUACUACGUUAGCCUUUCCGAGGUGAUAAUGCAAUCUCAUAUCAUAAUCCUUUAUGAGCUCCAACCAUCUCCUUUGCCUGAGAUUCAACUCCUUCUGCGUGAAGAUGUAUUUCAAACUCUUGUGAUCCGUGUACACCUCACAGUGGUUUCCGAUGAGAAAAUGUCUCCAUGUCUUUAGUGCAUGUACUACGACUGCUAACUCCAAAUCAUGCGUAGCGUAAUUCAGCUCAUGGGGCUUAAGCUGUCGUGAGGCAUAUGAAACAACUCUUCCUUCCUGCAUCAGCACUGCUCCAAGUCCUCGACGUGAAGCAUCGCAGUAAACUUCAUAAUCCUUGCGCUGAUCUGGCAAAAUCAACACUGGUGAUGUAACCAAACGUUUCUUUAAUUCCUGAAAACUAGCUUCACAUUCCUCAGUCCAAUUGAACCUAGUGUCUUUCUUCAACAGCUCCGUCAUGGGUUUUGCAAUCUUCGAGAAAUUUUCAAUGAAUCUCCGGUAGUAUCCUGCCAGUCCAAGAAAACUCCGAAUUUCUCCAACUGAUGUGGGUGAUUCCCAGCUUGUUACUGUGUCAAGUUUGGUGGGGUCUACUGCUAUUCCUUCUCCGGAUAUAACGUGUCCGAGGAAUCCAACUUCCUUCAGCCAAAACUCACAUUUGCUGAUCUUGGCGUAUAACUGAUGUUCUCUGAGCUUCUCAAGUACCAAACGCAAAUGCUCCUUAUGCUCCUCUUCGUUCCUUGAAUAGACCAAAAUGUCAUCAAUGAACACUACGACGAACUUAUCCAAAAACUCCAUAAACACUUUGUUCAUCAGGUUCAUGAAAUAGGCAGGGGCGUUAGUCAGACCAAAUGACGUAACGGUAUACUCAUAUAGCCCAUACCAGGUGGUAAAAGCCGUCUUAGGUAUAUCCUGCUCUCGAAUCUUCAACUGAUGGUAUCCCGAUCGCAGAUCGAUCUUGGAAAAUACCUUAGCUCCUUGCAAUCGGUCAAACAAAUCAUUGAUCAUCGGCAGUGGGUACUUGUUCUUGAUGGUCACUUCAUUCAGUCCUCGAUAAUCAACAACCAUCCUUAACGAUCCAUCCUUCUUCUCCACUAGAAGCACUGGCGAUCCCCAAGGUGAAGAACUUGGGUGAAUAUAGCCUUUAUCCAGUAACUCCUUAAUCUGCUUCUUAAUCUCCUCCAAAUCUUUUGCGGGCAUUCUGUACGGUCUCUUAGAUAUUGGCCCUGUGCCUGGCAAAAGCUCAAUCAAAAACUCAAUGUCUCUAUCCGGUGGCAUGCCUGGCAACUCUUGUGGAAAUACAUCCGGGUAAUCCUUCACCACUGGUACUUCCUCCUGUACAACUCCUGAUAAGGAAUUUACUUGAGUCCUCUUCGGCACAUGCCGGGAUACAUACUUAAUCCUUCUUCCUUCUGGGGUGGUAAGCAAAAUCGACUUACUGGCGCACUCAAUGUUCCCUCCAUACUUCGAUAACCAAUCCAUGCCUAAUAUCACAUCCAAUCCUUGCGAUUCCAGUACUAUUAGGUCCGAGGGAAACACGUAGUUACCAAUCCUUAAUGGUAACCGAUCACACCAUAAACUAGCCAUAUACUCUGCUCCUGGCGAGGUUACUAACAUGGGUGACCUAAGGGCUUGGGUUGGCAGUUUAUACUUAUCCACAAAUCCCCUUGAUAUGUAUGAAUGCGAUGCACCAGUAUCAAAAAGAAUGAGUGCAGUAAAUGACUUAACCAAAAACUUACCUAUUACUGCAUCUGGCUGAGCUUCAACCUCCUCCACGCUAACAUGGUUCACAUGUCCUUUGUUGAAAGGGUUCGGCUUCUUCCCAGAGCUUCCAUUGCCAUUUCCAUUUUUAGCUUUGGGACAUUCAUUAGCAUAAUGCCCAGUCUUCUGGCACUUGUAGCAAGUGACUUGGCUCAGAUCUCUCUUAACUGGGGUAGAUGGGUUAUUACGGUUCUGUCCGUUGCUUCCUCCAUUCCCAUUACCAUUCUUGGGUCCACUAUGGUUGUGCAAACCUCCUGCUCCAUGGGUAUGCUGAAAAGAUCCUCCCGAAUUUGGGGUAAAACGUGACUUCUGAUGAGCUCCAGAAUUGUACUUCCCUUGUCCAUACUUCCUCUUGCGGCUUUCAAUCUGCUGCUGCUUCCCUUCAAUCAUGAGAGCUCUAUCUACCAACUCCUGGUAGUUGUUGAAGGUUGCUACCAUCAACUGCAUACUCAGCUCAUCAUUCAGUCCUUCCAAAAACUUCUCCUGCUUGGCUACAUCUGUAGCAACGUCAUCUGGAGCAUAACGUGCUAACUUACUAAAGUCCUCCACAUACUGGCCUACGGUGCGUCCUCCUUGGCGUAGGUUGCGAAACUCACGCUUCUUCAUAGCCAUAGCUCCUGCUGAAACAUGGGCAGUACGGAAAGCUUGCUGAAACUGGUCCCAUGUGACAGUGUCAAUAGGGUGUGUGGCUGUGUAAUUCUCCCACCAUGAUGCUGCGGGUCCAUCAAGCUGAUGUGCGGCAAAACGCACUCUCUCCGCAUCUGUGCAUCCUGCAGUGGUCAACUCCCUUCCAACUUUGCGGAGCCAAUCAUCUGCAACAAUCGGCUCGGUGCUGCUGGAAAACACCGGCGGAUUCAGUCUCAAGAACUGGGUUAAGUGAUCAACAGGGGGUGGUGGUGGGUUGUUGUUGUUGUUGCCUUGGUUCUGUACUAACACUUGCAUCAGGGCAUUCUGCUGCUGAAUCAACUGAGUGAUCUCCGGUGGGAAAACAAAUCCGGUGUCGCGUCUCGGAGGCAUCUGAUAGGUUUAGAAAAGAUGAGAAUUUAGAAUAGAAUGAGGUCUAGAGAGAAAACACUACCCAUAUGCUCAUGAUACAAACACAAUCAAUAUCACUCAAUCAAUUCAAACAAGGCAUACAAUCGAUCUAACUAUCAUUACAAAGUGCUCGGACUAUACUAUAUACAUGGGGGAAUACUACUACUGAUUAUGGUGGUCUACUAGAAAUUUUGUUCGGUCGAAGACUCCAUGAUAUCUGCUCCAGCUUCAUCAACAAAAUCAUCUUCACUGGAGUCCGAGUCGGUGUCGUCGAUGAUGAUGUAGUUAUCCGGGCAAGCGCAAUCAUCAUCUUCUCCUCCUGGUGCUGGGUCUCCCAUGAAUACUCCGAUCUUCUUUAUCAGCUCGUCAUUCUUCUCCACCAGUGCGACGAUUUCCUCCAUAUAAUCCUCGCGUGUAGCCUUGAGUUCUUCCUUCAACUCCGUGAUCUUGGUCAAUGCCUUCUUCAGAUCUAUCAUGUCUGCGCACAUCUGGUUCUCCUGGCGAUGAAUGUGUUGGUUUUGUUCCUGGAUGAAAGCUGCAAUUGAUCCAUCCUUCUUGGUGCUGAUCAUCUCCCAUUGCUCAUCUCGGCGUCCACAAAUCUGAUAAAUAGUACCCUUAAGCUCCCUGUGGUAGACUUCUCCAAUGCGUACCAUAGUGAUGUGGGCUGCCAUGCUCUUCCCUAAACUCCAGGUUGGUGCAUCAAAGGAAAACUCUAUAGGCUCAGUGACUGGCGUAAACGUCCUUCCUGGAACUUGAACUUGAAUCUUCCAGCGCUCCUCUUCUGGUAGUGUGGUGUUGUAGGUCCCGGUGAAGCUUGGUAUUCCGAUGUUCAGGUACUUAGUGACUUCCUUCAAGUGUUGUCCAAAAGGUGUAUCUUCAUCCGGUUGCAUGAACUUGUUCCUUGCAUCCGCCAUUCCUAAAAGAGUAGAAAAUGGAGAGGAGUCAGAAAUGAGAAGAGAGUAGUUAUCUAGGGUUUAAGCUUAGUGGUCGUGUCCUAUAGUCAGCGUGUGCUCCGAUACCACCUUGUAGCGACCAGACCUCAAACAAUCUGAUCUACCGUGCACCAGUGUCAUCCCUGGAUGAGUAAUGCUGACACGCACAGUACUUGGAGGAUUUAUAAUAGAGUAGCAAACACACACUUAUUACAUCGAGUAUCUCAAGAGAGAAAUAAGUAUGACAAAUAUGGCUUAAGGCCAUCUAAAAUGAUAACAGCGGAAGACUUGGAAGAUAAGUGAGUCCAUCAACUCCAACGACAUCACUGAGUAUAAGCCCAUGCCCUAAGGCACCUUACUCGUCGUCUGAAAAGUCUGCAACAUCAAACGUUGCAGCCCGAAAACGGGUCAGCACAUGGAAUAUGCUGGCAAUGUAACACAUAGAGAGUAAUGAAUAGAAUAAUGCUAUACUACAUGCAUAUAUGGAUGGUAGAAGGCUCUAUGGUUACAGUUUUGCGAAAAGCCAAUUUUUCCCUACUGCAAAGGAAUAAAUUUUAUUUAACUAUCAUGGUGGUUGUUAAACAUUGAGAAUGGUUGACAGCAUUCUCAAUCCCAAUUAAGUAUCAUCCUUAACCCAACAAAAUUAAUUAAAGUAACAUGAUGAGAUUCACAUGAUAAUCCAGAUACUAGAUACUCAAGAUGUCCAUAACCGGGGACACGACUAACCAUGAUUAGUUUAUACACCCUGCAGAGGUUUGUGCACUUUUCCCCACAAGACUCAAUCUCCUCCGUUAGAUUUCUCGCACUACAUGGUGUUUGAGAAACGGAUGACCGAGAGACAGUCUUUCAGAAGUGUUUGCACCUUACGAAUGGGUAGACAGUACCACCUACAUCCCCUACACCUGCUAGUCUACCACUGUAAGAGUUCACACGACCUACUCAACUAUGCUAGAGCCCAUAAUAGCUUGUGGCUGCACACGGAAGUUUCUAGCAUGAAUAAUCUCAUGAUCCCUUUGAGCCUGGGUGGCGGUCCAAAGAAAAACAGGCAAUCCUGGAAUACCCAGGUACCUCAAUCCACCCGGAUGUGUGUUUUAGUUGCCACCUUAAGUUUAGCCAUUAAUUAACAAUCUCACAUCUGUCAUGGUAACACUCAAACCCAAUCCACGUCUACUAGCAUAGCAUAACGAUAUAAGCAAACGUAGAAGUAACUCCCAAGGGUUUGAUAAUAAACAGGGCAAUAGGUACUACCUCAUCUACUUCCCAGAACCCACAAUUUAAUUACAUCCUAAUCAUGCAAUGUUUGAGGGUUGAUCUAAUGCAAUAAAACUGGGUAGUAAAAGAAGUAUGAUCAAAGUGUUACUUGCCUUGCUGAUGAUCCGUGAAACCUAGAGAUUCAAAGUAGCAAGCGGCGCACUCCGGGUACUCUAUCGCAAACAAAUAAGCAUAUAGUAAGCACUCAACUAAUGCACAGGUAAAACUCAAAUAAAAGAUCUAACCAGAAAUUUCAACUUAAGAACUCCGGUUUUCAAAAAGAAUCAAAUCAAACGAAGCAACGAAAGUCAAACGGCGAAAGAAACAAGCUUCGUUUACUAAUCUGGAUCUAGGUCAAAUUUUACAGUAGCAAAAACUUGUUUGAGUUGGUUAAACGGAAAGAGAAUUUCGAGACGAAACUCUAGGCGCUUGAAUCGCCUGAUUCCGAUAAACGAGCGAAAAGUUAAACUAAAACGAAAAACAGAUCGGAAAUCGCGAUCGGGAAAAAUCACGGAAAAUCCGACGAAAAAGAAAACUGACGAACAGUUAAUCGAACGGACGUUCGUUAACAGCAUCUAAACAGUGAACACGUUCGUUAAAACGAACGGACCGACGAAUGUUCACUAACUAACUAAACCGAAAAAAAUAAACCGAUCUAUAAAAAAAAUAAACCUAGGGUUUCUAAAAGAAAACCGCACGGUUUUUCGACAAAAAACCGGCGCGGUGGCUACCUCGGUCCGGCGGGAUUCCGGCAGGGCCGGGCGGGNNNNNNNNNNNNNNNNNNNNNNNNNNNNNNNNNNNNNNNNNNNNNNNNNNNNNNNNNNNNNNNNNNNNNNNNNNNNNNNNNNNNNNNNNNNNNNNNNNNNNNNNNNNNNNNNNNNNNNNNNNNNNNNNNNNNNNNNNNNNNNNNNNNNNNNNNNNNNNNNNNNNNNNNNNNNNNNNNNNNNNNNNNNNNNNNNNNNNNNNNNNNNNNNNNNNNNNNNNNNNNNNNNNNNNNNNNNNNNNNNNNNNNNNNNNNNNNNNNNNNNNNNNNNNNNNNNNNNNNNNNNNNNNNNNNNNNNNNNNNNNNNNNNNNNNNNNNNNNNNNNNNNNNNNNNNNNNNNNNNNNNNNNNNNNNNNNNNNNNNNNNNNNNNNNNNNNNNNNNNNNNNNNNNNNNNNNNNNNNNNNNNNNNNNNNNNNNNNNNNNNNNNNNNNNNNNNNNNNNNNNNNNNNNNNNNNNNNNNNNNNNNNNNNNNNNNNNNNNNNNNNNNNNNNNNNNNNNNNNNNNNNNNNNNNNNNNNNNNNNNNNNNNNNNNNNNNNNNNGCGGCGGCGGCGUUCGGCGACUCCGGCGGGGCGGGUUUUGGUGGCGGCGGCUCCGGUCGGGGGUGGGGAGAGGUGGCGGGGCGGCGGGAGUAUAUAUAGAAGGGGGGGGCUUCGGCUUGGGGGAGAGGUAAGGCGGCGGGGCGGCGUGGUCCGCCCGGACUCGGGCGGCGGCGCGGCUUCGGUCUCCAGGUGGGAGACGGCGACGCGGGCAUGGGCCGGCCUGGCUCGGCUGGGCCUCGGCCCAGUCGGGCAUGGGACUCUUUUUUUAAAUAAUUCCGCCGAAACUAAAAAAAUCCUAGAAAAAUAAAUAAAAAUGUAAAAAUGCCAAAAUAAAUUUUCACCGUCUAAUUAAAAUAAUUAGAACGAGAUGAACAUUUUCUUGGCCCUAAAAAUGCAGUUUUGAAAACGUGCAAUUUUUCUAAUGCAAAUAAAAUUGCAAUAAAAUCCGAAUAAAAUCAAAAUUUGAUUUUAAUAUUUUCCUCCAAUAUUUCAAUUAUUUUGGAGAAUUCAUAUUUUCUCCUCUCAUAUAUUUUAAUAUGAAAUAUUUUUCAGAGUGAAAAAUAAUUAAAACCAAGAAUCCUCGUUUCAUUAUUUGGUAAAAAUCAAAUAUGAAAACCGGGAAAAUCCCCAACUCUCUCCGAGGGUCCUUGAGUUGCUUAGGAUUUCGAGGAUUUGCCAAAAUGCAAUAAAAUGUGCUAUGCAAUGAUGAUCUAAUGUAUAACAUUCCAAAUUGAAAAUUUCGGAUGUUACAUAUAAUAUGAUGAAAAAUAGACCCGGGGGCCCUAGGUUUCACUAGUGGCUUCUCUCAAGAUAGCAUAAGUAUUACAGUGGGUGAACAAAUUACUGUCGAGCAAUUGAUAGAAAAGCGCAUAGUUAUGAGAAUAUCUAGGCAUGAUUAUGUAUAUAGGCAUCACGUCCGCGACAAGUAGACCGAAACGAUUCUGCAUCUACUACUAUUACUCCACACAUCGACCGCUAUCCAGCAUGCAUCUAGAGUAUUAAGUUCAUAAGAACAGAGUAACACAUUAGGCAAGAUGACAUGAUGUAGAGGGAUAAACUCAAGCAAUAUGAUAUAAACCCCAUCUUUUUAUCCUCGAUGGAAACAAUACAAUACGUGCCUUGCUGCCCCUGCUGUCACUGGGAAAGGACACCGCAAGAUUGAACCCAAAGCUAAGCACUUCUCCCAUUGCAAGAAAGAUCAAUCUAGUAGGCCAAACCAAACUGAUAAUUCGAAGAGACUUGCAAAGAUAAUUAAAUCAUGCGUAAAAGAAUUCAGAGAAGAUUCAAAUAUUGUUCAUAGAUAAUCUUUAUCAUAAACCCACAAUUCAUCGGAUCUCGACAAACACACCGCAAAAAGAAUUACAUCGAAUAGAUCUCCAAGAAGAUCGAGGAGAACUUUGUAUUGAGAUCCAAAGAGAGAUAAGAAGCCAUCUAGCUAAUAACUAUAGACCCGAAGGUCUGUGGUAAACUACUCACACAUCAUCGGAGAGGCUAUGGUGUUGAUGUAGAAGCCCUCCAUGAACGAUUCCCCUUCCGGUGGAGCGCCGAAAAAGGCUCCAAGAUGGGAUCUCACGAGUACAGAAGGUUGCGGCGGUGGAGAUAGGGUUUCAUGGUGCUCUCGGAUGUUUUCAGGGUAUAUGAAUAUAUAUAGGCGAAAGAAGUAGGUCGGUAGAGCCACGAGGGGCCCACGAGGGUGGGGACGUGCCCUCCUGCCUCGUGGCCUCCUCGUUUCUUUCUUGACGUCCACUCCAAGUCUCCUGGAUUGCGUUUGUUCCGAAAAUAACUCUCUCGAAGGUUUCAUUCCGUUUGGACUCCGUUUGAUAUUCCUUUUCUGCGAAACACUGAAAUAGGCAAAAAAAACCCAGCAAUUUGCACUUGGCCUUCGGUUAAUGGGUUAGUCCCAAAAAUAAUAUAAAAGUGCAUAGUAAAGCCCAUUAAACAUCCAAAACAGAUAAUAUAAUAGCAUGGAACAAUAAAAAAUUAUAGAUAUGUUGGAGACGUAUUAGCUACCCUCAUAAGGUAAUUUACAAACCUCACAAAAGUCAUAGAGCGUCAUUUCUUUCUACUCAUCAUAUAAGUGAAAAUCUACCAUGGGUGGUGAUCUCCUAUCAUGAAAAUGGAAAUUUUGCAUGGAAGUAUUAGUGAGUAGGAGAUACUGAUCACACUGGUCGAGGAGGAAGUCAGUGAUGCCUGCAUUUCCAGCCAAAUAAUAGAAUUCAUCAUGAAUUCCUGCUGCUUGUAAAAAAUGCAUCACAUGGCCAUUCACACGGCCGAAUCUCCGCGGUGCGUGGAAGAUUAUACUUGGGCAUCUCUUUCUCCUCAUUUUCUUUUUCCUUUGAACCCCAGCUCGAGGAGCCUCUCAACAAUAUUCUCAUCAUUUUAUUCCUCUGAAAGUUUUUGAAAAGUUUAGUGACUCAAAAUAAAAGUGAACCAAACUCAACAAAAUUGAUAGCAACUACUCCUAGAAGUGCCUAGAGGCUAUAUCAUGCAUCAAAACUACUUUGGACCAUAUAAAUUUGACAUGCAAGCUCAAGAACAGGGUCAUUAGGGCAGCCAAAAUUUGCAAUGAAUAAAGCACUAGAACAAAAACUAAUUGGACCAUUGGAGGAGUCACAUACCGAAGAACAACCCCCCAAAGCAGUUUUGUGUAUGGAGCUUUGAGCAAGGAGAUCGAAAAUGGCAGCAAGAUAAGCAAGAACACGAGUUUGAGCUAUGGAGUGAUUUUUUCUAGAGGAAGAAGGAGAGGAUGGGUGCUGGAAUAAGUGGAGGGGGCCACGUGGGGCCCAUAAGGACAGGGGCGCGCCCUCCACCCUUGUGGCCAGCUGGUGAGGCCCCCUGGUGUGUGUUUAGAACCAGAAAUUCUCAAAUAUUCUAUAAAAAAUCAUACUAAAUUUUCAAGGCAUUUGGAGAACUUUUAUUUUUGGGACAUUUUAUUGCACGGAUAAUUCAGAAAACAGACAGAAAAUACUAAUUUGCUUUAUUUAAUCUAAUUAACAAAAAGUAAAAGGUAGGUACAGAAAGUUGUGCCUUCUAAAUUCGUCCAUCUCAUGCUCAUCAAAAGGAAUCCGUUAACAAGGUUGAUCAAGUCUUAUUAACAAACUUCUUCCGAGUAACAUGAAACUAGAGAACUUUCGAAUAACACUAAGUUACCUCAACGGGGAUAUGCAUGUCCCCAACAAUAAGAAUAUCAUAUUUCUUUUUGAAAGUAGGUAGAGGGAAUUCAAAACCUCCAAUAGUAAUAGUUGAAAAUUUUCCAAUAGAAUUGAUACUAUGGACUUGAGAUUGUUUCUUCGGAAAGUGUACCGUAUGCUCAUUACCAUUAACGUGAAAAGUGGCAUUGCCUUUGUUGCAGUCAAUAACAGCCCCUGCAGUAUUCAAAAAGGGUCUACCAAGGAUAAUGGACAUACUGUCGUCCUCAGGAAUAUCAAGAAUAAUAAAGUCCGUUAAAAUAGUAACGUUUGCAACCACAACAGGCACAUCCUCACAAAUACCGAUGGGUAUAGCAGUUGAUUUAUCAGCCAUUUGCAAAGAGAUUUCACUAGGUGUCAACUAAUUCAAUUCAAGUCUACGAUACAAAGAGAAAGGAAAAACACUAACACCAGCUCCAAGAUCACAUAAAGCAGUUUUAACAUAGUUUCUUUUAAUGGAGCAUGGUAUAGUUGGUACUCCCGAAUCUCCAAGUUUCUUUGGUAUUCCACCCUUAAAAGUAUAAUUAGCACGCAUGGUGGAAAUUUCAACUUCCGGUAUCUUUCUUUUAUUGGUAACAAUAUCUUUCAUAUACUUAGCAUAAGGAGGCAUUUUAAGCAUAUCAGUCAAACGCAUACGCAAAAAGAUAGGUCUAAUCAUUUCAGCAAAGCGCUCGAAAUCCUCAUCAUCCCUUUUCUUGGAUGGCUUAGGAGGAAAGGGCAUGGGUUUCUGAACCCAUGGUUCUCUUUCUUUACCAUGUUUCCUAGCAACAAAGUCUCUCUUAUCAUAAUGUUGAUUCUUUGAUUGUGGGUUAUCAAGAUCAACAGCAAGUUCAAUCUCUACAUCAUUAUCAUUACUAGGUUGAGCAUCAACAUGAACAUCAUUACUAAAAUUAUCACUGGGUUCAUGUUCAUCACCAGAUUGUGUCUCAGCAUCAGAAAUAGAAAUAUCAUUGGGAUUCUCAUAUGUGUCUAUAGCAGGUUCACCUCUACUACCUGUGUCGGGUUAUCAAGACCAUGUAUUUCUUCAAUAGGUGAUAGAUUCUUAACAUCUUCAGCUUUAAUACCUUUUUCUUUCAUAGAUUUCUUUGCCUCUUGCAUAUCUUCAGGACUGAGAAAUAGAAUACCCCUUUUCUUCAGAGUUGGCUUAGGAGUUGGUUCAGGAAGUGUCCAAUCAUUAUCAUUACUCAAUAUAUUAUUCAAUAGCAAUUCAGCUUGCUCAACAGUUCUUUCCCUGAAAACACAACCAGCACAACUAUCCAGGUGGUCUCUGGAAGCAUCGGUUAGUCCAUUAUAAAAGAUAUCAAGUAUUUCAUUUUUCUUGAGAGGAUGAUCAGGCAAAGCAUUAAGUAAUUGGAGAAGCCUCCCCCAAGCUUGUGGGAGACUCUCUUCUUCAAUUUGCACAAAAUUAAUAUUUCUCGUAAAGCAGCUUGUUUCUUAUGACCAGGGAAAUAUUUUUGAGAGAAGUAGUAAAUCAUAUCCUGGGGACUUUGCACACAACCAGGAGCAAGAGAAUUAAACCAUAACUUAGCAUCACCUUUAACGAGGAAGGAAACAACUUAAGAAUAUAGUAAUAGCGAAUUUUUUCCUCAUGAGCAAAUAGGGUGGCUAUAUCAUUCAAUUUAGUGAGAUAUGCCACAAUAGUUUCAGAUUCAUAACCAUGAAAAGGAUCAGAUUCAACCAAAGUAAUAAACUCAGGAUUGACAGAGAUUUAUAAUCCUUAUCAGUAACAAAGAUAGGUGAAGUAGCAAAAGCGGGAUCAUAUUUCAUUCUAGCAUUCAAGGAUUUUUCUUUCAGCUUAGCUAAGAAUUUCUUAAGAUCCUCUCUAUCAUUGCAAGCAAAAAAGUCUCUAGCAGUUUCCUCAUCCAUAACAUAACCCUCAAGUACAACAAUCAAUUCAUAUCUAGGGGGAGAAUCAUAAUCAUCAUCUUCAAUAAUUUCAUCAGUUUCAGUAAUUUCAUUCUCUCUAACCCUAUGUCGGAGUAAAUGGCCACGGGUAGCCUAACCGACUGCCGCUGGUUCUUCUGAAAAAAUUAUCAGUCCUUCGGGCCUCCAAGCACUCCGAGCAUUGGGCCGCCUUCCCUGGCCGGCUACCACUAAAGCCGACUCCCGGAGGGCGACCCAGCCUCACCAACUCCUCCCCAGGACAACUACGGGGUGGCCGACUCCAAGAAGCCGGCCAAGAAGGACGCCGACUCCUAGGAGCCGGCCAAGAUCACAACCACUCCAAAACCACUCCCACAUAACGGCGACAUGACGGGGUGUGGCCACAGUGCGGCCCACUACCCCCGAAGCCCGAGGCGGGCGUGGCUACAGGAGGCCGUACGGGACGGACGUCUCCCGUGCGGCUCGGCACUGUAGCCAUGUUGGCCUCGACGUCACCCACGACCGACUCUCGUACGGCCCGCGGGCGGCGGGCCCCUUCGGCCAGAGAGAGGCGUGAAGGCGGCCCGGCCUUUCCCAGUCGGCCAAGAGCAUAGCCGGCCUCCAGAAGCCGGCUACUCCCUUCCUCGAAGCAGGAGCCCCAUUAAGGAGACAAGACGAGGUAAGGCUACAGUGAUAGCCCCCGAGGCGGCCCACUGUAGCCACACUUACCUCGACGAAGCCCUCGUCAUCACAGGCGAGGCUACAGUAAGCAGCCGCCGACAAGACCCUAUGCGGUGGGGCCGGCCUGUCGACCGAGUAGCCGGCAGCCGGCGGGACCUACCAGCCAGCGGGACCCAGCAGCCGGCGGAGAAGCCGGCGAGCGUAGACACUGAUGGCUGGGGCCAGAGCCCAGCCGGAUUACCAUUGUACCCCCGGGGGGGUAGGCCUAUAUAAACCCCCCGGAGCACCCAUGCAAAGGGUUCGCACCCAAGCAUAGUUGGCCUCUGAGCAUAGAGUUGCCCUCUAAGCAUAGCACACACACACCAUAGAUAGAGAGAAGCAAGAGCUAGCCUUGUUCUUCUUCUCCCUUGAUCUCAACAGCUCUAGGAGCGAUUGUAGCUACCUUUUAUCGAUCUAGUGAUCAUGCGGAGACCCCGCAGAGCAGGACUAGGGGUGUUAUCUCCUCGGAGAGCCCCGAACCUGGGUAAGAUUCGCCGGCGUGCAUGUCUUCGCCUCAUCCCGUUUCCGGGCACCGGCGAUGUUUUAUUGGCUCCCACAAUGAUAAGCCAUCCCUUGGCAUAUGUCGCACCAACCACCCGACAUUUGGCGCCCACCGUGGGGCCAGGUGCACCGUCGUCCGGAGACCUGUUCUGGACGGGAACCCUCUUCCUCCCCCGCGAGCGUAGCCAGCCUGCUGCGCCCGAUGGCGUUUGCCUCGACGCGCUACAAGGCGUCGACGACACCUGCGCAGCGAGCCGCCUCGCCGAUCUGCUCGGCGAGACUCGCAUCUCCGACGAGCCUGCGUCCGACGCAGGCACCGACUACCCCGAGAGCCGCCUCGUCAGCCUCCUCGACCAACUUCACGUCUCCAGCGAGCCUGCUGCGGACAUGGAGUCUGUCGGCUCCACCGACCCGAUGCUCAUCGACUCCGACACCGCGUCGCUCGACGCCUACCCCUCCGACGUGGUGGUCUUCGACGACCCCCUCCCUCGAGCUGACAGCGGCAGCAGCGCUGUCACCGAAGUGCUGGCCAUCAGCCACGUCUCCAACUCAGGCGAGAAUGCCCGCGACGCCCAGCAAGCGGCGAUGCACGACCUCUCCGUCCCCAUCCCGGCCGACGCCGACGCCGAAACCCUGGAGGCACGCCGCCUUGCCCUCAUCGCGGAGGGCCAGAAGAUAGCCUCGAUGAGACGCCUCACCGAGGCCCACCAGCGCGAAGUCGACCGUGCCGCCUUCGGCACGCCGCCGCCUAGCGGCCCGAGCCGAGCCGGCUUCGUCCAGAAGCACGGCGCAGCCGUUGCCAGCAUGCUGGGCGCAGAUCGCCCCGUCUACGCCACCCCGCUCGAGAAUCUGCGAGCCGCUCAGGCGGCCGUAGAGGAGCUCAAUGGGCUGGGAGCCGACGAGCUCCCCUACAUGACAAGACGGAUCCAGCAGCUGAUCGACGCGGCUGCAGAACGGCACGAAGCCGGCGCCCGUGCUGAUAGUCAUCCCCCACGCAGGGAGCACGCCGCGACGUCCCGCUCGCCGACUGCGAGCGGCACGCGCCAGAAGAAAGACAAGGAGCCGGCUGCCAGCCGCAGCCGGACUCGCAUUACCAUCGAGCGCGACGCGGAUGGCCGCCCUCGAGCUGUGGAGCACCAAGGAAAUCUGCCUCCUCCCCCGCCUCGAAGAGAAAGACGCCUCACUCCGCCACCUAUCACGCACCCGACUCUUGGCGACCGACUCGGCCGCCGAGAAGGAGUCGGCGAGAACGACGCCCGCCACAGGAUCGACCGCCUUGCUCGAUCCUUGGUGUUAGAAGAAGAAGACGAUGUCGGCCCGCCAUGCUUUGUGCCCCGCAUCCGCGACGAGCCCUUCCCCAAAGGGUUCUCGCUCCCCAGAGACACGCCGAAGUACAACGGCUCAGUGAAGCCGGAAGAUUGGCUCAUCGACUACUCCACGGCCGUCAGCAUAGCUAAUGGCAAUCGGCGCGUCGCCGUGAAGUACGUCCCCCUCAUGCUGCAAGGCACGGCGCGCACAUGGCUCAACAGCCUCAAGCCCUACAGCAUCAACAGUUGGCUGGACUUCACCGAAGUUUUCGUCCGCAACUUCACCAGCACCUACAAGCGGCCUCCCAAGCCUCGCCAGCUCUCCCUCUGCGUCCAGGGGCCCAACGAGUCGACCCGCGACUACCUCACGCGAUGGGCCGAGCUCCGCAACUCCUGCGAGGGAGUGCACGAGGUCCAGGCCAUCGAGUACUUCACCGCCGGGUGCCGAGAGGGCACCCUCCUCAAGCACCGACUCCUCUGCGACGAGCCGGCUACCCUCGACGAGUUGCUGAUCACCGCCGACAAGUACGCCACAGCCGACUCCUCAAUGAAGACCGAGCUCCGAGUGGACGCCUCGGGGAAAGUAGUUGCUCCGGCUCCCAAAACGCCGGCUGGCGACCCUAAUCGGCGCCCCUACCAGAACGACCACAAGCGCAAGGGCCCCAUGCCGACUUCCUCUAGUCGGCAAGUGGCCACAGUUGAAGACGAGCAGCCCGAAGAGCGGCCCGCUCCCAAGAAGAAGGGUGGCCGGCCGCCCUGGCAGCCAUCUUUCUCCUACGAGCAAGCACUCGAUGCCCCCUGCAAGUUCCAUAGCGGCGCGAAGCCGUCCAACCACACAACCCGGAAAUGCCACUGGCUCACCCGCAUCACCAAGGGUGAGGGAAUGUUGCCGCCUCCGCCUCCCGGCCAGCCGCCUCCAGCCCCCCAGCAGCCGGCGGCUCGGCCGGCAGUCGGCGCCAUCCAAGACGAGUUCCCCGAAGCGCACGACGCCUACGUCGUCUUCACAAGUCAAGCCGACGACAAGCGCAGCCGACGCCAGCAGCACCAAGAAGUGAACGCAGUCGCCUCUAGCACCGCCGAGUUCAUGCACUGGUCGGAAAAGCCAAUCAGCUGGAGCCAGGCCGACCACCCAGAGGUGAUGCCUUCGCCUGGCUCCUAUGCUAUGGUCUUGGACGUCACCCUUGCGACGGAGAGGCGAGCUGCCAGAUUUUCCCGCGUCCUGAUAGACGGCGGAAGCAGUAUCAACAUACUGUACCGCGAUACCAUGGAGAAGCUGAACAUCAAAGCGAAGCAGCUCAUGCCGAGCCGCACCGUCUUCCAUGGUAUCGUACCCGGCCUAUCUUGCUCUCCAAUCGGCAAGAUCAAAAUGGAUGUUCUCUUCAGAGACAAAGAUCAUUUUCGCCGGGAAGCAAUAUGGUUCGAGGUAGUGGAUUUGGAGAGCCCCUAUCAUGCACUGCUUGGCCGACCUGCUUUGGCCAAGUUCAUGGCUGUGCCCCACUACGCCUACCUGAAGAUGAAGAUGCCGAGCUCGAAGGGGAUCAUCACGGUAGCCGGCGACUACAAGAAGUCCAUCGAGUGUGCCAUGGCCAGCAGUCGGCUGGCCGAGUCCCUCGUGGUGGCAGAAGAGAAGAAGAUGUUGAAACGGGUUGUGGCCAUGGCCGGCAAGCAGCCGGCCUUGUCCCCCAACCCCAAGGAUUGUGAUGCGCAGGGCUCCUUCCAGCCUGCAAAAGAGACGAAGAAGAUACCUCUGGACCCGGAGAACCCGGAGAGGUUCGCUGUGAUUGGGGCGAACUUGGACAGUAAAUAGGAAGGCGAGCUCGUCGACUUCCUCCGUGAGAAUCGAGACAUCUUUGCAUGGUCCCCAAAGGACAUGCCGGGUGUCCCGAAGGAUUUCGCCGAGCACAAGCUACACGUCCGAGAUGAUGCGAAGCCGGUCAAGCAGCCCCUCCGCCGACUAUCAGAAGAAAAGCGAAGAAUCGUGGGAGAAGAGAUAGCCCGGCUCCUUGCCGCCGGCUUUAUCAUGGAAGUGUUCUUUCCAGAAUGGCUUGCCAACCCAGUUCUGGUUCUGAAGAAGAAUAACAAGUGGCGCAUGUGUAUAGACUACAUGAGUUUGAACAAGGCCUGCCCAAAGGAUCCAUUUGCUCUGCCACGGAUUGAUCAAGUGAUAGACUCCACAGCCGGAUGCGAGCUGUUAAGUUUUUUGGAUGCAUACUCAGGGUAUCAUCAGAUCAAGUUGGACCCGGCUGACCGCCUGAAGACUGCCUACAUCACACCCUUUGGAGCUUUCUGCUACCUGACAAUGACAUUCGGCUUGAGAAAUGCCGGUGCCACUUUUCAGCGUUGCAUGCAGAAAUGUCUCUUGAAACAACUCGGUAGAAAUGCCCACGUCUAUGUAGACGACAUUGUGGUGAAGACAGAGAAGCGCGGUACCUUGCUGGAAGACCUGAAAGAAACAUUUGCCAACCUGCGCCGAUUCCAAAUCAAGCUCAAUCCCGAGAAGUGCGUGUUCGGAGUGCCAGUCGGCCAGCUGCUAGGCUUCCUGGUCUCCGAACGCGGCAUUGAGUGCAACCCCGUCAAGAUCAAGGCCAUCGAGAGGAUGGAGAUUCCCACCAAACUGCGAGAUGUGCAGAAGUUCACUGGCUGCUUAGCCUCCCUGAAUCGUUUUAUCAGCCGACUAGGAGAAAAGGCUCUCCCCCUGUACCGACUCAUGAAGAAGUCCACUCACUUCGAGUGGAAUGAUCAAGCCGACCAAGCCUUCCAUGAGUUGAAGAAAAUGUUGACCACUCCGCCUGUCCUGGCUGCGCCGACUGAGAAGGAGCCCAUGCUCCUCUACAUCGCCGCGACUAGCCGAGUCGUCAGCACUGUUGUUGUGGUCCAGCGCCCGGAGGAAGGCCGAGCCCAGCUGGUCCAGAGGCCGGUCUACUACCUCAGCGAAGUACUAUCCAACUCCAAGCAAAACUACCCGCACUACCAGAAGAUGUGCUAUGGCGUGUACUUCGCUGCCAAGAAAUUAAAGCUCUACUUCCAAGAGCACCCCAUCACGGUCGUGUGCACUGCCCCGCUCGCCGAGAUCAUAGGCAGCCGGGAUGCAUCCGGCCGGGUGGCCAAAUGGGCCAUUGCCUUGGCGCCCUACACGAUCUUCUAUCAACCCCGCACCGCCAUCAAGUCGCAAGCAUUGGCCGACUUCCUCGUCGACUCGGCCGAGACCCAGUACUUACCGCCGGCUCCCGACUCUACCCAUUGGCGGAUGCACUUUGACGGGUCCAAGAUGCGCACCGGUUUGGGAGCCGGCAUCGUCCUCACCUCUCCCAAAGGCGACAAGCUCAAGCACACGCUGCAGAUCCACUUCGCCGCCUCCAACAACGUCGCCGAGUACGAGGCGCUCGUACACGGGCUCCGGCUAGCCAAAGAACUCGGCAUACGCCGAAUCCUGUGCUACGGCGACUCAGACUUGGUGGUCCAGCAAUCAUCCGGUGACUGGGACGCCAAGGACGCGAACAUGGCAAGCUACCAUUUCCUUGUCCAACAGAUGAGCGGAUACUUUGAAGGGUGCGAGUUCCUUCACGUGCCAAGGGCCGACAACGACCAAGCAGAUGCCCUAGCACGGAUCGGCUCCACCCGACAAGCCAUACCGACUGGCGUCUCCCUCCGGCGCCUCCUCAAGCCGUCCAUCAAGCCGUCUCCAGAGUCGGAUUCCAUCUUCGUACCGCCUGCACCAGAAACAGCCGGAUCCGACUCGAGAAAUCCUGCAGGCGGCACGGGGACUGCCGUAGUCACACCCGGCCCGGGGACUUCAGAACCCGGCUCGGGGACUACAGCAGUCGGCCUGGGGACUGUAACGACACAAGAAGCGGUGGCCGACUCCAAUGCAACACCCAACCCACCCACCCGAGUCAUGGUGGCCACAUUAACAAAAGAAGAAGUCACAGCUCCCUCAUGGGCCCAGCCCAUCCUCAAGUUCCUAGUCAGCAGAGAGCUGCCGGCUGAUGAGAUCUCAGCAAGACUAGUGCAACGACGAGCCGCAACAUACACAAUAAUCAACAGGGAGCUUGUGAAGCGCAGCGUCACUGGAGUCUUCCAGCGUUGCGUCGAGCCAGAAAAAGGAGUGGCAAUCCUCAAAGACAUCCACCAAGGCAAAUGCGGCCACCACGCAGCCUCAAGAUCCCUUGUGGCCAAGGCUUUCCGCCAUGGUUUCUUCUGGCCGACUGCCUUGGAGGAUGCUAAAGAAAUAGUCAAGAGCUGCAGAGGAUGCCAAGUUUUUAGUUCCAAGCAACACCUGCCGGCUUCUUCACUCAAGACCAUUCCCCUCACCUGGCCUUUUGCCGUUUGGGGUCUGGACAUGGUAGGCCCUUUCAAGACAGCCCGCGGCGGCUUGACACAUCUACUCGUUGCUGUGGACAAGUUCACAAAGUGGAUCGAAGCCAAGCCGAUUAAGAAGCUGAACGGGCCGACUGCCGUAACAUUCAUCACCGACAUCACUACUCGGUACGGCAUGCCGCACAGCAUCAUCACCGACAAUGGCACGAACUUCGCCAAAGGUGCACUGGCACGUUUCUGCGCGACGCAGGGCAUCCGACUGGACUUAGCGUCCGUUGCCCACCCGCAGUCAAACGGCCAGGUCGAGCGAGCAAAUGGACUCAUCCUCUCCGGCAUCAAGCCCCGACUGGUUGUGCCACUGGAGCGAUCGGCCGGCUGCUGGCUCGAAGAGCUGCCGGCUGUCCUCUGGAGUCUGCGCACUACACCCAACAAGUCAACCGGCUUCACUCCAUUCUUCCUCGUGUACGGUGCCGAGGCUGUCAUCCCCACAGACAUCGAGUUCGACUCGCCUCGGAUCACCAUGUAUACGGAGGAGGAAGCCAAAGAAGCAAGAGAAGACGGCGUCGACCUACUGGAAGAACCGGCUGUUAGCCCUCAGCCGGUCCGCCAUCUACCAGCAAGGGCUGCGCCGCUACUACAACCGCAAGGUCAAGCCAAGAUCCUUCCAAGAGUGCGACCUUGUGCUCCGGCUGAUCCAGCGAACAGCCGGCCAGCACAAGCUCUCGGCCCCUUGGGAAGGCCCCUUCGUCGUCAGCAAGGCACUCGGCAACGACUCCUACUACUUGAUCGACGCACAAAAACCAAGAGCACGCAAGAGGGACGACUCCGGCAAGGAGUCGGAGCGACCAUGGAACGCAAACCUCCUAAGACGAUUUUACAGCUGAAAAGCAGUAUGUAUCAUGCUCCCCUUUUUUAUUAAGCACAAACCAACAGGUCCCCCGAACAGUACUCGGGGACUGCCUUUGUUUAUCUAUGAAUGACUAGUGUCAUAUCCAUGAAUGUAUUAUUACAUUUCGAAUUUUUGUCCGGCACCGGGUUCGACUAGUCGGCCCGGGGACUGGCCGCCUUGAGCUACAUCGCAAGUUUUUCCUAAAGUCAGAAAAGUAGUGCGCCGGCUCCCAAGUCCUCUCUUGUUGAAAGUCGCAGCUCAAAGAACUGACUGUCCGACUAGCAAGAGAGAAGACAGAAAGGACGCCUGCAUGAAAAACGGCUAAGGAACAACCAACCUAUGUAGCAAAGAGACGGCCUCCAAAUAUGCCUGCCGGCUGUCAAAGCAGCAGGCUGGCCGGCUUCCUAAAAAACAUAGCUUUAGUCCAGCAGAGCUAAAGUACUUCCCCCUCCCCAAUUGGCCAGGCACUCCCCGGCUACAGAUUGCAGAGCAACUGUUUGACUGGGGAGGCGGCAACCAAGGGAGGGCGGCAAAGGAAAAGAAGGACAAAAAGCAAAAAGUACAAGGAAAGGCCAAAUUGCAUAAACUAUAUAUACAUAAAAGCCGCCAACAGGCCGGCAACAGACUUAAGUUUGAAUACACCCAGUGGGUGGAAUUGUGCAGACUUAACCAAACAUUGUUCAAAAGUAACAAAAUAGGAAAACAAAAGAAAGAAGACUAGGGCGCGACAUGAAGGCCGAGCCGGUCGGUGAAGGCGGCCUCGCCGGCUGAAGGAGUGGCCGCCUAGCGGGUCCCGGCUUGACCACCUCCGGCGGCAGGAGACGCACUCGCGCACGACGUAGUGCUGGAGGCGCGGUCAGGCUAAGGCUGGCCGGCUGCUCCACCAGCCGGCAUAGCGUCUUCACCCUCCUCCUCCUCCUCUUCGCCCUCGUCGCUGGAGUCAAUCUCCUCCGCCGAGUCCUCGCCGUACGCCGGGUCCAGCCCGAACCAAUCUUCCGGCUGGGCGACCCCAUUGUCGUCCACCUCGGGGGCGAAGACACUGGUGUCGGUGUAGUCGGCGAUCGCCGAAGCCCGCCGAAUGAUGGCCGGCCGCGCCGGCUCCAGCUCCGUGUCGGCUUGCUGCCGCCAGGUAGCCAGCUGCUCCAGGUUCAGGCCGGGAUACCAGGCCUUGACGAACUCCAGCGCCCGCCUGGCGCCGGAGCGAGCCGACGAGGCCUUCCAAGCCUCGAAGCGGCCGACUGCCACCUCCAGCCAGUCGGCGGUCCGACUGGGGGUGCGAGGGACCGCUUGGCCGGGCCAGAGGGCGGCCAAGACCUGCGCCCCGGCACGCUGAAGCCGGCAGAGCAGCCGGUGAGCCGGCUGGAUGCGAGCCUGGAUCGCCAGGAGCUGUUCCUCCAGCGAGCGGCCGGCGGUUGGCGAGAUCUCGAAGCCGGCCUGCCUCUCCGCUUGGCGAUGGGCCUCGAUGGCCUGGUUGGCGGCAGUCGAAUAGCCAGGGAAAUACUCUGCGCAAAGAAGAAAUGAAGAGAAGAACACCAAAAUCAGAAAACAAGCCAAAGUGGCAGAUGGCAAGAAAGGACGAAGAGAUAGAUGGCUUACCGUCAACCAGAUCCUCGAUCUGGCCAUAGCCGGAGACCAGAGUCAGCCUGGCCUCUGCCCAGCCGGCCGCCUCCGUCUCGAACUCGGCCUGGAGGGUGGCCUCGCGGUCCUGCGCCGCCUCCAGUGCCUCCUUGUGGCUUUCCUCCUGGUCGGCUAGCUUCUUGACCAGGCGGUCGCGCUCCUGCACCAAGGCGGCGAGCUCGGCGUCCUUGGCACGAAGAGCAGUCUGGGACUCCCCCAGCUGUGCCCUCAGACUAGCGUUGGCCGCUGCAGAGACGGCAGAAGAAGAAGAACAAUAAGAAAUCGUCAAGGAAGAUCUGAGCCGACUGCUCAGCAGUCGGCCCGAAUCUCGGGGACUACACCCAGUGGGUGCGCUGACGCGCCCCCACAUGAGAUAAAGAUCAAGUCACAUACCUCGGCUCUCAGUAAGGUCGGCGGUCUUCUGAGUCAGCUCCCGAGCCUGGAAGUUGAAGGCGGCCGCUCGGAGGUUGUGGUAGUCCUGCAAGACGGACAGAAGACCGAAGUGAGAACAAAAACAGCAAAGACAAAACCUCCAAGAAGUUCCAAGCCGCCUGCUCAGCAGCCGACUCGGAACUCGGGGACUACACCCAGUGGGUGCGCUGACGCGCCCCCACGAGAGAAAUCAAGAUCAAGAAGAGAAAUCAAGAUCAAGAAGAGAAAUCAAGAUCAAGAAAGAACAAGAUGGGAAUACUAACCCGGAUGGCUGCCCGCGUUGCGAGGAAUUCGUCGGUGAACUGCCUCAGCGCCGCGGCUUGGCUUUGGAGCCGGGUCCGGACGUCUUGUGCAGCGACGUUCACCACGGCUGUCCCUCCGCCUGGCGUCCACCCCGAGGUAGCGCUGGCCGCCUCCGCGUCUCGGGCCGACGAGCUGGAGCCCACGGCCAGCUGUGGCUCCGACGCGGCCUUCUGCGGCUCCGACGCGGCCUUCCCUUGACGCCGGCUUGGCGGAACCCGGACCGCCACCUCAGCCCCCGCGGCUGGCUCGCCCUCCGCCGACUUUGCGGGCGCAGGCUCAGGCUGGCCGCCUUCGGCCGCCCUAGUCGGAGGGGUCGGCUCCGGCGCCUUCUCCAAGAUGAUGACGUCCUCGCCGCUUCCCCCCAGCCCUGGCUGGUCGCUGCUGGCUCCCCCUGGCGAGGGCUCCGUGUCCCCAGGCGCCAUGGUGCGCAGGGGGGUGACCAUCAGAACCUCCCCUGCCGCCGCCGCGGCCUCAGCCUCAGCCUGGGCCUUGGCUGCGGCCUCGGCGAGCGCCUUCGCCGCCUCCUCCUCCCGAGCCGCCUGGGCGGCGGCCGCCUUCCGCGCCUCCGCCUCCCGUGCCUCCUGCUCCUCCCGCGCCUCCCGCGCGUUCCUUUCCGUCGCCUCCUGGAGGUCAGCGUGGGGGUCCACGCGGCGGGUGGUGCUCCCAGAGCCCCUUGGCGACUCGACAACGGAGCCGGCAGCCGCCCGCUCAAGUGACAACGGAGCUCUGAUCGUCGAAGAAAAAGACGAGAGUUCAAGAACCACCAAAGAGAAGAAAGAAAGAGAGUACACAGAGAAAGAGAACUUACGCCGACACGGUCUGCGGCUGCUUCACCACUUUGCGGAAGCGAGCCGCCUUCACGGCCGCCUCUUCCCGCCUGGUGGCUGCCGCCCCGCCCCUGGACUUCUUCGUUCGGCUGCCGAAUAAGCCCUGGGCGGCGCGGCGCUUCUGGCCUCCACCCCGAGCAGGCUGCGCGCCGGAGGAGCCCGUGCCGCGUCCGGAUGCCGGCUGGCGGCGCGGGACGGCUUUGGCUUCAUCCUUGUCCGGCCAGUCGUCGAAGGUAGCAGUGAACCCGGAGCCGCCCGCUUCGUCGCCGGCUUGGCCACCGGCCGGCUCGACGGCGUCGUCCAUAUGGACCGUCCCCAGGUCGGGGUCCUCUAGGUCGUGUUCUGUCCGGUCGGGGACGAAGCGACGCUCCGCGUCUGACCCGCCGGCCGGCCGAAGCUGAGGGCUCUGUCGAAGAACAAAGCCGACUAAGACAGAGUCGGCCAAGAGACACUCGGCAACAAGGCUGAGAGAGAGAGAGAGAGAAAGAGACAAGGGGAGCGUACCGUAGGCGGAGGAUUGGCACGGCUAUAUGGCUCCUUGCCGAAUUGCCACUCUUCAGAGAGUUGGCAGUUUGCGAGGUAGUUCACCAUGUAGGCGACCUGGUGGCGCGGCAUCUCCUGGGUGCACAUGCGGCUCGGAUCGAGCUGGCCGCUCAUCUGACAGAUCAGAUGAGGCCGGCUCUGGAGCGGAAGAACCCGGCGCGUGACGAACGCAGCCAGAAGGUCGGGCCCCGUUAGGCCCUCCGACUGGACCAUCACCCGCAGUCGGGCGAUGGCGGCGUUUCCAGCCUGCGACAGCGUCACCGCCCGGAAGGACCACUGGGGCAGCCUGCCCGCCGGUGGGCCGGCUACGUAAGCCGGCAGGUUGAUGUAUUCGCCCCGCGGAGCGAUGUUCCGCACGUAGAAGUAUGACUUCUGCCACUUCUUCACCGAUUGGAUUAGCGUGAUGACGGGGAAGGGGUUGUCGGCGGCCGAUCUCCGCGACGCGAUGAAGGCGCCAGUCUGAGCCGGCACGCCCCGCAUGCGCGUGCCCAGCUUCGACUGAAAGAACUCCCCCCAGAGCUCAAGGGUGGGGUGGACGCUGAGAUAGCCCUCGCACAGGGUGACGAAGGCAGACAACAGCACCACCGCGUUGGGGGUGAGAUGGUGCGGCUGGAGCUGAUAGAAUUCCAGCCAGGAGCGGAAGAAGGCGCUCACUGGCAAGCCGAAGCCGCGCAGGAAGUGCGAGCGAAAGACCACCCGCUCGCCCUCCCGCGGCUCCGGCCUGAUUUCCUUCGCUGGCGCGAGGCGGACCGCCACUUUGUCCGCGCCGGGCAGCCGCCGCGUGUCGCGGAGGAAGUCGACGUGGUCGUCAUGGACGAUGGAGCCGUCCCAAUCCCCGCCAAGCUGCUCUACGUGGGGAGGCAUGGCGAGAGCUAGCACGGCGGCGGAGGAGCGUGCGGUGGAAGAGCGCGGCGGCGAGGCGCUGUCGCGAGAACGAGCGAGGGAAGAAGACGGUGGAAGUAGGAGGAGCGUGCGAGGGCCUGCCGCCCUCCACCUCCCCCUACUUAUAGCCUCAUGAGGCCGAAGAGGCCGGACGUGGGGGGGGACGUGGGAUUAACUGCGCCCACUCCCCUCACGUCUCGCGAUUAUUGCGCGUAAAUACGAGCUGAAACUGCCGCACGGAACGUGCGGGCGGUUUCGGGAUACAAAGGAUCCGCGCCUGGGCCGGGGCGCGGACGUGGCGGGCCCCCUCCCUGCGGCGACGUCCCGUCACGCGCGUGGGCUGGCAGGCUUUCCGGCCACGUGGCUCGCCGACGGCCCGUGGCCGGCCCGCGGCCCGGUGCACGUGCCAGCGGGUUCCCGCCCUCCGAUUCCAGAAGAUUUCGACUCAGGCGGCGCGCCUGACUAAGGCCGGCUCCCAGCUGCCGGCUUGUCACGAUAGGAAGCUGAUCGAGCUUCUCAAACCCCACUCCACCUCGAAGCCCAAUCAGCUUCGGGGACUACUGUCGGAGUAAAUGGCCACGGGUAGCCUAACCGACUGCCCCUGGUUCUUCUAAAAAAAUUAUCAGGCCUUCGGGCCUCCAAGCACUCCGAGCAUUGGGCCGCCUUCCCUGGCCGGCUACCACUAAAGCCGACUCCCGGAGGGCGACCCAGCCUCACCAACUCCUCCCCAGGACAACUAUGGGGUGGCCGACUCCAAGAAGCCGGCCAAGAAGGACGCUGACUCCUAGGAGCCGGCCAAGACCACAACCACUCCAAAACCACUCCCACAUAACGGCGACAUGAUGGGGUGUGGCCACAGUGCGGCCCACUACCCCCGAAGCCCGAGGCGGGCGUGGCUACAGGAGGCCGUACGGGACAGACGUCUCCCGUGCGGCUCGGCACUGUAGCCAUGUUGGCCUCGACGUCACCCACGACCGACUCCCGUACGGCCCGCGGGCGGCGGGCCCCUUCGGCCAGAGAGAGGCGUGAAGGCGGCCCGGCCUUUCCCAGUCGGCCAAGAGCGUAGCCGGCCUCCAGAAGCCGGCUACUCCCUUCCUCGAAGCAGGAGCCCCAUUAAGGAGACAAGACGAGGUAAGGCUACAGUGAUAGCCCCCGAGGCGGCCCACUAUAGCCACGCUUACCUCGACGAAGCCCUCGUCAUCACAGGCGAGGCUACAGUAAGCAGCCGCCGACAAGACCCUAUGCGGUGGGGCCGGCCUGUCGACCGAGUAGCCGGCAGCCGGCGGGACCCACCAGCCAGCGGGACCCAGCAGCCGGCGGAGAAGCCGGCGAGCGUAGACACUAAUGGCUGGGGCUAGAGCCCAGCCGGAUUACCAUUGUACCCCCGGGGGGUAGGCCUAUAUAAACCCCCCGGAGCACCCAUGCAAAGGGUUCGCACCCAAGCAUAGUUGGCCUCUGAGCAUAGAGUUGCCCUCUAAGCAUAGCACACACACACCAUAGAUAGAGAGAAGCAAGAGCUAGCCUUGUUCUUCUUCUCCCUUGAUCUCAACAGCUCUAGGAGCGAUUGUAGCUACCUUUUAUCGAUCUAGUGAUCAUGCGGAGACCCCGCAGAGCAGGACUAGGGGUGUUAUCUCCUCGGAGAGCGCCGAACCUGGGUAAGAUUCGCCGGCGUGCAUGUCUUCGCCUCAUCCCGUUUCCGGGCACCGGCGACGUUUUAUUGGCUCCCACAAUGAUAAGCCAUCCCUUGGCAUAUGUCGCACCAACCACCCGACACCCUAGCAAGUUGUUAUCAAGAAAUUCACCUAGUGGCAGAGUAUCAUCAAGCACAGAAGUAGUAUCAUCAUAAGUAUCAUGCAUAGCGGAAGUGGCAUCAUCAAUAACAUGUGACAUAUCAGAAUCAAUAACAAGUGUAGGUGUCGCAAGUUUACUCAAAACAGAAGGAGAAUCAAGUGCAGAGCUAGAUGGCAGUCCCUUACCUCCCCUCGUAGUUGAGGGAAAAUCUUGGUUCUCUGAUCUUUCAAAUUCCUCAUAGUGAUCAAUAGAUAUAAAUCCCAAGUGACUCAAAUAAUAGAUCUAUGCUCCCCGGCAACGGCGCCAGAAAAAGGUCUUGAUAACCCACAAGUAUAGGGGAUCGCAACAGUUUUCAAGGGUUGAUUGUUCAACGCAAAUUUAUUGAUUUGACACAAGGGGAUCCAAAGAAUAUUCUCAAGUAUUAGCAGCUGAGUUGUCAAUUCAACCACACCUGAAAGACUUAAUAUCUGUAGCAAAGUAUUUAGUAGGAAAGUAGUAUGGAAGUAACGGUAACAGUGGCAAAAGUAACAGUAGCAGUUUCUUAGCAAUUGUAAUAGUGGCAACGAACAAGUGACAGAGCAGAGAUCAAUAUGAAACGAGCUCAUAGGCAAUGGAUCAACGAUGGAUAAUUAUGUCGGAUGGCAUUCAUCAUGUAACGGUUAUAACAUAGGAUGACACAGAACUAGCUCUAAUUCAUCAAUAUAAUGUAGGCAUGUAUUCCGAAUAUAGUCAUACGUGCUUAUGGAAAAGAACUUGCAUGACAUCUUUUGUCCUACCCUCCCAUGGCAGAGGGGUCCUAUUGAAAACUAAGGGAUAUUAAGACCUCCUUUUAAUAGAGUACCAGACCAAAGCAUUUGCACUUAAUGAAUACAUGAACUCCUCAAACUACGGUCAUCACCGAGAGUGGUCCCGACUAUUGUCACUCCGGGGUUGCCGGAUCAUAACACGUAGUAGGUGACUAUAACUUGCAAGAUAGGAUCAAGAACACAAAUACAUUCAUGAAAACAUAAUAGGUUCAGAUCUGAAAUCACGGCACUCGGGCCCUAGUGACAAGCAUUAAGCAUAGCAAAGUCAUAGCAACAUCAAUCCUAGAACAUAGUGGAUACUAGGGAUCAAACCCUAACAAAACUAACUCGAUUAGAUGUUAAAUCAAAUCCAACCCAUCACGGUCCAGAAAGCCUACGAUGAGAUUACUCACGCAUGGCGGUGAGCAUCAUGAAAUUGGUGAUGGAGGAUGGUUGAUGAUGACGAUGGCAACGGAUUCCCCUCUCUGGAGCCCCGAACGGACUCCAGAUCUGCCCUCCCGAGGAAGAACAGGGCUUGGCGGCAGCUCCGUAUCAUAAAAUGCGAUGAAUCCUUCUCUAUUUUUUUCUCCCUGAACGUGAAUAUAUGGAGUUGGAGUUGAGGUCGGUGGAGGUCCAGGGGGCCCACAAGGACAGGUGGCUCGCCGUAGUGGGGUGGGCGCGCCCCCACCCUUGUGGCCAGGGUGUGGGCCCCCUUCACUUGAUUCUUUCGCCAAUAUUUUUUAUUAAUUCCAAAACUUAUCUCCGUGAAGUUUCAGGUCAUUCUGAGAACUUUUUAUUCUGCACAAAAAUAACACCAUGGCAAUUCUGCUGAAAACAGCGUCAGUCCGGGUUAGUUCCAUUCAAAUCAUGCAGUUAGAGUCCAAAACAAGGGCAAAAGAGUUUGGAAAACUAGAUACGAUGGAGACGUAUCAGCGGCCAAUGGGUGGAGUAUUAGUAGUAGAUGCAGGCAGGAGUCGGUGUACUUGUCUCAGACGUAAUGCGUGAACAUUGCUUUGAAUAUCGUCAUAACUAUGCACUUUCCUAUCAAUUGCCCAACUGUAAUUUGUUCACCCAUCGUAUGUUAUGUGCUCGAGAGAGAAGCCUCUAGUGCAAACUAUGGCCCCCGGGUCUACUUUUAUCGUAUAUAAAAACACAAAAAUACCUCGCUGCAAUUUUAUUUUGUUUUGAAAUCUAUUUAUUUGCCUAUCACUACGAGAUUUAAUCCUUGCAAGUAAACGCUGAGUGGAUUGACAACCCCCUUGUUUGCGUUUGGUGCAAGUAUUUGCUUCUGUGUGUGCAGGCACUGCUAACAAGGUUUUGUGUGGUUCUCCCAAUGGAUUGAUAAUCUUGGAUUUAACUGAGGGAAAUACUUAUCUCUACUGUACUGCAUCAUCCUCUCCUCUUCGAGGAAAUCCCAACGCAGCUCACAAGUAGCAGGAAGAAUUUUUGGCGCCGUUGUCGGGGAGACAUCACCAAACAUAUCAAGUACCUUCACACAAACUAUCAUCUACUUGUUCUUAAUUUAUUUGCCUUUGCCUGUUGUAUUUGUUAUUUUACAAAAUACAAAUAUAUUUUUAUUUGCUCGUUUGCUUGCUUUGUCGCUAUGACUAGUGUUAGUAUCCCUCCUUUGUCUCUGGACUUUGAAGUUCUUUACUUCAAACAGAAAACAAGGAGAACAUUUGAAGGAUUCUUGGUAUAGGAUAAUGGAAUAUUAUCAUGUUUGUACUAUGAAGGGGGAUAUAAAAAUUUUGCUUUGAAAUUUCUACGUUGGACUAACUAUGCCCCAUAGACAACUUUUGUUGUUGCUAAGGGGAACUUUGUUGAAAGUGAUACUAAUAUUGCCUAUGAAAGUAUAGAGGGUAUAGUGGGAACUCCACCCCCACAAAAAGGAUUCCACUAUACUCAAGAGGGAAUCCAUAUCUUGGAAAACUAGGUGAUAUCCAGAAAAACUUUAAUUGAGUUACAAAAGUCUAAUGAAGCUCUUAAAAAUGUUAGCGGAAACCUAAUCGCAUGAAUGCCCUGUUCACCCUUUGCAAUAAGCUGCUAGAUACUUUAGAUACUAGUGGAAAACAUAAAGAACCUCCCGGCUUUGAGAAAAAGCCCUACUAGGAUGGUGAAAACUAAGGAUUACAAUACUUGAAAAUAUGCAUUACGCCUAGCUAGGGGCGUAAAACAAUAUCGCUUGUUGGGAGGCAACCAAAUAGUUAUCUUAUUUUUCUCAUUUUUCUUUCUGUUUUUUUGUGUCCACACAAUUAUCCUGCUGGUAUGAUUGUGUUUUUAUGUUUUAGUUAGUGUUUGUGCCAAGUAAAGCCUUUGGGAUGAUUUGGUUGAUAGUUGACUUGAUUAUGUGAAAAAUCAGAAACUUUUGCGUCCAGUACUGGAAUUAUUUAAAUUCACUGGAAUGUGAUAAAAUUCUGAAUUUUUUACACAUUAUGUAUAUAUAAAUUUCUCACGUUGUCCUAAUUUGUCAGAAUUUUCGGAGUUACAGAACUAUUGAGUUUGUUUAGAUCAUUACAAACUGUUAUGUUGUUGACAGAUUCUGUUUUCACUGCAUAGUUUGCUUGUUUUAAUGAUGCUAUGGAUUGUAUCGGGGGGGGGGGUAUAAGUCAUGGAGAAGUUAGAAUACAAUACGUAUUAUGCAAUAAGAAAAUAUGAAUGGGUUGAUAACAAUACCUAAAGUUUAUCAUUUGCUUGUUAUACUAACGGAUCUCACCAGGUUUCUGUUGAGUUUUGUGUGCUGAAGUUUCCAAGUUUUGGGUGAGAUCAUGGUGGACGAAGGAAUAAGGAGCGGCAAGACCCUAAGCUUGGGGAUUCCGAAGGCACCCCAAGGUAAUAUUCAAGGACCACCAAGCAUCUGAGCUUGGGGAUGCCCUGGAAGGCAUCCCUCUUUCGUCUACAAUCCGUCGGUCUAUUACUUGGAGCUAUAGUUUUAUUCAUCACAUCAUAUGAGUUUGGCUUGGAGCGUCGUGUAUUAUAAGAGUCUUUGCUUUGUUUGCUUUUUAGUUUGCCACAAUCAUUGUUUGCUACACACACCUUUUGAGAGGGACACACCUUUAUUAGCGAUUUGUUAGAAUACUCUAUGUGCUUCACUUAUAUUGAGCGAGGCAGUUGCUCUAGUUCUUCACUUAUAUCUUUUAGAGCACGGCAGUGGUUAUAAUUUAAAGAAAUAGUUGCACUCUCAUGCUUCACUUAUAUCUUUUUGAGUCUAAUAAAUAGUAAUGGCGCACGGGUUCUGAAAUUGGUCCUGAUAUGACAGGUAUUCAAGAGGGAUAUAAUAAUUGUUUUUCAUGUGGAUCACUGAACAUGAUAAGUUUGAUUCCUUGCAAUAGUUUUGCGAUAUAGAGAUGGUAAUAUGUGGGUUGUACUAGUGAUUAAUUGUGGUUUAGUAAGAAUAUUGGUGUUAAGGUUUGUGAUUCCCGAAGCAUGCACAUAUAGUCUCUCGUUGUGCUAAAAAGUUGGAGCACGAUUUAUUAUUGAGUGUCUUCCUUUGCGUGGAGGUCGGGCAUGCGCGACGGUUAACUCCUACCAACCUCCCCCCUAGGGGCAUGUGCAGUAGUAUUUUGCUUCGAGGGCUAAUAGACUUUCGCAAUAAGUAUGUGAGUUCUUUAUGACUAAUGUGAGUCCAUGGAUUAUACACACUCUCACCUUUCCGCAAUUUGCUAGCCGAGAGUCGGUGCAAACAUCGCCGGUGCAUCCAAACCACGUGAUAUGAUACACUGUAUCACACAUAAGCCUCCUUAUAUCUUCCUCAAAAUAGCCAGCAUACCAUAGCCAUUCCGAGAUAUAUUGCCAUGCAACUUCAACUGUUCUGUUAUUAUGACAUACAUCUUCAUUGUCAUAUUGCUUUGCAUGAUCAUAUAACUGACGUAUUAUUUGUGGCUCAGCCACCAUUCAUCAUUAUCAUACAUGUUACGCUAGUAUCAUUGCACAUCUUGGCACACUGCCAGAGGCAUUCAUUUAGAGUCAUAUGUUUCAGUUUUAUUGAGGUGUAAUAUUGAGUUCUAAGUAAAUAGAAGUGUGAUCACUACUGCAGGAUGCUGCUAACGCGACACUACAAUCAGUUACCCUUCGACGAAACUGUGUGCGAUGCAUUAAUCGCAAACGGUCAUGUAAAAAACCGUCAAAGAAGAUGCAAAAUGUUUGCGAUGGCGGAUACAUCAAACACGGUUCAUAUUAUAAUUACGUGUGCAAUGUGUGGCAUACGGUUAAUCCAUAAGAACGGUUAAUCCAUAAGAACUAUUUGCGAUGAGAUAGAACAACAGAAACAGGCAGCUAUAUCAAGGUGUGUGCGAUACACGGCAUACUGUUCGCUCGGAUGAACUAUUUGCUAUUAGGGAAUGCAACAGAAACAGUCAGCCAAAUCAUGGUGUGUGUGAUAUAUGGCAUAACGGUUCACUUGGAUGAAUUGUUUUCGGUUAGGGAACACAAUAGAAACGGUUGAACUUAACAAGAUGUGUGUGAAAUGCGCCAUACAAUUCACAUAGAUGAACUGUUUGUGAUGAGCCAAAAGAACACAAACAAUCUGUGUAAACAAGAUGUGUGUGAUCCACGGCAAACAGCCCACUCGGAAGAACUGUUUGCGAUGAGAAUAUAUAACACAGACGGUUACUAGAGUUAAUUUGUGUGCGAUUCUGUGUGUAGAAAAUACUUUGAAAGCUGCAAAGUAGUUGCUUGCGAUGGCUAGGAGUAUCACACACGAUGCGUGUGCGAGUACUCGUGUGCGAUGAUUAGUAAGUUACACAUACGUUUCCUUAUGGUAGCACAUGUGCGAUAACAGAUGACACCCCAUACGGCUGUCAGGUUGUGUGCUCCACUUAGUCUUCCCGCGCUCCAUCCAAGGCUUCCUGCUCUCCACAAGGGAGAAUUGUAAAAUCCCCAAUCCCCUAGCUAGCUGCUAUCUAUAAAUAACCACAACAAUGGCCUCCGGUGGCGACUCACUAUUGGUCCAGUUGCUAGCUAGUUACCCACACAUACCGACAUACCCCCAACGACCGAGGACGGGAUGGAGUCACGCGACGGUGAAAUCGAGGCUGAAGGCACGAUGAUCGGCUUGGCUUUUGACAGCCAUGCCGCUGCCUCUCCCGACGACGGCCAGAGGAAGCAAGAAACUGUAGCGACCCGACCUCAAACGGUAAGCCUCUGUGUAUCCGUGCCAUCCCUGGAUCGGUAUGCUGGCACACACAGUACAUCGAUGUAUAUAUCAAAGUGCAAUCACAUGUAUAAAUAAUGUAAAAUUGAUAUAUACCUCAUAAGUCUCAAACAAUCAAACGGGUGCGGAGUCCCAUCAACGCCAACGACAAGUUGAGUGUAGACCGUAACCCUACAACGUAACUCUUACUCAUCAUAGAAAUUCCUGCAACAUAAGACGUUGCAGCCCUGUAGGUCAGUACAUUAAAUGUACUGACAAGUCACAUCAUAAGAAUAAUGAACCUAUUUGUACAUGCAAUUUGGCUGGUGGAAAGCUCUAAGUUUAUUUAUUUUUGCAUAAAGCUAGUUUUUCCCUAGGAUAAAAGAUUCUAUUCUACUACUACUACAAGAUAGCACAUGAUGAGGUGGCAAACCCAACUCAAUCCAUUCCCAAAGUUUCAUUUAAAACCCAACUGUUUAAAUUAAGAGUGAUGAGAUCUCCCAGCAUUUCCACUACUAGAUGCUCAAGUUGUCCGUAACCGGGGACACGGCUAAUCGAUUAGGUUUUAACACUCUGCAGUGGUUUGCGCACUUUUCCCCACAAGACUCGAUCGCCUCCCUUGAAGUUCUCGCACUGCCUGGCGUUUGAGAACAGGAUGACCGAGACAUAGUCUUUCGAAAGUAUUCCCCCUUCACCCACGGAUAGGCCGGUACACCUACUCAUUCUACAUCUACUAGCCCAUCCCGGAAGGGGUCACACUAACUACUCAACUAAGCUAGAGCCCAUAUUGGCUUGUGGCUGCACAUGUAAGCUUCUAGACAUGAGAAUACGAUUGAUCUCUUUGAGCCUGGGCGGCCGACCACUAGUGGUGCACCACCAUGGAUUAACCAUGCAUGCUCCCACUGUACUUCGCCACCAUUCAAACCAAAUACCGCCCAGGUAGUUCAUUUACAAGUCUUGGUCCUAAUUACUACUUUUUCACUCAUGUCUCACCAUGUUCGCUUCCCAAACCACGUCUACAUUUAGCGAGGCAAAAAUAAACUUACACGAUGAUGACAAGGAUGUAUAGAUCAGACCUACCUCAAAUGAACUACUAGGUAACGGCAUAGCCAUCUGGCAACAACAAAUCCUACCAUAAAAGGACUAAGUGCAUAAUAUAAAACAUAGGUAAUUGAAAGAAUGGUCAAAUGUGAACUUGCCUGAUAAUAGUUGAUGAAGAUUAUAUCGCUCUCAGAAAUUUACUUAAUAGAACUAUUCGUCACUCUCCGAUGAAAAUCUAUAAAGUCAAACAUUGCACUCACAUAAGCAAUCAUUUCAGAGAACCAAGAAGAACAUGCAAAGCAAAAAAAAUCUCAUAAAAAACCAAAUGAACAUACAACACACUUAACUAUCACAAAAUAUUCCUAAGUGCAAAACAACAUGGGCCCAUCGUUCAAAAAGUGAUGUGAACUAUAGUGCAUACUAGUAAAUAUUAAUGGGCAGAUUCUAGUGUGUGAAAAAUUAUUGUGACAAAGCUCCAGGUGAUAGGGUUUGGCUACGGUGACAAAGUUGUCAGCGUUCUGGGAACGGGGGUCCCCAGACUUGCCUGCCUGCGGCCCAUGGCGUGGCUAUGCUGGCGGGCCUGUACGGCCCAUCUUCAUCAACAAGGCAAUCAAGACCUUCGCGAGGGGCCAAGCCUCGCGAGGCGGACGACGCAAGACCUCCUCAGGAGCGGCCUAGCCAGGCAGGCUCACGAGGAGCGGAGAUAUCAAGGCAGGGCAAACCUCGCGAGGCUCUCGUGACAUGAGCCGUGACGAUCAGGAUCAGGCAGGCGCCAGGCGGGCGCCAGCGCGCGCAGCAUCCUUGUUUCCUCUUUGGUGCUAAGGAGGCAGGCGCAGGCGCGGAGUACCGAGGCGUCAAGCAAAGGUUUCUAUAUCGGUGCAACGAGACCAAGACCAGCAGGACAGCAAGACGGAGGUCACCAUGGAGCCCAAGACGGCGUCAUCACCAGAGCCUUUUGCAGGCGAAGACCGCUUUUGUCAGGAUAGCUUGUACUAGCUGUCCCCUUUCAAAUUUGCCCGCCGUUGUUGGCUCCCUUCCCGCUCAAUAUUUGGGGAGACGACCAGGGCCUAUAUAAGUAGAGCUAGCCACCACAGUAGAGGGGGACCAAGUCGCGCUCUCACCGCACAAGUUCACCAAGCACAAGAACACCUCAACCUCAGGAGGCUGUUCUUCCCCUUGUACUGCUCAUCAUCAGCCCAAGAGGCAAUCCACCACCACACACUGGAGUAGGGUAUUACACCACAUCGGUGGCCCGAACCAGUAUAAAUCUCGUGUCUUUCUGGGUUGCGAGUUCGUCGUGUUCAUCCGUGAGAUCUUAGCGAGCUAGGGCGUGGAUCGGUAGGAGGGAAAGAACUUCACGCGCACCAUAGAGUUCAAACCUUAAGGGUUUUGCCGGAACCCGAGAUCCGACAAAAGUGCAAAAAGAAUCAUCUUAAUCAGAGCUACGGUUUAGGAGAUAUGGCCAGUUGAAGUUCGAAUUCGAAUCUGAAUAAAUUCAAAUUUGAAUCUGACAAUAGUUUGCAAAAAAUGAUACCACUGGAUAGAUCUAAACAUAAAGAAGAAUUUUCCGCUAGUUUCAUCGAGUUUGGAUCUACGGUUAAAAAGUUGUGGCUAAUCUAAGUUUAGGGGCUAAACUGAAAUUUACAGGGACCUAGCAGUGAAACAGAAAACAAAAUAAAACUACGAACAGGCCCUCGGCCAUGUGGCGACUUGCGGGUGGCUGGGCAGCGCUCGCGGCUUAGGCUAAACGGUGAACGACCACUAAAUAAGCAAAAGAGUGGUGUCGGCUAACUAAAAAAACGAUUAUGGUUUAAAUAAAAACCGUGCGGUUUAACUACAACCGGGGUUAACCGAUCUAACACAAAAAAAUGAGCUAACAGGAGGGUUUACGGUGGCGACGAUGAUGAACAGGACAGCGGCGCUGGCUCGGGCGAUGGAUGGGGCGGCACCUGCGGUGCUCUUCGGCGGCAGGGAAGGAGGUAAAUGGGACGAGCGCGACGAGUGGGUUGAGGUGGUGGUGGCGGCGCGCGUCGAGGUGGCCGGGACGGGCGGAGCAAAGGGCGGCAUCUCCAUGCUCCGGCGAGGACGCAGGUCGUUGGGGCGUCGUCUCCGGUGGUGCCUAGGGGCAAAAACAAUGUCAACCAGAUGAGACUCAGCAAGUUACGAAGGUUGACAGAAAGAAAAUGAAGGUAGGGGAGUCUACAGCGACGGAAACUCCGGCGAGAUGCUCUGGCUCCGGCGAGAUCCAACGCGGCAGUGCGGUAGCUGUGAGGAGCAAGGGAGGAUGCGGAGUGGCAGAUUGGGGAGAGGGUGUCACGAGUGUUUUAUAGGCGUGAGCAGAGGCUGCGGAGUCGCGGGGAUAAGGGUUAUCCCGAGAGGGAUGCAGCCGGCGGGUUCGGGGCACGGGCGCGUGCUCUAUCCGAGCGGGAGGAGCGGAAGGUUCAGGAUGACCUGGGGGUGGGCCCCAUGCGUCAGUGGCGGCGGCAGUUAGCGAACGAGGGAGAGGCAAGAGGCGGGCGAGGCGAGGGCGCUCGGGCGCUGGUUGGCCAAUCGCUAGCCGGGCCGCGGGGGUGCGCCUGGCCUGGCGCGGCUAGCCGGCUGGGCCGCUGGGUGCUCCUGUGCCGAGCUGGCCUCGAUCUAGGUGGUGGUGCGCGGGUUUUUUAGGAAACGUUUAUAUUCAUCUGACUGAUUUUUGGCGACGCGUAAGCCGCCCGUUGGGCCAUCCGAUUACCAGAUCAGCUCGUUCACGAUGUGCGUCUUUGCAUGUGGUUGGUCCCCACAACUGGCUAUCGUGAUUCCUUUGGCUUUCUUUCUUUUUCCACACGAUUUGCUAGUGUUUUUGCUAGCUUGCUACUUAAACUGCUGUUCACAUAAGGCAAAAUCGGCUGGGGCAAAGAUGGUUAAUGCUGUGACCUGCUACUCGUUCCAUCGUCCGUGCGGCACUGGAGUGUUGGGAGCUGGCCGCCCGGUGCUGCGGCACCAGACGCCGCCGCGAGCCGGUGCUCCGAGGUGACGGUCGUGGACGUCUACUGCAUGCUGCUCCAGAGGGCUACAAGAUCGUCUCGGUGCUAUGCCGCGUUGGUGGCUGGCGAUGCUGGGACAACAGGGCGUCGGUUGGCUGCAAGUCACGACCUCUGAUGCAUGCGUCGUUGGCUGCUGAAAUGGAGCAUCGCCGAGCCGCCAGAGCAUCGUCGAUGCUGUAACGGAGCUGACGUGUCGCGAGCUUGGUCGGUGAUGCAAAGGAGCUCGUCGGUCCGUCGGAAUAUUUUCUAUGCUGUAACCAAACAUCGUCAGGCCAUCAGAACCUCGAGGGUGCUGCAAUGGAGCGUCGUCGGGCGACGGAGCAUCGUCGGUGCUGUAACGGAGCUCGCCGUGUCGCGCAGAGCAUCGUCGGUGCUGCAAGGGAGCUCGCCGGUCCGUCGGAAUAUUGUCUAUGUUGUAACGGAGUAUCGUCGUGCCAUCAGAACCUCAAGGGUGCUGCAAUAGAGCGUCCUCGAGCGACGGGCGUGACGCCCCCGAUUCAAUCAUACACUAAUCAUACACGCAAACUGAUGUCUACUACACAACCUUCUCUUGUAGACGUUGUUGGGCCUCCAAGUGCAGAGGUUUGUAGGACAGUAGCAAAUUUCCCUCAAGUGGAUGACCUAAGGUUUAUCAAUCCGUGGGAGGCGUAGGAUGAAGAUGGUCUCUCUCAAACAACCCUGCAACCAAAUAACAAAGAGUCUCUUGUGUCCCCAACACACCCAAUACAAUGGUAAAUUGUAUAGGUGCACUAGUUCGGCGAAGAGAUGGUGAUACAAGUGCAAUAUGGAUGGUAGAUAUGGGUUUUUGUAAUCUGAAAUAUAAAAACAGCAAGGUAGCAAGCGAUAAAAGUGAGCGUAAACGGUAUUGCAAUGCUAGGAAACAAGGCCUAGGGUUCAUACUUUCACUAGUGCAAGUUCUCUCAACAAUAAUAACAUAAUUGGAUCAUAUAACUAUCCCUCAACAUGCAACAAAGAGUCACUCCAAAGUCACUAAUAGCGGAGAACAAACGAAGAGAUUAUUGUAGGGUACGAAACCACCUCAAAGUUAUUCUUUCGGAUCGAUCUACUCAAGAGUUCGUACUAGAAUAACACCUUAAGACACAUAUCAACCAAAACCCUAAUGUCACCUAGAUACUCCAAUGUCACCUCAAGUAUCCGUGGGUAUGAUUAUAUGAUAUGCAUCACACAAUCUUAGAUUCAUCUAUUCAGACAACACAAAGAACUUCAAAGAGUGCCCUAAAGUUUCUACCGGAGAGUCAAGACGAAAACGUGUGUCAACCCCUAUGCAUAAGUUCACGGAACUCGCUAGUUGAUCACCAAAACAUACAUCAAGUGGAUCACGUGAUAUCCCAUUGUCACCACAGAUAAGCACAUGCAAGAUAUACAUCAAGUGUUCUCAAAUCCUUAAAGACUCAAUCCGAUAAGAUAACUUCAAAGGGAAAACUCAAUCCAUUACAAGAGAGGAGAGGGGGAGAAACAUAAUAAGAUCCAACUAUAAUAGCAAAGCUCGCGAUACACCAAGAUCGUACCACCUCAAGAACACGAGAGAGAGAGAGAGAGAUCAAACACAUAGCUACUGGUACAUAUCCUCAGCCCCGAGGGUGAACUACUCCCUCCUCAUCAUGGAGAGUGCCGGGAUGAUGAAGAUGGCCACCGGUGAGGGAUCCCCCCUCCGGAAGGGUGCCGUAACAGGACCUCGAUUGGUUUUUGGUGGCUACAGAGGCUUGUGGCGGCGGAACUCCCGAUCUAUUCUGUUCCCCGAUGGUUUUAGGGUAUAUUGGUAUAUAUAGGAGGAAGAAAUUCGUUAGGGGAGCCACGAGGGGCCCACGAGGGUGAAGGGCGUGCCCAGGGGGGUAGGGCGCGCCUCCCUACCUCGUGGCUUCCUUGUUGCUUCCCUUACAUACACUCCAAGUCCCCUGGAUUGCUUCCGUUCCAAAAAUAACUCUCCCAAAGGUUUCAUUCCGUUUGGACUCCGUUUGAUAUUCCUUUUCUGCGAAACACUGAAACAAUGGAAAAAACAGAAACUGGCACUGGGCACUGGGCUCUGGGUUAAUAGGUUAGUCCCCAAAGUAAUAUAAAAGUGUUUAAUAAAGCCCAUAAACAUCCAAAAGAGAUAAUAUAACAGCAUGAAUACUUGAUAAAUUAUAGAUACAUUGGAGACGUAUCACAAACGUGUACGAUCAAGAUCACGGACUCACGGGAAGAUAUCACAACACAACUCUAAAAAGUAAAAUAAGCCAUACAAGCAUCAUAAUACAAGCCAGGGGCCUCGAGGGCUCGAAUACAAGUGCUCGAUCAUAGACGAGUCAGCGGAAGCAACAAUAUCUGAGUACAGACAUAAGUUAAACAAGUUUGCCUUAAGAAGGCUAGCACAAACUGGGAUACAGAUCGAAAGAGGCGCAUGCCUCCUGUCUGGGAUCCUCCUAAACUACUCUUGGUCGUCGACGGCGGCCUGCAUGUAGUAGUAGGCACCCUCGGUGUAGUAGGGGUCGUUGUCGACGAUGGCGUCUGGCUCCUGGGCUCCAGCAUCUGGUUGCGACAACCAGGAAGAAAGGAAAGGGGGGAAAGGGGGAGAAAAGCAACCAUGAGUACUCAUCCAAAGUACUCGCAAGCAAGGAUCUACACUACUUAUGCAUGGGUAUCUGUAUAAAGGGGCAAUAUCAGUGGACUAAACUACAUAAUGCCAGAAUAAGAGGGGGAUAGCUAGUCCUGUCAAAGACUACGCUUCUGGCAGCCUCCAUCUUGCAGCAUGUAGAAGAGAGUAGACGGUAAGUUCACCAAGUAGCAUCGCAUAGCAUAAACCUACCCAGCGAUCCUCCCCUCGUCGCCCUGUGUGAGAGCGUCACCGGGUUAUAUCUGGCACUUGGAAGGGUGUGUUUUAUUAAGUAUCCAGUUCUAGUUGUCAUAAGGUCAAGGUACAACUCCAAGUCGUCCUGUUACCGAAGAUCACGGCUAUUAGAAUAGAUAAACUUCCCUGCAGGGGUGCACCACAUUACCCGACACGCUCGAUCCCUCUGGCCGGGCACACUUUCCUGGUUCAUGUCCGGCCUCGGGAGAUAACCAUGUCGCAACCCUACCUAGGCUCAACAGAGAGGUCAGCACGCCGGUCCAAAUCCUAUGCGCGCAGGGGUCUGGGCCCAUCACCCAUUGCACACCUGCACGUUGCGUACGCGGUCAGAAGCAGACCUAGCCCCCUUAAUACAAGCGCUGGCUUACAGUCCAAGGCGGCGCGUGCCGCUCAGUCGCUGACGUCAAAAAGAGAUUCGGCUGAUACCACGACGCCGGUUGCCCAUAACUUGUCUCAUGUGGCGGUUAGUGCGUAUAAGGUCAACGACCCAACUCAGAUCAAAUACCAAGAUCUCGUUAAGCGUGUUAUUAUGAAGUAACCGCAGACGCCGACCAGGGCUAGGCCCACCUCUCUCCUAGGUGGUCUUAACCUGCCCUGUCGCUCCGCCACAAAGUAACUGUCGGGGCCGUUAGGAACCCAAGCCCACCACUACCGGGAUGGAGCCACCUGUCCUUUCAGCCCCCACAUCAAAAUCACUUGCGGGUACUCUACGAGCUGACCCGACUUUAGUCACAUCAUGUAAUCUGUAUAAUAUGUAUGUAUAUAUGUAUAUACCCGUGAUCACCUCCCGAGUGAUCACGGCCCGAUAGUAUAGCAUGGCAGAUGGACAAGAAUGUAGGGCCACUGAUGGAUACUAGCAUCCUAUACUAAGCAUUUAGGAUUGCAGGUAAGGGUAACAACUGUAGCAACAAAGACAGGCCAUGUAGCAGAAUAGGAUUAACCGAAAGCAGUAACAUGCUACACUACUCUAAUGCAAGCAGUAGAGAGGAGGAAUAGGCGAUAUCUGGUGAUCAGGGGGCUUGCCUGGUUGCUCUGGCAAGGAGGGGGUCGUCAACAACGUAGUCGAUCGGGGCACCAGCAGCGGCGUCAGUCUCGUAGUCUACCAGCGAGAAGAGGGGGAAGAAACAAUGAAUACAAUGCAAACAGAUGCAUAUCGAUGCAUGAUAUGACAAGUAACGGUGCCAGGUGUGCCCUAACGCAGUAGGAGGGGAUACCGGCGAAGGCGGGAAACAUCCGGGAAAGUAUCCCCGGUGUUUCAUGUUUUCGGACAGAUGAACCGGAGGGGGAAAGUUGCAUGUUCGCUAUGCUAGGGAUGUGUGGGGGACGAACGGGCUACGUAUCCGGAAUCGUAUCGUCGUUCUGAGCAACUUUCAUGUACAAAGUAUUUUCAUCCGAGCUACGGAUUAUUUUAUAUUAAUUUUUAAAGAUUUAAAUCAUUUUUAGGAUUAACCGAAUUAAUUAAAUCAAAAAGCAUUUAUGACAUCAGCAUGACGCAAGCGGUCAAAGUUGACAGUUGACCAGUCAACUAAUGGGUGGGUCCCGCAUGUCAUAGGCUGUUAACUAAUUAACAGUUGUUAGUUUUAUUAGCAGGUUAAUUAGGUUUAAUUAACUAGAUUAAUUAAGUUAGUUAAUUGUUUAACUAAUUAAUCAUUUAUUUAUUUAUUUUAACUCCUUUUUUAAACGUCUCACAGGGGCGGCCCCCACGUGUGUGUGGCCCAGAGGGAGCCUUAAUGGGCGUGCGGGUUAUGGGUGCUGGCGCCCAGCCCAAUUGGGCAUCCACCCAGAUCGAUGGGGGGGGGGAGGGGCCGCCAGCCAUGGGCACGGCGAGGCCGGCCGCCUGAGGCGAUAGUUGCGAGGCCACAGGGAGGCGGGCUCGCCCGGGAGGUAGCGGAUGGGGCGGCGCGCGGGAGCAGGGGAGCGGCGCGCGUCGAUGAGACGGUGCUAGCGCGUGCGUGAGGCCGCGCGGCAGGGCGCGACAGGGGCCGCGGUGGCCGUGAGUGGGACCUCGGGCGGUGGCGGCUGCGCUAGCAGCAGAGGCGGCAAGCAAGGUGGAGGGGGCGGCCAGGUUGGCGCGGGGUGGGUCGGCUGGUCAGCUGGGCCGGCCGACUGGGCCAAGGUCUAGUUGACCAUAGGGGGCUGUUGUUUCUUUUUACUUUGCUUUUACUUUUCAAUUUAUUUUUCCUUAUUUUCCUUUUACUGGUUUAAUUUUAUUUUGGUUUAGUAAAGUAUGAUGAUAGCUCCUAGAAUUAUGUUUCAGAAUAACCCACUACCUUACAACGUUUUACCCCGAUAUAAAACAAUUUAGUAUUUUAUAAAAUACCACAGGCGUUUAAAUAGUUGUUUUGCUACUGUUCAAAUCAUACUGGUGCAUUUAAAUAUUUUAUUUAAAUGUGGGUUCUUCACCAUAAUUCUUUAUGCAUUAUUUGUCACCUCUAGAACAUUUUAGCUUUAAAGUUUGAAAACCUCUAUCAUUUGACUUGAUUUUGAAUUUGGAUUUUGAAUCGUCGCAAGAUUAAUAAUAGCAAUCGUGGUGACGUGGCAACAUUAGCAGAGGGUUACUGUGGCUUAACUAUCCGGGCGUCACAAUUCUCCUCCACUAAAGAAAUCUCGUCCCGAGAUUUAGGAUGUGGAGUAAGGGGGGAAAAUCUGGUUUCCAAAUUCUAACGAAUCUUCUCGUUCUUGGUUGCUCUUCUCGAAGAGUUCGAUCCAUUACAUUGGUGUCUUCAUUUCUCUACUUUAUGUAGUAAUGAUGAAAUCGUCAUCCUUUUCUUCAGGGACUCCAUCGUACUUACGAAAGAAUAAUGGGGGUAUUCAAGGAGAACGGACCUCUGCAAGGUUGUCUAUCUAGUAGAUAACAUCGGGGAAGGUGGUGGAAAGUAACUCUCUAAUUGAAAGUUAAGAAAAUACCGAGAGCAUAGUAAUAAGGUUCCAAGAGAAGUUUCGAUUGGGCAGGCAAUCGUUCAAUGCCUAAUCAGAAGGUGAAAGGGGUUCAGAGUAACGAAAUAAACAUUGCGUUUGAUGCCAAAAUAGAUCUCUAGGAAGGUGGCUCGUGAAUCUCAUUCUAAGCCAAGCGGUUGGGAUAACUUUGGAAACAUGGAUGUACAGGAGAGUCAGGUUUCGAUCCUGUGGAACUGUGGGUUAUGGUCCCACCAUGUGGUUGAAAAUAGAAAGGGGGCUGACAUCUUACACGGUCACGAUAGCAAGGCAUGUCAGAGGGUAGCCUGUCAGUUAUGUCAGCAACAACAUCGAUACCAAGGGCGAGGGACGAAGAGAACUAUUUUCCUGCUCGUUGAAGCGAGGCGGACCAAUAGGCAAAGUUCUCAUCCAUCGGUGGUUACCGGGAUGUCAUCAACAAUAGUAACAGGGUCUUACUGACAGAGUUGUACAACCGAGGUGUUUACAUAAGCAGGAGAAUAUUACUGCUUAGAUCAUAUAGAUCACAAGAAAGGUUAAACCAAACAAUGGAAAGGAAAAUAAGAUUACCAGAUUAAACAGAACAAAGAAAGGGAAAAUGUGUUUUAACACAUAUUUCAGGGGUAUAUCCUUCCCAAGGACAAGCAGAGCAUGAUAUCCAUGGUAGGAUAUAAAGUAGAAACCAUUUAGGUAAGGGGAGAGGAAUUUCAUGACAUAACCCAAACAACGGUGUUUGAAAAAUUGAUAAGGAAAUUUAGCAUGGUGCUUCAAAUGUUCUUAUCGAUGAUCAGAGUACCACAGACAUGCUUCGAGAUAGCAUUGACAUGGUCAUCAAGUAAGGGGCAGAAUUUGGAUGCACAAAGGACCCAUCAGGAACAACUUAUAGAAUAAGUCUUACGAUUUCCUCAUGGAAAAUCGCUAACCUUGCUAAGAAGGGAACUAUAACAAUAGGUCCUCCGGCCAGGUGUGCUAGGCAUGACAUCACCUUACCGGGUCAUAUAAGGUCCAAUUUUAUAACUCUCGGAAAUAUGUUCCAACCAUCAUAUCUGAUCGAGAUUCAGAUCUGAUUGGUGUCAGGAUACCUCAGACUUAGGAUGUCUGAGCAUAAAAGGUGCAACACAACUUGACGAGAUGACAUUGUCAGAUUCUCGGGAUAUGAACUAUGGAAGCGAGUUCCGACACAAGAGUUCAUUGUUAAACCAAGGAGAGGAUGAGGAGGUGGCUGAUGGACUCAGCGACAAUUCAUCAAGAUUUCCAACAAGAUGGAUUUCCACAAUUAUUUGAACAAGGAGAUAAAGUUAGACAGAUUGAAAUGAUAUAAUGAUGUAUGCUCGAGGAAAACAUACAGAAUUAGACAUUGGUUGAAAGGUGCACCCGCAAUAUGGGCUUAGGUAGCAUGAUCAAUGUUUAGGAUGGUGCUUCGAUAACCAAUGGUCUAAGAAUGAAAUGUCGACCAUUAACUUGAAAGCAAUAGGGUUGCUAGAAGUUUUGAAUUCACACCUCAUAGUACAAUUGUCGGUUUUUUGGUUAGAAACAACACGGGGACCAAGGAAUGAAUGGAGAUGGCAAGUAAGAGGUGGUGAAAUUCUCACGACAUUCUAGACAUAAAAGAUGGUAAUACUCAAAGGUAAAGAAGAAGAAAUGCUGGAUUGCAAGGAACUCAAGGUAUAACACAAAACACGAACAAGUUCGUGUUGAACAGAAGGCAAUGAAAUGGUCAAUGACGAAACAAAUCAUCGAGGGCAAGGAUGGUAUUUCUCAUCAUGAAUUCAAUUGAUAUCCAGGAAGGACUCAAGAUGUUGAUGAUGAUCACGACAAAUUUUGUCGAGAGGCUCCACGAAGAAGCAAUCGAACAACGACUGCAUCAAGCAAAAGGACCGAUGCAGUGAAAGAUUAUUGGGUCUACGGAUACGACACCAACUCGGAAUCAAGCUUGUUGUUCGAGGUGGAACGAUAAGACAAGGAAAUCGACGUAAGCUUAGCUCAGCGUCAAAAUUUGUGCUCCGGGAAAAGGACCAGGUAGCACAGUUAAAGUUAGUAUGAUAAUGGUGUAGCCGAUCAUGCUAGGAAUAACUUGAAGGAUUAUUAAACUCGUCAGCAAAGAAGAUUGCUAAGAGUUGUAGAAUUUGUAGCGCGGACUCGACUUAGUUAUCAGUGUUUUCAAGUGACUAACAACUCAGAACCCGUGGUAAAACUGAAUUAGUGAGAAGCAAUACUUGACGAGAAGUCAUAAGAAGUAUAUCAGUUCUGUGAUAUUCUCGAGACACCAGAGGGUAUUACUCGAAGGUAGAGCGGAAUAGAGGUUGGACAUGUGUAUCAAUCUACAGAAGACAAGUACUUUAACCUGUCCGAGAAAGCAAUCAAGGAAUAAUAAUAUGGCCAAAACCAUGAUUGCAAAAGACCAGAUCCAAGAUAUAAGAUGAACUUAUACCAAGGGAAUAAUUACUUUAAGACAAGCUUCCAUGAUAAGAUCUACAUAGUGUCCAUGGGCAUGAACUCAAAGUUCAAGGUCAACUCCCACUUCUUCAAUGCCUAACCUUUCACUCACUCCUCAUUUUCAAAGAAGUUGUAAUGUUGAAAUUUUAUCUGGCAAAAUAGCGGAAGAGUAUGACUCGUGCAAACUUUCGAGUUCACACAUAUUAAGGAAGGCAUAGGUUCAACCCAUCGGGGUAUCGUAGGGACAUAUACCACAACUUUAGGAGUAAUUCAUACAAGUUCGAAGGCGAAGCAUGGUUGAGAAAGUAGAGGAUACAAUUUACCAAAGGCAUUAUGUAUCCGAGGGAAGGCUCACAAGGUUAUUGAAUAUGAAGGACGCUGUCGGAUAAAAUCCAACAAAGGAUCCGGUGGUCUUCAAGGGAUCUGAUGUGAGCAUCGGUACUCAACCAGAUGAAGAAGGAACGAAAGGGCAUCGGAUUAUAGAAACAACUGACUAAUUCAAAGAUCAAAUGCAAAGGAAUUAUCAUUUCCAAAUAAAGGGACCAGAAGCCAACAGUCUGAUUAAGAAUGGAUAAGUUGAAUAGACUUAGAAGCAUAACCGAUCAAGGCAUUGAUUGGUCAAGAACCAGCUCAUAUCCAAAUGACUUCUGAGCUGGAAGGAUGAAUUCUAGGAUCUGACUAAGAAUUGCGAGCAUUCGCAACAUAUUGAAUCAAUGGACUCAAAAUGAUAUUGACAAAGGAUGCCAAUAAGAUUACCGGACUUAUGGGAUUAAUCAUAACGCUAGUAAACAAGAACUUCAAGAGCAUUAGGAUGUCAAGGAUUUUUAGAAGAAUGAAUGGUAUUUCGAAGACUUCUGUGAAAUACAUGAAUCAACUAUGGAUGAACGGAUACUCGAUAAGUGUGAGGAAUUAUCCGUAGGGGUAUUCAUGUGGUAAAGAACUGCAAGGUAGUAAGCUCAAAGGAUUCUCGGGACAACAGAGAGUAUUUCGGGACAUCUUGUAAUAACAAGAUCAAUGGGGAAUGAUUGAAUGAAUGAAAAGUGUAUGCAGUUUUCAUAGGGGUUGACGGUGGAAGGAAAUCGCAAAUGCGAUGGCACAAAGACUCGAGAGAACAUCGUAGAGUAACUUCGGAAUCUUCUAGUGCAGCAGGUGACCAUCUGAAGUGAGGGGCUCUCCGGGAGAAAGUACUUUCGAGAACGUAAAGUUAGUUUUGUUUUUAGCAAAAUAAUUUAACCCGAAUAGAAGAGAGCUCAGAGUCCCAGAGUAAAGAUCGAGGAGUAAAAGAUCCUAAUACCACCCAAUGGCGACGUGGGCCCGUAAGACACACAACCUAAGUUAGUAAAAGUUUUGCAAUGACUAGACUCGACUUCAGCCAAGGAGUGUGGAAGGGGGAUUCCUACAGGCAGUCAGCUCGGAUACCAACUUGUGACGCCCCCGAUUCAAUCAUACACUAAUCAUACACGCAAACGUGUACGAUCAAGAUCAAGGACUCACGGGAAGAUAUCACAACACAACUCUAAAAAGUAAAAUAAGUCAUACAAGCAUCAUAAUACAAGCCAGGGGCCUCGAGGGCUCGAAUACAAGUGCUCGAUCAUAGACGAGUCAGCGGAAGCAACAAUAUCUGAGUACAUACAUAAGUUAAACAAGUUUGCCUUAAGAAGGCUAGCACAAACCGGGAUACAGAUCGAAAGAGGCGCAUGCCUCCUGCCUGGGAUCCUCCUAAACUACUCCUCGUCGGCGGCGGCGGCCUGCACGUAGUAGUAGGCACCCUUGGUGUAGUAGGGGUCGUUGUCAACGGUGGCGUCUGGCUCCUGGGCUCCAGCAUCUGGUUGUGACAACCAGGAAGAAAGGAAAGGGGGGAAAGGGGGGGGAGAAAAGCAACCGUGAGUACUCAUCCAAAGUACUCGCAAGCAAGGAUCUACACUACUUAUGCAUGGGUAUCUGUAUAAAGGGGCAAUAUCAGUGGACUGAACUUCAUAAUGCCAGAAUAAGAGGGGGAUAGCUAGUCCUGUCAAAGACUACGCUUCUGGCAGCCUCCAUCUUGCAGCAUGUAGAAGAGAGUAGACGAUAAGUUCACCAAGUAGCAUCGCAUAGCAUAAACCUACCUGGCGAUCCUCCCCUCAUCACCCUAUGUGAGAGCGAUCACCGGGUUAUAUCUGGCACUUGGAAGGGUGUGUUUUAUUAAGUAUCCAGUUCUAGUUGUCAUAAGGUCAAGGUACAACUCCAAGUCGUCCUGUUACCGAAGAUCACGGCUAUUUGAAUAGAUAAACUUCCCUGCAGGGGUGCACCACAUUACCCGACACGCUCGAUCCCUCUGGCCGGGCACACUUUCCUGGGUCAUGUCCGGCCUCGGGAGAUCAACACGUCGCAACCCUACCUAGGCUCAACAGAGAGGUCAGCACGCCGGUCUAAAUCCUAUGCGCGCAGGGGUCUGGGCCCAUCGCCCAUUGCACACCUGCACGUUGCAUACGCGGCCGGAAGCAGACCUAGCCCCCUUAAUACAAGCGCUGGCUUACGGUCCAAUGCGGCGCGUGCCGCUCAGUCGGUGACAUCAAAAAGAGCUUCGGCUGAUACCACGACGCCGGUUGCCCAUAUCUUGUCCCACGUGGCGGUUAGUGCGUAUAAGGUCAACGACCCAACUCAGAUCAAAUACCAAGAUCUCGUUAAGCGUGUUAUUAUGAAGUAACCGCAGACACCGACUAGGGCCAGGCCCACCUCUCUCCUAGGUGGUCUCAACCUGCCCUAUCGCUCCGCCACAAAGUAACAGUCGGGGGCCGUUAGGAACCCAGGCCCACCACUACCGGGAUGGAGCCACCUGUCCUUUCAGUCCCCACAUCAAAAUCACUUGCGGGUACUCUACGAGCCGACCCGACUUUAGUCACAUCAUGUAAUCUGUAUAAUAUGUAUGUAUAUAUGUAUAUACCCGUGAUCACCUCCCGAGUGAUCACGGCCCGAUAGUAUAGCAUGGCAGACUAACAAGAAUGUAGGGCCACUGAUGGAAACUAGCAUCCUAUACUAAGCAUUUAGGAUUGCAGGUAAGGGUAACAACUGUAGCAACAAAGACAGGCUAUGCAGCAAAAUAGGAUUAACCGAAAGCAGUAACAUGCUACAGUACUCUAAUGCAAGCAGUAGAGAGGAGGAAUAGGCGAUAUCUGGUGAUCAAGGGAGGGGGCUUGCCUGGUUGCUCUGGCAAGGAGGAGGUCAUCAACAACGUAGUCGAUCGGGGCACCAGCAGCGGCAUCAGUCUCGUAGUCUACCAGAGAGAAGAGGGGGAAGAAACAAUGAAUACAAUGCAAACAGAUGCAUAUUGAUGCAUGAUAUGACAAGUAACGGUGCCAGGUGUGCCCAAACGCAGUAGGAGGGGAUACCGGCGAAGGGGGGAAACAUCCGGGAAAGUAUCCCCGGUGUUUCAUGUUUUCGGACAGAUGAACCGGAGGGGGAAAGUUGCAUGUUCACUAUGCUAGGGAUGUGUGGCAGACGAACGGGCUACGUAUCCGGAAUCGUUUCAUCGUUCUGAGCAACUUUCAUGUACAAAGUAUUUUCAUCCGAGCUACAGAUUAUUUUAUAUUAAUUUUUAAAGAUUUAAAUCAUUUUUAGGAUUAACAUAAUUAAUUAAAUCAAAAAGAAUUUAUGACAUCGUCAUGACGUUAGCAUGACGCAAGCAGUCAAAGUUGACCGUUGACGAGUCAACUAAUGGGUGGGUCCCGCAUGUCAUAGGCAGUUAACUAAUUAAUAGUAGUUAGUUUUAUUAGCAGGUUAAUUAGGUUUAAUUAACUAGAUUAAUUAAGUUAGUUAAUUGUUUAACUAAUUAAUCAUUUAUUUAUUUAUUUUAACUCCUUUUUUAAACGUCUCACAGGGGCGGGCCCCAUGUGUGUGUGGCCCGGAGGGAGCCUUAACGGGCGUGCGGGUUAUGGCCCCUGGCGCCUAGCCCGAUUUGGCAUCCACCCAGAUCGAUGGGGGGGGGCGCCAGCCACGGGCACGACGAGGCCGGCCGCCUGAGGCGACAGUUGCGAGGCCACGGGGAGGCGGGCUCGCCCGGGAGGUAGGGGAUGGGGUGGCGCGCGUCGACGAGACGGUGCUAGCACGUGCGUGAGGCCGCGGUGGCCGUGAGCGGGACCUCGGGCGGCGGCUGCGCUAGCAGCAGAGUUGGCGAGCAAGGCGGAGGGGGCGGCCAGGUUGGCGCGGGGUGUGCCGGCUGGCCAGCUGGGCCGGCCGACUGGGCCGAGGUCCAGUUGACCAUAGGGGGCUGUUGUUUCUUUUUUUGUUUCUUUUUUACUUUACUUUGCUUUUACUUUACAAUUUACUUUUCCUUAUUUUCCUUUUACUGGUUUAAUCUUAUUUUGGUUUAGUAAAGUAUGAUGAUAGCUCCUAGAAUAAUGUUUCAGAAUAACCCACUACCUUACAACGUUUUACCCCGAUAUAAAACAAUUUAGUAUUUUAUAAAAUACCAAAGGCGUUUAAAUAGUUGUUUUGCUACUGUUCAAAACAUACUAGUGCAUUUAAAUAUUUUAUUUAAAUGUGGGUUCUUCACCAUAGUUCUUUAUGCAUUAUUUGUCACCUAUAGAACAUUUUAGUUUUAAAGUUUGAAAACCUCUAUCGUUUGACGUGAUUUUGAAUUUGGAUUUGAAUCGGAUUUUGAAUCGUCGCAAGAUUAAUAAUAGCAAUCGUGGUGACGUGGCAACAUUAGGAGAGGGUUACUGUAGCUUAACUAUCCAAGCGUCACAACGGGGCAUCGCAAGGGAGCAUCACCGGCAUUACAAUGGGGCAUUGUCGGAAGCAUCCUCGGUGCUGCAUCGGAGCAUCGUCAGUGCUGCAUCGGAGCAUCGUUAGGCCGCGGAGCAUCACCGAUGCUGCAACGGAGUAUCACCGGUGUUGCAAUGGGGCAUUAUCGGGCCGUCGGAGCAUCAUCGAUGCUGCAAUGAAGCAUUGUUGGGCCGCCGGAGCAUCACCGGUAUUGAAAUGGGUCAUUGUUGAGCCGUCGGAGCAUCGUCGGUGUUGCAACGGAGCAUCAUUGGGUGGCCGAAGCAUCGUCGGUGCUGCAACAGAGCAUCACCGGUGUUGAAAUGGGUCAUUAUCGGGCCGUCAGAGCAUCGUCGAUGCUACAACAGAGUAUCGUCGGUGCUGCAGUGGAGCUCGCUGGGCCGUCGGAGCAUUCUCAGUGUGUCAACGGAGCAUCGUCGGGCUGCCGAAUCAUCGUCGCUGCUGCAAUGGAGCUCAGCGGGCUAUCGAAGCAUAGUUGGUGCUGCAACGGAGCUCGCUUGGCCGCUGGAGCAUCCCCGGUGCUGCAAUGGAGCAUCAUCGGCCCCUCGAAACCUCAUUGGUGCUGCAAUGAAGCGUCACCGGGCAGCUGGAGCAUCACCGGUGCUGCAACGGAUUGCAGUGGGGCCAUUGUCGAGCAACCAGAGCAUCACUGAUGCUUGAAGGGAUGGUCGUAGGAGUCUUGCUGCUGGUGCCGCAAUCCCGGAGCUUGCCGGUGUUGUAGUUGUGGCCGGUGCAUGGCGAGAUCGCCGACGUUGCCGUGAAACGACCGGCGACAUGGCUCUCCAACCUGAGCAUUGCUGGUGGUUCAAGCAAAAGUUGGCGCUGCAAGUCGCGGCCAGCUGUGAUUUCUCGUCGGAGCUAUGCAUGCCACACGGGAAGGAAGAAUUUGGGUUGCACGUACAGGUGGCUAGAGUGGUGGUGUAUUGUGCUGACGUGGUUGAGGGAAUCAAGCGGACGUGGGUGUUUUGUGGAGGACAUAGGCAGGAUCACGCGGCCGAAAUCAACGGCUGGCUAGCCGGCUAAUCUUUUCCUAAGAUCAGUCGGCUGACACCUAGCAGCCACCUUUUUUUUACAGAAAGAAGAACUGCAAAGAGAGAAAAUAAGUAAAAAUCUACAUAGGCAUAUCAUAUACCAAAAUGUUCAGAAAAAUAGCAUAAAUAAUAUGAACUAUUUUUUAAGUUGAAAUAAAUUCCAUAACAAUUCAUAAAAGUCAAACAGUGCUACUGUUGCAUUUAAAAUCCAUAAUUUUUUUAUAAUAGCAAAAUUAUUUCAAAUAUAUUUUUCCUAAUUUUCCCUUGAAGGGAAUCAUUUUACCCUUAUUUCCAUUUAUUUAUUUUUAGGAGAAAAAUAAUUUGAAUCAAAACUAAAUAACUCCCAAGAGAAUUUGAAAUUUGGAAAUUCAAAAUAACUACAAAGUGACUUUCAAAUUGAAACUUCCAACUCUCUUUUUUCGAAUUUGAAGAAGUCAUUUUAUCUUCCCUCAUGAACUCAUUGAGUUGCUUAAAGUUUCUAAACUUGACAUAUUUCAAAUGGAAUUCAAAUCAUUUUCAAAUCCCUUUUCAUUCCUUUAAAUGAAAGAAGUCAUAUUAUCUUCACUCUAGGGUUUUGUGAUGAAAUGAAUUUGAAUUCAGGGAGAUCAAAAUGCAAGAUGAAAAGUUUUGGGAAAGUCCUUUUAUUCCCUCUCAUGCAACUUUCAAAAAGUUUCGGAUUCCACCCAAUUUCACACAAUUGAUCACACAACAAUCAAACAAAGAAUCAUAAUUAUUUAUUUAAUAUAACAUUCCAAAAUUUAGAAUUUUGGGAUGUUACAAUCUACCACCCUUAAAAUGAAUCUCGUCCUCGAGAUUCGGAGAGGCUAGAAAGAAGGUUAGGUUUGGGGGGGUCUUCUUGAAAAUCCAUUCAUGAACACAAGGUAUGGGGUGCUACCACCCUUAGAAGCAUGGUUACGGUUCCAACAAAACUCAUGUACUCCAUCCUUUGCGUUGACGGUGUCGGUCUUCUCAUAUUCUCCGGGAUAACUCCCUCGUUGGUGCUCUUCCAGUAACGGCAUAACCUUUUCCCCAAAGUCUUGAGUCCUUGCAUCAAAAUAAGAUCCUUCCGGGACUGGGGCUUCUUAGCUGAAAGGUCUGGCGCCAAUGCUAAACAACUAUCAAAAUCUCAUGGUGGUCAACAAUUUCUGGUUCCUCCUGCAGGAAAUGGGUCUGGGUUGAAUCUCACCGUAUAACCUACGAUUGGCAACGGGUACCUGUACAGGGUUUUCAUCGUCCUGACGUUCUAAGGCUUUUGGUUUGUCAUGCCGACACUCUUCUAGGUUUUCAAGGCUCUCUGAUUUUCCAUCAACAUAUGAUAGCUCAUGAUAGAAGUCUCCGGUAUGGGGGCCAAUCCAUCCCGUACUUGAAUCAUUACGACAUACGCAGAUAGGGAAUCACAUAUUCUAACACUUGGGCAUCCUCACAAGCAUUGUAGAACUUCUCUUCUCCAUGAACUGGGUUUGGGUAAAUCCAUUGGUUCUGCAAGCCAAACAAAACCUCUAUCAUUUCUUCACAACUCUCGGGUUUACGUAACUUCCUAUGGAACGUCUAUUGAUAAAAUCAUAACUUCUUCUAGAAUUCUUCCUGCAACAAGGUUGUGCUUGUCCCCUUUAAAUCCUGGGUCAUGUGGGUUAUGGGCCCACUUCAACACUAGUAUAUAUUUAACUCAUCCUUGGAGUUACUAUUUGUUGGGUAACACAGUAAUUUCAAAAAAAUUGCUUAUGCACACGCAAGAUCCAUCUAGGUGAUGCAUAUCAACGAGCAGUGAGAGUGUGUCCACGUAUCCUCGUAGACCGAAAGCGGAAGCGUUUAGUAAUGCGGUUGAUGUAGUCGAACGUCUUCACGAUCCAACCGAUCCAAGUACCGAACGCACGACACCUCCGCGAUAUGCACACGUUCAACUCGGUGACGUCCCUCGUACUCUUGAUCCAGCUGAGGCCGAUGGAGAGUUUCGUCAGCACGACGGCACGGUGACAGUGAUGGUGAAGUUACCGACAUAGGGCUUCGCCUAAGCUCUAGAACAAUAUGACCGAGGUGGAAAUCUGUGGAGGGGGGCACAGCACACGGCUAACACAACUGUCAACUUGUGUGUCUAUGGGGUGCCCCCUCCCCGUAUAUAAAGGAGGGGAGGAGGGGGCCGGCCGGCCCUUCAUGGUGCGCCCCAAGGGGGGAUUCCUACUCCUACUAGGGGUAGGUUUCCCCCCUUUCCUAGUCCUAAUAGGAGGGGGAAUAAAGGGAAAGGGGAGAGGAAGGAAAGGGGGCCCGGCCCCCCUCCCAAUUCGGAUUGGGCUUGGGGGGGCCCCACCUCUUGGCCGCCUCCUCUCUCUCCCAGUAAAGCCCAUAUAGGCCCAUUUAGCCCCCGGGGGGUUCCGGUAACCCCCCGGUACUCCGAUAUAUGCCCGAACUCAUCCGAAACCGUUCCGGCGUCCAAACAUAACCUUCCAAUAUAUCAAUCUUCAUGUCUCGACCAUUUCUAGACUCCUUGUCAUGUCCGUGAUCACAUCCGGGACUCCGAACUAGCUUCGGUACAUCAAAACACAUAAACUCAUAAUACUGAUCGUCAUUGAACGUUAAGCGUGCGGACCCUACGGGUUCGAGAACUAUGUAGACAUGACCGAGACUCACUUCCAGUCAAUAACCAAUAGCGGAACAUGGAUGCUCAUAUUGGUUCCUACAUAUUCUAUAAAGAUCUUUAUCGGUCAAACCGCAUAACAACAUACAUUGUUCCCUUUGUCAUCGGUAUGUUACUUGCCCGAGAUUCGAUCGUCGGUAUCAUCAUACCUAGUUCAAUCUCGUUAUUGGAAGUCUCUUUACUCGUUUCGUAAUGCAUCAUCCCAUAACUAACUCAUUAGUCACAUUAGUUGCAAGGCUUAUAGUGAUGUGAAUUACCGAGAGGGCCCAGAGAUACCUCUUCGACAAUCAGAGUGACAAAUCCUAAUCUCGAUCUAUGCCAACUCAACAAACACCAUCGGAGACACCUAUAGAGCAUCUUUAUAAUCACCCAGUUACGUUGUGAUGUUCCAUAGCACACUAAGUGUUCCUCCGGUAUUCGGGAGUUGCAUAAUCUCAUAGUCAUAGGAACAUGUAUAAGUAUUGAAGAAAGCAAUAGCAAUAAACUAAAUGAUCAUAGUGCUAAGCUAACGGAUGGGUCAAGUCAAUCACAUCAUUCUCUAAUGAUGUGAUCCCGUUGAUCAAAUAACAACUCAUGUCUAUGGCUAGGAAACUUAACCAUCUUUGAUUAACGAGCUAGUCAAGUAGAGGCAUACUAGUGACACUCUGUUUGUCUAUGUAUUCACACAUGUACUAAGUUUCCGGUUAAUACAAUUCUAGCAUGAAUAAUAAACAUUUACCAUGAUAUAAGGAAAUAUAAAUAACAACUUUAUUAUUGCCUCUAGGGCAUAUUUCCUUCACUAUUGCUCCAUAUUCCAACAUUACAUACCCUUUAAAUCCAAUUGUACUUCAUUCCUUCAUACUCUUGGGGUAACCAUCAUAACUAAAACAAAACUCCGACUCAUUUUGUCCAAACUCCACUCUGUGGAAUACAUUUUCCUUUCCAUUGGUCAAGUGUUCUCACAGGGUACUACCAUUAAAAUAAAAUGUACUGGUGCAUCCAUAAUUCAUAUUCUCUUCGUAUCAAAUCAUGUAUUACAUCCUUAAUCACUACUCAAAACUCAAAUUCCAAAAGUACUUUAUUACAAAUGCUGCCAUCCACAUAGUUUGGUAUGGUCAAGCAUUACUUCCAUCUUUAUUCAUUUGCCCUACUUGAAGAUGCUUCAAUCCCACUGGAAUUGUUCGAUGUGAUCCUUGAAAUCAUCGAUCUUCUGCUUCACCAUGGUGGCCAUCAACUUCAUCUCCAUCAUCUCUGCAUGCACCUCUCUCAGGUAUUCCUGAGUGUGACGGAGUCUUGCUUCAAGCAUUUCUCCAAUCUGACGUAUGGCUCCCAUAGCAGCUUCACGAACAGAGUCGAAGAAUGUUGCUCGUGGUACUCGAGAAAUGAAAAAGUAUUGCCCCAUAUUCGUUGGGCAAACACUCUUCACACGGUGGAGUUGUACCUCCACGUACCAAAGUUCAACUCCAUUCUCCAUGAAAGGAUAACCUUUGUAAACUGCAUCUCUUUCAAGAUGAAUAUGCUUCAUCAUGUCCUUCAGGAUCUUUGGGUAAUCCUGAUCACUAGCCAGGGUCAUGAUCGUUUCCGGGCCCUUCAGAAAAGACUCGUAAAGGGUUGCCAUCUGCAGGUAUAAGAUAGAAGGGUACUCAGGAUACUGUAUGUAUUUCCUUGGGUGAAAUGUGGUUGUUUUUCCCGGGAAAGUUUUUGGGUCAGCUUGUCCAUGGGUUCAAGGUUUAAGUCUGGGUGACAUAGUGAGAGAGGCACUCACAAUCAACAAACAACUCAUAACAUUUCAUAUGAGAUUCCAAACACCUCAACUUUUAUUACUUCACGAACUAUUACAAUUUCCACUUCCUAACUCAACUCAAUAUCCCCAAUGAAAAUAAAAGUGUGCUCCACAUUUGUUACAUGCUUUAUUUCAAAUAUCAAGAUCUCAACUACUCAACCCAAGCUUUCCUCGAGUCUGAAUAUUCUCUGGCAAAAUGUCCUACUCCUUUGUAGCGUAAACAAAUGAUGUCAGACAAAUCCAGGGGCUUCCUGGUGAUUAUCUUGGCUCCUUGGGUUCUUGGCUUCCUUUCUGGGCAUUUGCUAGCGCAAUGACCUAAAUCCUUGCACCUGUAACAAGUGAUAUGACUCAGGUCCUUUUCUGCAGAAAUUGGGUUGUUCUGGGGACACAUGCUCUUUCUCUUCCUCGACAUCUUCAUUCCGAUCAAUUCUUCCAUCUCUUGUGGAUCAAACUCCACUUCUUCUGUCAGGAAGUCUCCCAGAUACUCUUGGCUUUCCUUCGUGCAAUACUGUGAAAAAUGUCCUUCUUCUCCACAUGAAUAGCAAGCAUUAGAGUAAAAUCUGCUUAGGCUUUCUCCAUCAGGGUAGUCAACAUCUUCCUUCAUCAUAGGUUCUUUUAAACUUUCCCCGAGGGCUUCUUUCAUUGCUUCCUUCUGCUGCUUGGUAAUUUCUUGUACCUUGGGGUUAAUAUGACACUGGGUAGGGUAGUGCGUAGUUCCUUCACACAAGAAACAAGUACCCUGCCUUGUUGGGAAUUCUUCCGCUGGGUGAUUUCCUUCACAAUGAGGGCAUCCAUCCUUGUGUUCUUCAUGGUUGUGUACUAUUUCUCCACAUAUCUUGCAGGCACAAGGUUUUUUCUUCGGGUUAUCACCAUGCUUCCGGAUAAGACGGGAUCCCAACCGAGUCUUCUUCAAUUCCUCCUAAGUUUUUGCUGCAUUACAUCCUUGUAUGGCCUGAUGCAUUUUCCACCAGGUUGCAUCACUUUUUGUAAAGUACUGAAGAGCGUAUUGAACCUCAUACUUCCUUGCAACCAAAUUACUCCCGAGUGAUUCUCCAUGUUUAGAAUCCAUAGGUCUGCCUCCAACUGAGUGAUCAGUCUAGGUAAUACAAGUCCAUCUUCAUUCAUCAUCUAUUGGGUCCAAGGGUUUUGGGAUGAGAUAAGAGGGAUAGAGAGAGAUACACACAAUACAAACAAUACAGUUUUUUGAAAAGUGGGUUUUAUUUGUGGCUCCCGAGAAAAACAUCAAACAAUGACAGCUCACAAAUCACCGUAUCUAACGUGAGUGUGUAACAGGGAUUUGGUCUUCUAAAGAUCACAUAAAUCUUGGAAUUCUAGUGUCUUCAAAUUCUUCGAGUCUUCAUAGUCUUUGACUGUUGUAGCUUCAAUUCUUCUAGUGUAUGCUGAAGUCCUCUUUACUCUGAAGUGGUCCUCAAUUGUCCGAUAUCUUGUCCUUCUCGGAGUGGUCUCAUCAGUUGAUCCUCAGUGUACUCAAAGGGAAACGGGUAUUGUCUAACUAUUUGAGAUAAAAGGAAAGAUUUGAUAAAGCUCAGAAAAGAAGAGUGGUAAAGGAUCUUUUUGAAAAUAAAGUUUUAGAUAAAUCCUUUCCUAAGGGCUUUCCAGUUUCUAGGGUCACGUCCUGUAGACAACAUGUGCUCUGAUACCAUCUUGAAGCAACCCAACCUCAAACGGUCAAGCCUCUGUGUAUCCAUGCCAUCCCAGGAUCGGUAUGCUGGCACACACAGUACAUCGAUGUAUAUAUCAAAAUGCAAUCACAUGUAUAAAUAACAUAAAAUUGAUAUAUAGGAAUCUCAGCGGAAACAAUCAAACGGGUGUGGAGUCCCAUCAACGCCAACAGCAAGUUGAGUGUAGACCAUAACCCUAUAACGUAACUCUUACUCGUCGUAGAAAUUCCCACAACAUAACACGUUGCAGCCCUGUAGGUCAGUACAUUAAAUGUACUGGCAAGUCACAUCAUAAGAAUAAUGAACCUAUUUGUACAUGCAAUUUGGCUGGUGGAAAGCUCUAAGUUUUUUUUGCAUAAAGCUAGUUUUUCCCUAGGAUAAAAGAUUCUAUUCUACUACUACAAGAUAGCACAGGAUGAGUUGGCAAACAUGAGGGUUCGCUUACGGUGGUGACGACGACGAACAGGGACGGCGACACUGACUCGGGCGACGGAUGGGGCGGCACCUGCGGUGCUCUUCGGCGGCGGGGAAGGAGGGGAAUGGGACAAGUGCGACGAGGGGGUUGCGGUGGUGGUGGCGGCGCGCGUUGAGGUGGCCGGGACGGGCGGAGCAAAGGACGGUAGCUCCGUGCUCCGGCGAGGAUGCAGGCCGUCGGGGCGUCGUCUCCGGGGGUCCCUAGGGGCGAAAACAAUGUAAGGUAGGGGAGUCUGUGACGACGGAAACUCCGGCGAGAUGCUCUGGCUCCGGCGAGAUCCAACGCGGCAGUGCGGUGGCUGUGAGGAGCAAGGGAGGAUGCAGAGUGGCAGAUUGGAGAGAGGGGGUCACGGGGGUUUUAUAGGCGCGAGCAGAGGCUGCAGAGUCGCGGGGAUAAGGGUUAUCCCGAGAGGGAUGCGGCCGGCGAAUUCGGGGCACGGGCGCGUGCUCUAUCCGAGCGGGAGGAGCGGAAGGUUGAGGACGACCUAGGGGCAGGCCCCAUGCAUCAGUGGCGGCGGCUGUUAGCGAACGAGGGAGAGGCAAGAGGUGGGCGAGGAGGGGAGCUCCUAACCGGCGCUCUCAGCGCCGGUUCGGCUUACUGGCGCCUGAAGGCGACGCAACUGGGCCGGCCCAACAAAAUUUUGAUCGACAAAGCUAGCUCGUGGGUAGCGCGAAAAAAACCCCCAAAGAGUGGUUCCCGACGAGGAUCGAACUCGCGCUAUGGCAGUGGCGUAGGAGCUUCUCUAACCACCUGCCCCAUUGCUUGCUACUGAAAUAUUGCAGAGUGAACACCUUAAAGAACAUUCGUAGGCGCGUAAUUUAUUGCACACAUGUCAUUUACUGCAGCGUUAUUAUUUUUGAAUUAUUGUAAGCAUUUUGAAAAAAAUUCAUGAAUUACAAAACGUGCAUUGGUUUUAGAAAAAAACAAAUUUUGAAAUAAGUUCAGCAAUUUGAGAAAAGUUAAUCCAUUUUGAAAAAUAGUUCACAAAUCUUGAGAAAAAAAGUUCACGGAUUUCAAAAAAAGUUCAUCUAAUUUUGGAAAAAGGUUCAUUGAUUUUGGAAAACGUUAAUCCAUUUGAAAAAUAGUUCACAAAUCUUGAGAAAAAAGUUCACAGAUUUUAAAAAAGUUCAUCUAAUUUUGCAAAAAGGUUCAUCGAUUUUUGAAAAAGUUAAUCCAUUUUGAAAAAUAGUUCACAAAUCCUAAGAAAAAAGUUCACGGAUUUCAAAAACAGUUCAUCAAAUUAAAAAAAAGGUUCAUCGAUUUUGCAAAAUGUUCAUCGAUUUUUUUUAAAAAGUCAUCAAUUUGAAAAAUAAGUUCAUCGAAAUUGAAAAUAACGUCAUUAAAUCUGAAAAAAGUUCAUCGAAAUUCAAAAAAUGUUCAUCAAUUUUGGAAAAGAGUUCAUCGAAUUUGAAAAAGUUCACCGAUUUUGGAAAACAGUUCAUCAAAUUUGGAAAAGAGUUCAUCAGAUUUGGAAAAAGUUCAUCGAAUUUUAAAAAAAGUUCAUCAAUUUUGGGAAAAAGUUCAUCCAAUUCAAAAAAAUGUUCAUCAAAUUUGUAAACAAAGUUCUUCGAUUUUUAAAAAAGUUCAUCGAUUUUGGAAAAGUUCAUCAAUUUGUAAAAUAGUUCAUUGAAAUGAACAAAAGAAGAAAAAAAAUUCAAACAAAACCCUUCUGAAUAAAGAAGAAAAAUGAAAAAAUAGACAUGGAAGAAAAGAGUGAAGAAUAUUUUUUGAACACAUGAGCUAGUAGUGGUGGGGUGGUUGGUGUAUGGUGCGAACGAAGAGGAGGUCGCGGGUUCGAUUUCCGCCGACGCGUUUGUGUUUUUGUGCUUUACUUCAGAAAAAGAAGGGACGAUGGGCCGGCCCAAAGAAGAUGCAUGAGGGAGGGAGAGGUGUGCGCCCAUUUGCGCGGAUGCCUAUGGCGGGCACAACGGGCGCCGUUUGGGGAUUGCCGGCGAGGCGAGGGUGCUGGCUGGCCAAUCGCCAGCUGGGCCGCAGGGGUGCGCCUGGCCUGGCGCGGCUAGCCGGCUGGGCCGCGGGGUGUUCCUGGGCCGAGCUGGCCUCGGUCCAGGUGGUGGUGCGUGGUUUCUUUUACAGAAAGAAGAACCGCAACAGAGAAAAAUAAGUAAAAAUCUACAUAGGCAUAUUAUAUACCAAAAUGUUUAAAAAAAUAGCAGAAAUAAUAUGAACUAUUUCUCAAGUUCAAAUAAAUUCCAUAACAAUUCAUAAAAGUCAAACAGUGCUACUGUUGUUAAAAUACAUAAAAACAUUUUUAAAAUAGCAAAAUUAUUUCAAAUUUAUUUUCUCCUAAUUUUCCCUUGAAGGGAAUCAUUUUACCCUUAUUUCCAUUUAUUUAUUUUUAGGAGAAAAAUAAUUUGAACUAAAACUAAAUAACUCCCAAGAGAAUUUGAAAUUUGGAAAUUCAAAAUAACUUCAAAGUGACUUUCAAAUUAUACCUUUGAAACUUCCAACUCUCUUUCUUCGAAUUUGAAGAAGUCAUUUUAUCUUCCCUCAUGAACUCAUUGAGUUGCUUAAAGUUUCUAAACUUGACAUAUUUCAAAUGGAAUUCAAAUCAUUUUCAAAUCCCUUUUCAUUUCUUUAAAUGAAAGAUGUCAUAUUAUCUUCACUCUAGGGUUUUGUGAUGAAAUGAAUUUGAAUUCAGGGUGAUCAAAAUGCAAGAUGAAAAGUUUUGGGAAAGUCUUUUUAUUCCCUCUCAUGCAACUUCCAAAAAGUUUCAGAUUCCACCCAAUUUCACACAAUCGAUCAGACAACAAUCAAACAAACAAUGAUAUUUAUUUUUUUAAUAUAACAUUCCAAAAUUUAGAAUUUUGGGAUGUUACAGAAACGCGGUACGAGCAAGCUGCAAGGUUAGCCAGGGUCAUCCUAAAAGCGGACAGGGAUCGCAAGUGGGCGAUACUGUUGGCUCGGGUAGAGUGCGGCCGAUGGUGCGGGCGGCGGAUGUGGAACCUCGAAGACGCAAGGACAACUGCGGUAGUGAUGGCCACCGCAUGAGGUGCAUGCUUAUGUCCCAGAUGGAGGAGGGCACAGCGCUGGAUGUCGCCGGGGCUUACCUGGGGGCCGUCACGGAAGCCCUGGCGAGAGCCAACGUCGUCUUGCCGGACGUCACCGGGGCAGACCUGGAUAUCGCUGCGUCCGAGGCAGUACCAGUGAUUCUCAAUGUCGAGUCUGCCCCAGCCUCGAUCGAUCAAGGUGUGUAGGUCAUCGACUUGGCGGCCUCCGCUCCCACUGGGCCCAUGAUCAACACGCUAAUGGACGAUGACUGCUGUGUGUGCUGGGUCAAUGUCAGGUGCACAGUGUAGCUCUUUUGUGCGCGGGGAGUCGUCAUAUUCUUGUAAAUUAGCAAAGCCAUGUCAAAUAUGCCAAUUGUAUGGGCUGGCAUGUCUAUAUAUUAUAUGAAUUUACAAUAUGGACAAUUAAUAUGCAAAUGCCUUCUGGACAUCGGUGCUGAUGGCCACGUCAAAAACAUGGGCAUCCUCUACUCUACCGGGCACACGCUUAAACUGAAUGGACUGUGUAUGAUACUAAUACUUUCCAUGAAAAUUAAGAACUUGGCUAACAGCAUUUGAGUAACAUAUAUAUAUUGAUGACACUAUUCGACAAAAGUAGAGUCUUCGUAACACGGUUUUGACAGCCAUAUGGUCCAUAUUUACAUACUUAACAUAGUAACAACUAGCACAUUUUAAGAGGCUGAGGGCCAACAACCAUAUGGUCCAUAUCUGCAUACUUAACAUAGUAACAACUAGCACAUUUUAAGAGGCCGAGGUCCAACAACCACAACUAUCCACCGGAAGCAGCUUGAUCAUGAUGACUCGGCAUCUCGUCAAUGAAAAGGAAGAACCCUCCUGUGCCUUGGUAGAGCAUGAGUAGAACAUUGUCUCCAAUUUUCCAAUAUGGAUGCAUUGCCAUGACAAGCAAGAACUUAUUAAUUUGAAUGGUUCCAUUUUUACGGGAAAUGCAGUACCUUGCAAUCACUUUGGCGUUAUUAGCAGGCACAAGUGUAAUUCGACCACACCGGGAAAUCAAUUCAGGAACAACUGCAGCGGGCAAUUUCUGUUGAAAUGUAGAAUAAAAACCAAUUGUAACAUAUCGUUGAAGAUAUAUAUAGUUUAUGAACAUCAACAUAAAAAUAAGACUUUGUACCAGCUUUUUGUGCACACAAUUGGUCUUGUUCAAUGUGUGCACCAUAGGUAUAAUUAAUCCCAUCGAAAAUCCAGCGUUCAUACGUUGUGCUAUCUCUGUCAGAUUAUCAACAAAAUUUAUGAUAUGCUUCAAGUCUUUCCAGUGAAACUUGGUACGCUGAGUAACAUACAGAUCGUUAACUAUGCAUCCAACAUAUCCUGCUUAAAAGGUGGAAAGGUAUUAUUUAUUCAGAACAUGGCAGAAUAAUAUAUAGUGCGCAUAAAUUGGUAAAUAGAAUUUUUUUACUGCCUAGGAACAGAGUCAGAAAAUGAAAUCGCAAUUGGUUGCUUAAAUAGUGAUCAGUUAGUCAGAACAAAUGCCUUGAUUUUGCUAAGUAAUAUGCCAACAUGGAGAAAGUUGAAAGAACACUAAACUCUAUCGAACUUUGAACGGCUGAUGACAUUGGGGAAGUAAACAUCCAUGUUAAUUAGACCAGGCUAUGGUGCACGCACUAGAAUUUUAUUGCCAGCUUCCAGUUCAUAAAACUUAGAAAUUUUUCUCGAAAGGUCCGCAUCAAAAUCGGAGUGACAAUCUUUAUCAAGUUUUACGCUAACUGUCAUUGUAAAUCCAUGUUGCAUUGUCAAUAUGACAUCCAUGGAGUCAUCAACAAAGUAAAGCCCAAGAUUUCCUUCUACUCGUGUUCUUGCAAAGCAAGGGAUGUACUACUUGAAAUGAAAAUUAAGAUCGUAAAUUAGAUAUAUUGAAAUAACAGAGCAAGACGCAAAUAUGGGAGUAACUGAUAGAAUAGAACAAUAUAUAGGUGAAAGCAAAGUACAAAAAUAUAUAUAAUUAAAAAUAGAUAAUGUAACAAAGAUUUGAUGCAAAUACGAGAGUAACUGAAUGAACAAUAGAUCAUUAAUUUGCCUAAUAUAGGCUUCGACAUCUAGGCUGCAUGUGGCACCGUACAUUUUAUCCAAAUGUAGCAAUAGACGGUAUAUGUUCACAAAUUUAGGCCAUGCCGACCAUGGUAGGGUGAGAUUGAACAUACCGAGCGCUCCCUGAAGUCAUCCGGAAUGGUGAGAUAGAACUUCGUUUCUGACUGGCCGCGACCACACUUGCCCGAUUUGUCCUCGCACUGUGGACACAUGAAUGAAGACCCUUGAAUCAUCUAGAAGAAAAAUGAAUCCACGGCGAUUUCCGCCAGUUGAUUAACAGCGACGGAGGGACUGCGAUAACAGAUGAGUGUAUAUUUCACGAAAUUGAUUACCUUCUCCAUGAGAAAAAUCCCCGGCCCAAUCCCGCAGAAAACCCCAACCGACCAGAGUCUAGAAUGUUGGUGCAAGUCAGUGUAGAUAGGCAGCGGCAAGCGAUAGGGGCAGAAUCCUGUGCCGUUUGGAGCGCGACCUACGCCCGCCGAAGACAGCUGUCGUGCUUAGGGUGGCUGCCGCGAUAGAAGUUGAUGAGGUGCGGAGUUGCGGAGGAGUCCGUGGCGAGUGGGUGGGGACGAAGUGGGUAGGGGGCGAGAGUUUUCUUUUUUCCCUUUGCAUCUGUGGGUGAACACACACGUUUCACAGAGGCGACAGAGUUGAAUCAUGUGCGAUAGAAAAUUACCGAGAUUGAAGGGGAAUCCAAAUUUCCUUUCUAGUUUGUCAUUUAGUUUUUUCUAUGAUCGACAUCCCCCUCCAAUGCAACAUGUUCAAAGUUGGCAUUUUUCUGGGCACAUUUACCAUAUUAGGUGAUUAUGUGUCUUUUCUAGGCAUUAAUGCACAUAAUUCAAAUGCAAACAAUCGGUGCAUGAAAAGGUGCAUGGGAAUGGUGUGGAAACCUGAAAUGUCUCCAACGUAUCUACUUUUCCUCUUGUUUUGGACUCUAAUUUGCAUGAUUUGAAUGAAACUAACCCCGGAGUGACGCUGUUUUCAGUAGAACUACCAUGGUGUUGUUUUUGUGCAGAAAUAGAAGUUCUCGGAAUGGAACGAAACUUUGCGAGGAAUUUUUAUACAAUAAAAGAGAAUUUCUGGAGCCAAGACCUGCCAGAGAGGGGCACCUGGGUGGGCACAACCCACCAGGGCGCGCCCCCUCUCCUGGCGCGCCCAACUGGGUUGUCCCCACCAGGUGGCCCCGCUGACCCUGAAACCAAUGCUAUAAAAUCCUAUAUUUGGAGAAAAAAUCAGGGAGAAAGAGUUAUCGCGAUCCACGAGACGGAGCCGCCGCCAAGCCCUGUUCUUCCUCGGAGGGCUGAUCUGGAAUCCGUUUGGGGCUCCGGAGAGGGGGUCUUCGUUCUUCGUCAUCACCAACCCUUCUCCAUCGCCAAUUCUAUGAUGCUCCCCACCGGGAGUGAGUAAUUCCUUCGUAGGCUCGCUGGUCGGUGAGGAGUUGGAUGAGAUUCAUCAUGUAAUCGAGUUAGUUUUUUUAGGGCUUGAUCCCUAGUAUCCACUACGUUCUUAGAUUGAUGUUGCUAUGACUUUGCUAUGCUUAAUGCUUGUCACUCUGGGCCCGGGUGCCAUGAUUUCAGAUCUGAACCGUUUAUGUUAUCAUCAUUAUAUCCAUGUUCUAGAUCCGAUCUUGCAAUUUAUAGUCACCUACUACAUGUUAUGAUCCGGUAACCCCGGAGUGACAAUAACCGGGACUUCUUUCGGUGAUGACCGUAGUUUGAGGAGUUCAUGUAUUCACUAUGUGUUAAUGCUUUGUUCCGGUUCUCUAUUAAAAGGAGGCCUUAAUAUCCCUUAGUUUCCAAUAUGGACCCCGCUGCCACGGGAGGGUAGGACAAAAGAUGUCAUGCAAGUUCUUUUAAUAAAGCACGUAUGACUAUUUACGGAAUACAUGCCUACAUUAUAUCGAUGAACUGGAGCCAGUGCCGUAUCGCCCUAGGUUAUAACUGUCACAUGAUGAAUAUCAUCCAACAAGUCACCGAUCCAGUGCCUAUGAACUUUUCCAUAUUGUUUCUGCUAAGUUACUAUUGUUAUCAUCACUGUUACACUUGCCACAAAAUUACUGCCAUCACUGUUACUGUUACUAUUGCUGCUGUCACUACUAUCAAAACUAUCAUACUACUUUGGUACUGAUCACUUUGCUGCAGAUAAUUAAUCUCCAGGUGUGGUUGAAUUGACAACUCAGCUGCUAAUACCUUCAAAUAUUCUUUGGCUCCCUUUGUGUCGAAUCUAUAAAUUUGGGUUGAAUACUCUACCCUCGAAAACUAUUGCAAUCCCCUAUACUUGUGGGUUAUCAAGAACUUUUUCUGGCGCCGUUGCCGGGGAGCGUAGCUAUAUUUGUUGAGUCACUUGGCAUUAUUAUCAGAUUAUCACUAUGAAGAAUCUGAAGGAUCCUAAGACUAAGAGAUUUCCCUCAAGCACGAGGGGAGGUAAGAAACUGCCAUCCAGUUCUGCUUUAGAUUCACCUUCUGUUAUGAGUAAACUUGCAACACCACCACAUGCUAUUAAUUCUGAUAUGUCGCAAGUUAUCGAUGAUGCUACUUCUAAUAUGAAUGAUGCUUAUGACGAUGCUAGUACCUUGCUUGAUAAUGAUGUUGUGCCACUAGGUGAAUUUCUUGAUGAACAAAUUGCUAGAGUAAUACAACAUGAUGUUGUUGAAUCUGAUGAUGAGCUUGAAACUGAAUCUCCUGAAACACCUGCUAGAACUAGCCCUCCUAGAUAUGAAUUGCCUAAGGUACCGGAAGGUUAUGUUAUGAGUGAAGAAACAACUAGAGAUAUUCUUGCUUGUAAUGAUAGAGAUGAUCUGGAGAAAUUACUACACAAGUAUAAAGAAAAAUCUCUGAAUGCUAGAAUGAAAUAUGAUCCUAAGUUUGCUACUUCACCUAUCUUUAUUGAUGAUCACGAUCCACGAGACGGAGCUGCCGCCAAGCCCUAUUCUUCCUCGGAGGGCUGAUCUAGAGUUCGUUUGGGGCUCCGGAGAGGGGGUCUUCGUUCUUCGUCAUCACCAACCCUUAUCCAUCGCCAAUUCUAUGAUGCUCCCCACCGGGAGUGAGUAAUUCCUUCUUAGGCUCACUGGUCGGUGAGGAGUUGGAUGAGAUUCAUCAUGUAAUCGAGUUAGUUUUGUUAGGGUUGAUCCCUAGUAUCCACUAUGUUCUUAGAUUGAUGUUUCUAUGACUUUGCUAUGCUUAAUACUUGUCACUUUGGGCCCGGGUGCCAUGAUUUCAGAUUUGAACCGUUUAUGUUAUCACCAUUAUAUCCAUGUUCUAGAUCCGAUCUUGCAAGUUAUAGUCACCUACUACGUGUUAUGAUCCGGUAACCCCGGAGUGACAAUAACUAGGACUUCUUCUGGUGAUGACCGUAGUUUGAGGAGUUCAUAUAUUCACUAUGUGUUAAUGCUUUGUUCCGGUUCUCUAUUGAAAGGAGGCCUUAAUAUCCCUUAGUUUCCAAUAUGGACCCCGCUGCCACGGGAGGGUAGGACAAAAGAUGUCAUGCAAGUUCAUUUAAUAAAGAACGUAUGACUAUUUACGGAAUACAUGCCUACAUUAUACUGAUGAACUGGAGCUAGUGCCGUAUCGCCCUAGGUUAUAACUGUCACAUGAUGAAUAUCAUCCAAGAAGUCACCGAUCCAAUGCCUACGAACUUUUCCAUAUUGUUUCUGCUAAGUUACUACUGUUAUCAUGACCGUUACACUUGCUACAAAAUUACUGCCAUCAAUGUUACUGUUACUAUUGCUCCUGUCACUACUAUCAAAACUAUCAUACAACUUUCCUACUGAUCACUUUGCUGCAGAUAAUUAAUCUCCAGGUGUGGUUGAAUUGACAACUCAGCUGCUAAUACCUUCAAAUAUUCUUUGGCUCCCUUGUGUAGAAUCUAUAAAUUUGGGUUGAAUACUCUACCCUCGAAAACUGUUGCGAUCGCCUAUACUUGUGGGUUAUCAAAACCCAUGCUUGUGCUAUUUAGUAAAUUCUCAUGCCUUUUACAAGGAAUGGGCAGAGAUUUCAAGGAAAUGUGUGGCAACAGUCAACCACAAACGUGUCGUUUAUUGGUUUUUCAACUAUAGAAAAAUGAAAUACAUGCUUGAAAAACAUGAUGGCUGGCAUGGUGCCAUGGUAUGGCCUCACCGUGCCCUGGUAAAAAUAUGAGAAGGUUUGGCUUAUGUCAUCAUGCAAGCCCUUCAAAAAUCGAACCAUCACCAAGGAAGUUCAUGGUUUCGAGGGGGAAAUCACCAAGAUUGAAGGGGCCAUGAAUCCAAAUUUCCUUCCUAGUUUGUCAUCCAAUUUUUUCUAUGAUCAACAUACCUCCUCCAAUGCAACGUGUUCAAAUUUGACAUUUUUCCGAGCUCAUUUACCAUAUUUAGGGGAUUAUGUGCAUUUUCUAGGCAUUAAUGCACAUAAUUCAAAUUUUAACGAUCGGUGCACGCAAAGGUGCACAAGAACGGUCUGGGAAACCAUGCUCGUGCUAUUUGGUAAAUUCUCAAGCCUUUUACAAGGAAUGGGCAGAGAUUUCAAGGGAAUGUGUGGCAAUAGUCCACCACAAACGCGUCAUUUAUUGGUUUUUCAACUAUAGAAAAAUGAAAUACAUGCUUGAAAAACAUGACGCCUGGCAUGGUGCCAUGGUAUGGCCUCACGAUGCCCUGGUAAAAAUUGAGAAGGUUUGGCUUAUGUCGUCAUGCACGCCCUUCAUAAAUUGAACCAUCACCGAGGAAGUUUCAUGGUUUCAAGGGGGAAAUCACCAAGAUUGAAGGGGAAUCCAAAUUUCCGUCCUAGUUUGUCAUUCAGUUUUUUUUCAACGAUCAACAUACCCCCUCCAAUGCAACGUGUUCAAAUUUGGCAUUUUUUCGGGCUUAUUUAACAAAUUUAGGUGAUAAUGUGCAUUUUCUAGUCAUUAAUGCACAUAAUUCAAAUUUGAACAAUCGAUGCAUGAAAAGGUGCACAAGAAUGGUCUGGAAAACCAUGCGUGUGCUAUUUAGUAUAUUCUCAUGCCUUUUACAAGGAAUGGGCGGAUAUUUCAAGGAAAUGUGUGUGGCAAUAGUCAACCACAAAUGCGUCAUUUAUUGGUUUUUCAACUAUAGAAAAAUGAAAUACAUGCUUGGAAAACAUGACGUCUGGCGUGGUGCCAUGGUAUGGCCUCACAAUGCCCUGAUAAUUUUUUUAGAAGGUUUGGCUUAUGUCAUCAUGCAAUGCCUUUAAUAAAUCAAACCAUCACCGAGGAAGUUUCAUGGUUUCGAGGGGGAAAUCACCAAGAUUGAAGGGGAAUCCAAAUUUCCUUUGUCCUUUGUCCAUGAGUUUUUUCUACGAUGAACAUACACACUUCAAAUCACCGUGUUCAAAUUUGGCACUUUUCCAGGUUCAUUUACCAUAUUUAGGGGAUUAUGUGCAUUUUCUAGGCAUUAAUACACAUCAAAUUCAAACAAUCGGUGCAUGAAAACGUGCACAAGAACGGUCUGGAAAACCAUGCUCGUGCUAUUUAGUAAAUUCUUAUGCCUUUUACAAGGAAUGGGCAGAGAUUUCGAUGAAAUGUGUGGCAAUAGUCAACCACAAACGUUCGUUUAUUGGUUUUUCAACCAUAAAAAAAA
rnacentral:lncRNA from 1 species